rnacentral:lncRNA from 1 species
UCAAAACAACUGUUUUAGAUAAUAGAAAGUAACCAAAAAGGACUAGAUUCAUUAAGAGAUAUGAAUAAGUUAACACGCCAAAGUUGACUGGUGGCCAUUAACUCACGUAUCCUAACACCGAAUUUUAAAAGCGCUUUUAAGUAUUUUUUAAAUUAAAAAAAAAAAACACUCCUAAAACGGGUUUAUUAGUCAAAGUACCUUUAAUGGAAUGGAAGUGGCUUUCGUAAAAUUAAUUUUGGAGAGAAUCGGCUAUCAAGUAUUCCUUUGCAAAAUAUUAAAAGUAAUUUUUUUACUUUUCAAAAGUGAUUCAAACUACUAAUAUUUUUCCAAAAGUGCUUUUAUGAUGUAUUUUCCAAAACCACUGUAAAGUAAUUUUACCUGAUGAGCUCCUUCUGAAGGGCACCACCUUGUUUGGUUCUCCUAUGUGAAGUGGCACCAAACCCAGUGGUGACACCAUAGCUAUCGGUGCCCUUGCUCAUGCUCUCCAUCACCCACUCACUGCUCGCGUUCACGCCCGCUCUCGCCGUCUCCGACAACUCCACACUCACAUCCUCCUCCCGCCCCGCGAUAGCCGCCACUUGCGAUAUCGUAAGCGUUUCACCACCAAGCCGAACCACCGGCUUCCGGUACUCUGCCACCAUGCGCUUUACUUCAUCCAAAUGGCUCCCCUUCAACGCCUCCGCUGCCACUCCCCAGUUCAGCGGAUCACUCACGACGAAACUCUCCACCUUUUUGCUUCCGUGGCAGUUCAUUGCUUCCAUGUCUUCGAAUCCCCACAAAGAAACAACUGCAAAAAGCUGGUUUUUCACGACAACUAAGAAGGAAAGAGAGAGAGAGAGAGGGAGAGAGGAACUGGAGGAAAUCUGAAAGUUGGGCUCUGAAAUUCUGAGUUUCCUGAGAAGUACGGUGACAGAGGCUUUUCCUUAUAUAGAGUGCCUUGAGCCUAGGAGUCUUUAAAAUGCAACAGGUCAAUGGUAGGUGGGCGGGAUGGCAAAGUGGCUUCAUGAGGUUUGUUGAAAACCAAUCCAGACCCUUGAUCUGUCUACGCUAAAGGCUCAGAUGCUGCAACGUGAUAUGCAUGUGGAUUUAGGAAUGGAGCUCGUAUGUUCGUACUGGUCAGACCUCAAGACAACUGUGGUGUGCGGUCAAUGGGUUGGUGGCAUGUGGAAUACUAAAUGAAAUUGUUGGCCUACGUAAUGUAAUUUCUAUUCCUCCAAAUCCGAACUCGUUAAAAAAAUAAUAAUAAAAAAUUAUGUACUCGUACUCUAGCUAAAAACAUAGGGAGAAUUACCCUUAAGGGUCGGUUGGGAGAAAAAAUGACUGAAAAGAGUGGGUAAAUUUGAUAAUUCUUUUGAAGGCCUUAUAUUUUUAUUAGACUAAUUUACCCUCAAUUGAUUGCUAGUUCUGCCAGUCCCAGAAUUCCAAUUCCUUGGCCCCUUAUCACCACCUCCUUGGCCCCAACCGACAGCACUAUCAUGACCUUUUCACCCUUCCCCAUUAUUGUUUGACUCUUUGUUCCAUUCAAAGGACUUAUUAUUCUCACCAGAAUUGUUUCUGUUGUUCCAGCCACCACUUUGAUCCCUCCUUCCACGGCCCCUAUCUCCAAAACCACCCCUGUCUGAAUCACCUCCGCCUCCACCUCCAAAACCACCCCUGUCAGAACCCUUGUCUUUGAACCUUUGGUGACACAUUAUAAUAUAAAAUUGCAUUUACAGUAAAUUGAAAAGUAUGAUUUGAUUUUCUUUUUUUUGGGUUGGCUUUUUUUCUAUUUUUUUGGGCUGACUUGGUUGGUGGAAGCAGUAUGGUCAAUUGAAAAGGUUGAUUUGAUUUUGCUUGUGUGAGGGGUGAUAUAUUUUUGGAGACAAAUUGAAAUGGAAGAUUUUUAUUCCACUAAUUUGAUACCCAAUUGACUAAUUUGAUACCCUAUGCAAAGCAAAUUAGGUUAUAAAUUUACUAAUUUGAUACCCAAUUGACUUAUAAUUUCCUUAAUUACUAUUUGCAGAACGGAUUGUGGCAUAUUUGUAAUGAAGUUUAUGCAAUUAUGGAGUAACCGUGGAAUUUCUCGUGCAAUUGCAAAUGUAUUAUAUUGUGGUGAAUAAAAUAUAUAUAUAUUUUUUAUGAUCAUGAAUUUUUCUUAAUAUUAUAUUAUAUACUCUUUUGUACAGGACAAGGUCAUAAAGUACAGGUUAGGGAUAUGCCAAAGAACCCAUAAUUGCCCAGUUUCAUAAGAAAUUUGACAUUUUCAAAAUUUUACUUUAUCGUAAUGUAUCGUAAUGUUAUUGUAUUUGUAUUGUAAUUGUACUGUAUUUUUAUUAUACCUCUAUAUUUUUAUAUAAAAAAAAUUAAUUUUAUAGAUUUUUUUUUAUCCAUCAUUGGAUUAUCAUCAACAACUAUUUCACAAUAUUACAAUCAAUGAAAAUUGUACAACGAAUACAAAAUAAACAAAUGAAAAUUAUAAUAAAUUGAGAGACAUAUUUUAUAUAAUAAAUAACAAUAUUUGUUGUAUAUUAUACAUGUUAGAGAUAUGCCAAAGAACCCAUAAUUGCCCAGUUUCAUAAGAAAUUUGACAUUUUCAAAAUUUUACCUUAUCGUAAUGUAUCGCAAUGUUAUUGUAUUUGUAUUGUAAUUGUAUUGUAUUUUUAUUAUACCUCUAUAUUUUUAUAUAAAAAAAAUUAAUUUUAUAGAUUUGUUUUUAUCCAUCAUUGGAUUAUCAUCAACAACUAUUUCACAAUAUUACAAUCAAUGAAAAUUUUACAACGAAUACAAAAUAAACAAAUGAAAAUUAUGAUCAAUUGAGACAUAUUUUAUAUAAUAAAUAACAAUAUUUGUUGUAUAUUAUACAUGUUAGGCAUAUGCCAAAGAACCCAUAAUUGCCCAGUUUCAUAAGAAAUUUGACAUUUUCAAAAUUUUACCUUAUCGUAAUGUAUCGUAAUGUUAUUGUAUUUGUAUUGUAAUUGUACUGUAUUUUUAUUAUACCUCUAUAUUUUUAUAUAAAAAAAAAUUAAUUUUAUAGAUUUUUUUUUAUCCAUCAUUGGAUUAUCAUCAACAACUUCAUGUAUUGAAAUUACAAUAGUGUAUUUUUGUUGUUGUUGUUUUUUUUUAUAAUUUUGGCUUGCAAGGAUGCUUUAUGAUAGGAAUACAACAUGAUAGCCUAGAAAUGCCAAAUCAGUAAAAAAUAAUUCAAUAUUUUGUCAUUUUGGUAUAUUGUAAUGUAUCAUAAUGUUAAUAUUUUUUCAUUGUAACUAUAUUGCAUUUGUAUUGUACUUAUACUUUAUAACUGAAAUAAUGGUUCUUUUACACAACCUUCAAACUACUAGGCAUUCAACUCAUCAUACCAAAAUAAUACUUAUACAAAAAGGUAACAAAUUUAUAACAAAAAUAUAGUGAUCUUAACUCUUUUACAAAUUCAUAAUAAAAGACAAAGUGGUCUCGUACAAAGGGGAUUUCAGUUUUCAAUGACAAUCCAAAUAUGUUUAUAAAUACAUAAACAAAGUGGUCCCAAACAAGCAUGAAACAACCGAGAACAUUUUUUCUUCAAUCAUGUCAAAAAGUCUUAACAACAAAACUAAAGUGCAAACCUUUUCAAUGGAAAUCAAUAAUAAUCAUAUCAAACAACCCACCCAGCAAAUAAAUUAAAAAUAAAAACACAUCUUCAAUAUGACCUAAAUAAUAUAAAAAAAUUCAAAAUAAUAAAUUUAAAUAACAUUUAAAAAAAAUGUAAUUUUUUUCUGAAAACCUCAUUCAAUAUUUCAGAUCUAAUAUCUUACAGUUACAUUGUUAAAAUUAUUAACUUUUCCUUCAUUCAAUCCGAUUUUUAAAUUAUUUAUUUAUUUUUCCAUAAACUAACGUUUUUUUUUUGUAUUAAAAAAAAAAAAACUGACCUUUAAUGGAUUUCUUGCUAGAUUCACAAAAAAAAAAAAAAAACAAGUUUUGUGUAUCGGUUGCAGAGAAUGACCUGAAGUGCGCACCUUUUUCCUUUUCCCUUUUUCUUCUACAACUCGGCUCCAGGUAGGUUAAAGAAAGGGAGAAUAAACUCUUUUUCACUUUCCGUUGCUUUUCACUUUCCUUGCUUUUCACUUCACUUAUUAAGGGUAGUAUUGACAUUUAAAUAAAAUAAGGCCUUUGGAGGAAUUAUCAUCAUUUUACCCUACCCUUUACAAGACUUAUCAAAUUUACCUACCCUCGUUGGUCAUUUUUUCCCUCAACCUACCCUUAAUGGUAAUUCUCCCAAAACAAAAGGAAUUUUGAAAAUUUAAACACUGUUUUCUAUUUUUAAAAAUAAAAAAUAAAUUUUAAAUUAUGUGAUAAAAUAAACUUUAAAGUUGUUGAAAAUUUUAUUGUUGAUUAGGAAAUUUUUAAAAAUUCAUUUCUAUUUUUAAAAGUAAAAUACGAUAUAACUUCUAAUUGUGUUUAGACUUUGUUAAUCUCUAGGAACAAAUUUUAAAAAUGAGAUUAAAAAGAAAACAAUUUUUAAAAAAUAAAAUAAGUUAUUUUUGGUGUUUUUAAAGCCAAGAGAAAACAAAAAACAAAAAAUGGAAGAGGACUUCUCUCGAAUGGAUGUGAGAUUCAUCAACAAAGUCUACACAUAUAGAGAAAUAAUAAGAAGAGAUUUCUCUAAAGUUAGGUUUUUCAUCAUUAUGUUUUCCCCCUUUUUUCGCCUCUAUUAAGAUGAUGAUGAUUAUUAUUAUUUAUGUAUUUAGGUUACAUUUGUUUGGCUAUUAAGAAAUUAGAGGAAAACGAAGGAAAUAAGAGGAAAAUAUAAUAGGUCCACUGUUUGACAAUAGUCUUAUUCUCUUUCCCUUUCUGUUGAACUUAGAGGUAUAUAUAUGUAGAUUCCUCGAUCAUGGAGACCCAAAAGAGAUGUAAGAAACAAACUCUAGUACCUCCACACUUUUUCUCAUGGUCCCAUGUUUGUUUUGUAACUUGUUAAUCAUGGUUGAGGGUGAGGAGAUGCACCUCAUUGUGAUUCCUAGUAUAGUUAUAUAACAAAGGAUAGCUAGAGUUUCAAGUAUAGGCUAGAAAACAAAGUGGAUUUAAAGACUUCUGACCAGAAAAGGAGUAUCUAACUUAAUUACUUUGAGGGACAAUUUUAUUAAACUUAAGAGUGUGUUUGGUACUGACUUUAAAAAAUGUUUCUAAUAUUUCUAAUACUUAAAUGAUACAAAAUUUUAAGUGUUAAAAAUAUUAAAAAUACUUCCUAAAAUAACUGCCAAACGAUAUCUUAAUUUGGGAGCAUUUGAGAAACAUGGGAUUGAAAAGAAGCAAAUAUGGAUCGGAAUAGUACCCUUCUUUGUUUCAUGCUGAGAGAGUAAUUCUUGAAUAUCAUAAGAAUUUUGAGAAGAUAUGUCUACCCAAAACCUACAUCCUUAGGGCCCAUGACCUAAGCCCUAAGUGCUAUGAGUUAGCUAGCCCUCCUUGUUCGUGGACAUACCUAAUAUUUGUAUAGCAAGACAAACAAGUUUGAAAAUUAGAGUAUGUUGAUUCAACAACUACUACACAUUGAAAAAUGGUUAGUGACCUAGUUACAAGCCCAUGGUACAAAAAACUAGACAAUCUCCAUCUAAGGUAACUAAAUAAUCUUCAUCUCAAGUAACCAAAGGUACCUCAUUCUCAAAGACUAACAAAGCAACCCGACCUACACCUACCAGCCAGGACACCCUUCCUCACAGUUGACAACUAAACCUCUACCAAAGCGACCACUUAAGACAUGCUGCAUCUCACUUCACCUAUUUGAGAGUCUAAGACUUUUUAUCCGGUGAAACUUGCUUAUGUUUUUAUUCUUAGUCAAAGGCACUCGUACGAAAUUAAGAGACUAUUUUCACCAACAACAUAUGGUGGACAAACAUGCUUCCAAGCACCUUGGGUGUUCAUAAAUAAGAUGCACCUUAAGAGGUCACCUAACUUAAUCUCUAUGAGAAGUCAUAAGAAAGCACAAGAAUUAUCUUAGUGUUAACUCACACACACAUAAGCUAAAUGGAAGGAAAUCUUAUCACCCAAGCAAGUGAUUAGUUGAAGUUCGAAUAAGUCUUCUCUAACACAUCUAUUUUAUGAUCUUUAGCUCAUUUAUUUUAUUUUGAAAAAGAAAACGGUGAAAACCUACAUCUCAUUAGUUAGGAAAACCUUCCAAUUGAAAACAUAAGGCCAAGUUAGUCUCAAGACAAAAGCUCUUACGGAUAGUCUAGUCAUGAAUAAAUGGUCAAGGUGAACAACAAAAAUAAAUAAAUUCUAAGGGUAUCUUUACUAAGAAUCCUAAAGAAAACUAGCAUCCAUCCUUCUAAUUCAAGACAUCCCUUUGUUAAACUACCUUAUAUGAUUGUAUGUGAAAGUUAUCUUGGUGUAAAGCUGACCCUUCACUCUUUUAAUUUGGAAACAGAUCAUCUUUGUGUUAAGCCUACCUCUGCAUCUUUGGGUAUAGGUUGCAUUUAUAUGUAUUAAGUCAAACUUUGCCUCCGGGUAUGGGUCAACUUUGCACUAAACCAACUUCUAUCUAUGAGCAUGGAUCAUCCCUAUGGUAAAACCUUUAACCAAAAGGUCCUUAGAUGUGCAUUCCAACCAAAAAGUAAAACUGUUUUUAGAACCAUAAUGAUCAUUUCUAACCAUUCUAGUAUGUAGAGAGCUCAACCUGAAUCUUUUCUACUAUCUACCUUAGAAACAUUACAAAUUCCAUGGAUUGCAUGUGAACUAAACAAUUGAACUUGUCUAUUGAUUUAUGAUGUAGGAACUAUUACAAGACAAGCUAGGCUAUGGAAUGAAUCCACCUCAUGAUAAGAUCAUUCAAAUAAUAGAUUGAGAAUCUUACAUUAGCUGUUAAUGACAACCACUUAAUCAAAAGCAACAGGUUGGAGAGUCUAGCAAAGAGAUUGAUUCUAACAAAGACGCAUCCAAGAACCUCACUUGGGAAGGUUAAUGCAUGAGCACACCAUUAUCAUCAAUUUUGCAUGAUCGAAGCAAGAACAUUGAUACAAGAUAUCAUUCUAUUAGAGAGUUCAUUAUAAAGAAAGAAGUACAAUUAAAAUUUGUAAAACCUCAAGGUCAAAUUGUUGAUAUUUUUACUAAAUCCCAUUAUUCCAAGAAAUUGGUAUCAGAGUUCAAAUUGUAGACAUUUUUAAUUACAACAAUCCAAACUCCAACAAAUUGCUAUCAGAGCUUCCAUAUAGCCAAGAAUUAAUAUAUACAAUUUUUGUAUCACAAAAUUGAAAGCCUGCAGACAAUCUCAAGCUUAACAAAAAGGAGAUGAAAGAAAGUUGGAAGUGGAAAAUAAAGAGUACGUGCAAGGGUGAAAUCCUCUAGCAGAUUGGGAGAGGUGCACCGUUCCAAGCACUGAGACAACCCAGAAGAGGGUCGAUGAUCUCCCCCUCACACAUUGCAGUAAACACCUUGUCAAACUCCUCCCCUGGUGACCUCACCUUUUCACCAGUCAGCAGCCCUGUUCCCAGCUCCUCCCUCACAAACUUGUACAAUGGGUAUGACCUGCACUCCUUGAUUCGGUUCGGAAUCGAUGGGUUUCCACUCUCCACCGCACCUCUUGCGCUCUCAACCUCUUUGGGCAAAACGGCCUUCAACUCCUCCUCGAAUGCCACUAUUUUUUGGAAGAUUGAGGUACUUCCAUUCUUCUCAUUUUCGCCAUUGCUCAGCGCAUGUUCCACCAGAACUUGCCUUAACUUCUGCAUCAGUGGAUAUGUGGCGCUGCAGGGGUCAUCGAUGUAGGCGAAUACAUGUUCCCUAUCCACCACUUUUAGCAAGUCCUUCUCGCAGAAUCUCGAUGGAUGGAGUCCUCCAUUGGCUCCAGUGGUUAGAGUCUUCUUAGCUACGUGGCUUACAGUCUUCUUCACAGUGCUCUUCAAAUUCUCCUCCAAAUGCCUCAAAUCAAUGGCCUGGCAGAGUGCUACUAUGUAUGUGGUAGACAUGAGCUUCAAGAUAUCCACCGCUUCAGCUGUUUUCCUGGAGGAGAUUAAGCCCAAGGAGUUCACAUCUUGGUUGUGUUGCUCAGCACUUUGGACAUGGUUGGUAACAGGAUUGGCCAAGAACUGGAGCUCUGAACAGUAGGAAGCCAUGGCAAUUUCUGCUCCCUUGAAACCAUAGUCCAGACUCGGGUUCCGGCUUCCAGAGAGAUUUGAUGGCAGUCCAUUGUUGUAGAAGUCAUUGACAAGCUCUGAGAACUGGGCAAACAUAAGCUUCCCAAUGGCUGCAAUGGCCAAGCGGGUGUUGUCCAUGGAGACUCCAAUUGGGGUCCCCUGGAAGUUGCCACCAUGUAGAGCCUUGUUCCUGGAAACAUCGAUCAAGGGGUUAUCAUUCACAGAGUUGAUCUCCCGUUCGAUGGAUUUAGUUGAUGCUCGGAUGACUUCAAUGUGUGGGCCAAGCCAUUGAGGUGAAGUCCUGAGAGCAUAUCGAUCUUGCUUCGGCUUCUGCAGAGGAUCCAUCUCAUGUAGCUUCUUAGCUUCUUUCACAUAAGAGCUUCCAUCUAGAAUGUGCUCCAUAAUGGCUGCAGCCUCGAUUUGGCCAGGGUGGUGCUUCAAUUUGUGAGUCAAGUGGUCAGUGAAUUCGGGCUUCCCCUGCAUCACUUCAGCAAAAACAGCCGAUAAAACUUCAGACAAAACUGCCAGCACAUUGGUCUCAAAAAGCACCAUAGAGGCCAAGCCAGAGCCAACUGCAGUGCCAUUAACAAGAGCCAGGCCUUCCUUAGGCUGCAACUCAAAAAAUCCCGACUCGAUCCCAGCCAUUUUAAAGGCCUCUUCGGCAUUGACAACUUCACCGGAAGGUCCAACAGCUUUGGAAUUAGGCCUGCCGGUGAGAAGACCAGCGAUGUAGGAGAGAGGAACCAGGUCUCCGGAGGCAGUGACGGUGCCACGCAGAGGCAAGCAUGGAGUGAUGUUGUGAUUGAGGAGCUUGGUGAUUGCUUCCAGAAUCUCAAAUCUGAUGCCGGAGUAGCCUUGGAGGAGGGUGUUGAUCCUCACGAGCAUGGCGGCUCUUGUUGCUGAGUGAGGCAGUGUGUGGCAUGACUCUGUUCCGUUCCCAAAUAUCCCAGCAUUCAAGAACCUGUAUCAAGCAUCAACAACCCAGCACAUCACCAACCAAUUCAAGUUUUCAAAUCAAAACAACUGUUUUAGAUAAUAGAAAGUAACCAAAAAGGACUGGAUUCAUUAAGAGAUAUGAAUAAGUUAAGACGUCAAAGUUGACCGGUGGCCAUUAACUCACGUAUCCUAACACCGAGUUUUAAAAGCGCUUUUAAGUUUUUUUUUUUUUUUUAACAUCGGCUAUCAAGUAUUCCUUUGCGAAAUAUUAAAAGUAAUUUUUUCACUUUUCAAAAGUGAUUCAAACUACUAAUAUUUUUCCAAAAGUGCUUUUAUGAAGUAUUUUCUAAAACCACUGUAAAGUAAUUUUACCUGAUGAGCUCCUUCUGAAGGGCACCACCUUGUUUGGUUCUCCUAUGUGAAGUGGCACCAAACCCAGUGGUGACACCAUAGCUGUCGGUGCCUUUGCUCAUGCUCUCCAUCACCCACUCACUGCUCGCGUUCACGCCCGCUCUCGCCGUCUCCGACAACUCCACACUCACAUCCCCCUCCCGCCCAGCGAUUGCCGCCACCUGCGAUAUGGUAAGCGUCUCACCACCGAGCCGAACCACCGGCUUCCGGUACUCCGCCACCAUGCGCUUCACUUCAUCCAAAUGGCUUCCCUUCAACGUCUCCGCAGCCAUUCCCCAGUUCAGUGGAUCACUUACGCAGAAACUCUCCACCUUGUUGCUUUCAUGGCAGUUCAUUGCAUCCAUGUCUUAGAAUCCCCACAAAGAAACAACUUUAAAAAGCUGGUUUUUCUCGACAACCAAGAAGGAGAGAGAGAGAGAGAGAGAGAGAGAGAGAGAGAGGAACUAGUGAGUAGGGCUCUGAGUUUACUAAGGUGUAUACAGAAGCCUCUACUUAUAUAGAACUUUUCAGCCCUGCAGUCUUUGAAAUUCCACAGGGUCACUGGUAGGUGGGCGGGACGGCAGAGUGGCUUCAUGGGGCUUGUUGAAAACCAAUCCAGACCCUUAAUCUGUCUACGCGGAAGGCUCAGAUGCUGCAGCGUGACGUGGAAUCCAUGUGGAUUUAGGGAUGGAGCCCGGAUGUUCUUACUGGUCAAAACCCAAGACAAAUGUGGCGUGCGGCCGAAGGGUUGGUGGGUUGUGGGAGUUGUUAGCCUACUUAAUGUAAUUCAAUUCCUUGAUUAAAAAAUAACAAAAGGAAAAUCAUUUGAGCAUACGCUCCCUAAAAGAAGUUAAAAAACGGUCUACUUCUUUAUUUCUAAUAUUUAAAAACAAAGAACACCGAAGAACAAGAAUAAGUAAAAGUUAAUUUUAUCAAAUUUUAAAAACAAAUUAAAAAUAAAUGAAAACCUUGCUUUAAAAAUUAAUAUGUGGAUGGUAUAUGCCACGUAAAUAUAUGAUAUAGAUACGAUUUUUGGCAUACUCAGUCCAAAAGAAGUUAAAGAACGGUUUUCUAUUUUAAAAAGUAAAAAAAUAUUUUUAAAAUUUUAUUACACUAUUUGAUUAUUGUUUUUUUAUUUUUUACUUUUUAAAACAAAGAAACACGUAAAAUAGUUUUUAAAAUAAGUAAAAAUAAUUUUUAUCAAUUUUUAAAAAUAAAUUAUAAAUGGAAUGAAACUUCAUAAAUUAAUACGUGGAUGGUAAAUGUCACAUAGAUACAAGUUUCACUACCAUUCACAAUAUAUGGACCAGACUUUUUCAUAUGAUAUAGAUACAAUUUUUAUUUAUAUUCACAUGUUUAAAUCAUAUGAUUUUUUUAAUCUAUUUUUUAAUGAAAAAUUAUUUGACCAAGUAUAAAUACAUGAUUGGUUUUUGCAACUUACAAAACCAAUAUGCCUUCCUCCGACAAUUUUGACCGAUUGAAUUUGGACCAAAGAGCAAUAUCAUAUUAAUAGGUGAGUAUAUGGUGGGUGGCAAGACCCAUUGCAAAAAUAGUUUGUGAAGAGAUUGGAACUAGCCUUAAUCCAUCUCUUAUUCAAUUUGAGAUAAAAUGGGGAUUUAGUCGUUCAAAGCUAUUGGAUUUGACUAAAUUCUUUGCACUUUCACAUUCUAUCCAACUCAACUUUUGCAUCAUUUGAUUCAAAUAUGAAAAUAUAUUCUGCAAACAAAUCAUUCCAAGGGAGUUUUCUUUUAUUUCUUUUCCUUUUGUAAUCUUUUCUUCAAUCAUUUUUAUCUUGUGUGAUAUUCAAAAGAAUAUUAGCUUUGACGUUUCAUAAAUAUGGAAUUGAAAAUAAGCAAAAAUGGAUCAAAAUAGUACCCCUUUAGUUUCAUGUUGAGAGAGUAAUGAUGGAAUAUGAUAAGAAUUUUGAGGAGAUAUGUCUACCUAAAACCUACAGCCUUAGGGUCCAUGACAUAAGCCCCAGGUGCUAUGACGGCCUCCUUGUUCGUGGGUAUACCUAAUAAUAUUUGUACAGUAAGAGAAGAAGUUUGAAAUUUGGAGCAUAGCGAUUCAACAACUACUACACAUUAGAAAAUAGUCAGUGACCUAGUUACAAGCCCAUAGUACAAAAAACCAAACAAUCUUCAUCUCAGGUAACCAGAGGUACCUCAUUCUCAAAUACCAACAAAGCAACUCGAUGUAUACCUACCAGCCAAGACACUCUUUCUCAUAGUUGACAACUAAACCUCUAUCAAAACGACCAUUUAAGACAUACUGCAUCUUACUCAACUUGUUCGGAAGUUUAGGACCCUUUUUAUUAGGUGAAACUUGCUAAUGGUUUUACGCUCAAUCAAAGGCACUCGUAUGAAAUUAAGAAGCUAUAAAAGUCGCUAGCAGCAUAUAGUGGACAAACAUAUAUACUUCAAAGUAACUUGGGUGUUCAUAAAUUAGAUGCACCAUAAGAGGUCACCUAACUUACUCAACCUCUAUGAGAAGUCAUUAGAAAGAUAAGAAUGAUCUUGAUGUUAACUCACAUGCACAUCAACUAAAUGGAAGGAAAUCUUAUCAACCAAGCAAGAAAUCGAUUGAAGUUCAAAUAAGUCUUCUCAAACACACCUAUUUUAUGAUCUCUAACUUAUUUUUUUUAUUUUGAAAAGGAAAAUGGUGAAAACCUACAUCUCAUGAGUUAGGAAAACCUUCCAAUUGAAAACCAAAGGCCAAGUUAGUCUCAAGACAAAAGCCAUUACUGAUAGUUUAGUCAAGAAUAAAUUGUCAAGGUGAACAACUAAAAAAAAAUUCUAAAGGUAUCUCUACUAAGAACUCUAAAUAAAACUAGCAUAAAUCCUUCUCAUUAAAGACAUUCCUUUGUUAAAAUACCCUCUAUGGUUGUAUGUGAAAGUUAUCUUAGUGCAAAACCAACCCCUCACUCUUUUGAAAACGGAUCAUCUUUGUGCUAAGUUGACCUUUAUAUCUUCAAGUAUAGGUCACACUUAUUCUUAUUAAGUCAAACUUUGCCUUCGAAUAUGGGUCAACUUUGCACCAAACCAACUUUUAUCUAUGAGCAUGGAUCAUCUCUAUGGUAAAACCUUUAACCAGAAGGCCCUUAGAUGUGCAUUCUAGCAAAAAAGUUGACUAGUUGUCAAAACCAUAAUGGUCAUUUCUAGCCGUUCUAGUAUGUAUAGUGCUCAACCUAAAUCUUUUCUACUAUCCACCUUGGAAACAUUACAGAUUCCACUAAUUGCAUGGGAACUAAACAAUUGAACUUGCCUGUUGACUUAAGAUGUAGGAACUAUUACAAGACAAGAUAAGCUAUGAAAUGAGUCCACGUUAUGAAAAAAUCAUUCCAAUAACAGAUCAAAAUUUUACGCUAGCUGAAAAUAACAACCUCUUAAUCAAAAACAACAAGUUGGAGAGUCUAACAAAGAGAUUGAAUCUAACAAAGAUACAUCCAGGAGCCUCACCUGGGAAGGUUAAUGCAUGACCAUUAUCAAUUACAUUAUAAAAAAAGUUUAAUAUUUCAUGAUCGAAACAAGCACACUGAUACAAGAUAUUUUUCUAGUAGAAAGCGCAUUAUAAAAAAAGAAGUGCAAUUAAAAUUUGUAAAACCUCAAGGUCAAAUUGUUGAUAUUUUUACUACAAUCCCAUUAUUCCAAAAUAUUGGUAUAAGAGUUCAAAUUGUAGAUAUUUUUAAUUACAACAAUCCAAUUACUCCAACAAAUUGCUAUCAGAGCUUCCAUAUAGCCAACAAUUAAUAUAAACAAUUUUUGUAUCAGAAAAUUGAAGGUGUGCAGACAAUCUCAAGUUUUACAAACAGAGAUGAAAGAAAAUUGGAAGUGGAAAAUAAAGAGUAUGUGGAAGGGUGAAAUCCCCUAGCAGAUUGGGAGAGGUGCACCGUUCCAAGCACUGAGACAAUCCAGAAGAGGGUCGAUGAUCUUCCCCUCACACAUUGCAGUAAACACCUUGUCAAACUCCUCCCCUGGUGACCUCACCUUUUCACCAGUCAGCAGCCCUGUUCCCAGCUCCUCCCUCACAAACUUGUACAAUGGGUAUGACCUGCACUCCUUGAUUCGGUUCGGAAUUGAUGGGUUUCCACUCUCCACCCCACCUCUUGCGCUCUCAACCUCUUUGGGUAAAACGGCCUUCAACUCCUCCUCGAAUGCCACUAUUUUUUGGAAGAUUGAGGUACUUCCAUUCUUCUCAUUUUCGCCAUUGCUCAACGCAUGUUCCACCAGAACUUGCCUUAACUUCUGCAUCAGUGGAUAUGUGGCGCUGCAGGGGUCAUCGAUGUAGGCAAAUACAUGUUCCCUAUCCACCACUUUUAGCAAGUCCUUCUCGCAGAAUCUCGAUGGAUGGAGUCCUCCAUUGGCUCCAGUGGUUAGAGUCUUCUUAGCUACGUGGCUUACAGUCUUCUUCACAGUGCUCUUCAAAUUCUCCUCCAAAUGCCUCAAAUCAAUGGCCUGGCAGAGUGCCACUAGGUAUGUGGUAGACAUGAGCUUCAAGAUAUCCACCGCUUCAGCUGUUUUCCUGGAGGAGAUUAAGCCCAAGGAGUUCACAUCUUGGUUGUGUUGCUCAGCGCUUUGGACAUGGUUGGUAACAGGAUUGGCCAAGAACUGGAGCUCUGAACAGUAGGAAGCCAUGGCAAUUUCUGCUCCCUUGAAACCAUAAUCCAGACUCGGGUUCCGGCUUCCAGAGAGAUUUGAUGGCAGUCCAUUGUUGUAGAAGUCAUUGACAAGCUCUGAGAACUGGGCAAACAUAAGCUUCCCAAUGGCUGCAAUGGCCAAGCGAGUGUUGUCCAUGGAGACUCCAAUUGGGGUCCCCUGGAAGUUGCCACCAUGUAGAGCCUUGUUCCUGGAAACAUCGAUCAAGGGGUUAUCAUUCACAGAGUUGAUCUCCCGUUCGAUGGAUUUAGUUGAUGCUCGGAUGACUUCAAUGUGUGGGCCAAGCCAUUGAGGUGAAGUCCUGAGAGCAUAUCGAUCUUGCUUCGGCUUCUGCAGAGGAUCCAUCUCAUGUAGCUUCUUAGCUUCUUUCACAUAAGAGCUUCCAUCUAGAAUGUGCUCCAUAAUGGCUGCAGCCUCGAUUUGGCCAGGGUGGUGCUUCAAUUUGUGAGUCAAGUGGUCAGUGAAUUCGGGCUUCCCCUGCAUCACUUCAGCAAAAACAGCCGAUAAAACUUCAGACAAAACUGCCAGCACAUUGGUCUCAAAAAGCACCAUAGAGGCCAAGCCAGAGCCAACUGCAGUGCCAUUAACAAGAGCCAGGCCUUCCUUAGGCUGCAACUCAAAAAAUCCCGACUCGAUCCCAGCCAUUUUAAAGGCCUCUUCGGCAUUGACAACAUCACCGGAAGGUCCGACAGCUUUGGAAUUAGGCCUGCCAAUGAGAAGACCAGCGAUGUAGGAGAGAGGAACCAGGUCUCCGGAGGCAGUGACGGUGCCACGCAGAGGCAAGCAUGGAGUGAUGUUGUGAUUGAGGAGCUUGGUGAUUGCUUCCAGAAUCUCAAAUCUGAUGCCGGAGUAGCCUUGGAGGAGGGUGUUGAUCCUCACGAGCAUGGCGGCUCUUGUUGCUGAGUGAGGCAGUGUGUGGCAUGACUCUCUUCCGUUCCCAAAUAUCCCAGCAUUCAAGAACCUGUAUAGGAAAUAUCAAGCAUCAACAACCCAGCACAUCACCAACCAAUUCAAGUUUUCAAAUCAAAACAACUGUUUUAGAUAAUAGAAAGUAACCAAAAAGGACUAGAUUCAUUAAGAGAUAUGAAUAAGUUAACACGUCAAAGUUGACUGGUGGCCAUUAACUCACGUAUCCUAACACCGACUUUUAAAACAUCGGCUAUCAAGUAUUCCUUUGCGAAAUAUUAAAAGUAAUUUUUUCACUUUUGAGAAGUGAUUCAAACUACUAAUAUUUUUCCAAAAGUGCUUUUAUGAAGUAUUUUCUAAAACCACUGUAAAGUAAUUUUACCUGAUGAGCUCCUUCUGAAGGGCACCACCUUGUUUGGUUCUCCUAUGUGAAGUGGCACCAAACCCAGUGGUGACACCAUAGCUAUCGGUGCCCUUGCUCAUGCUCUCCAUCACCCACUCACUGCUCGCGUUCACGCCCGCUCUCGCCGUCUCCGACAACUCCACACUCACAUCCUCCUCCCGCCCCGCGAUAGCCGCCACCUGCGAUAUCGUAAGCGUUUCACCACCAAGCCGAACCACCGGCUUCCGGUACUCUGCCACCAUGCGCUUUACUUCAUCCAAAUGGCUCCCCUUCAACGCCUCCGCUGCCACUCCCCAGUUCAGCGGAUCACUCACGACGAAACUCUCCACCUUUUUGCUUCCGUGGCAGUUCAUUGCUUCCAUGUCUUCGAAUCCCCACAAAGAAACAACUGCAAAAAGCUGGUUUUUCACGACAACGAAGAAGGAAAGAGAGAGAGAGGGAGAGAGGAACUGGAGGAAAUCUGAAAGUUGGGCUCUGAAAUUCUGAGUUUCCUGAGAAGUACGGUGACAGAGGCUUUUCCUUAUAUAGAGUGCCUUGAGCCUAGGAGUCUUUGAAAUGCCACAGGUCAAUGGUAGGUGGGCGGGAUGGCAAAGUGGCUUCAUGGGGUUUGUUGAAAACCAAUCCCGACCCUUGAUCUGUCUACGCUAAAGGCUCAGAUGCUGCAACGUGAUCUGCAUGUGGAUUUAGGAAUGGAGCUCGUAUGUUCGUACUGGUCAGACCCCAAGACAACUGUGGUGUGCGGUCAAUGGGUUGGUGCCAUGUGGAAUUGUUGGCCUACGUAAUGUAAUUUAUAUCUCCAAAUCCGAACUCGUUAAAAAAAUAAUAAUAAAAAAUGAUGUAAUCAUACUCUAGCUAAAAACAAAAGGAUUUUUGAAAAUUUAAAAACAGGUUUUUAUUUUUAAAAAUAAAAAAUAAUUUUUAAAUUAUGUGAUCAAAUAAACUUUAAAGUUGUUGAAAAUUUUAUUAUUGAUUAGGAAGUUUUAAAAAUUCAUUUCUAUUUUUAAAAAUAAAAUACGGUUUAACUUCUAGUUGUGUUUGGCCUUUAUUAAUCUCUAGGUACAAAUUUUAAAAAUGAGAUUAAAAAGAAAAUAAUUUUUAAAAAGCAAAAUAGGUUAUUUUUUGUGUUUUUAAAACCAAGAGAAAACAAAAAAACAAAAAAUGGAAAAGGAAACAAAAAACAAAAAAUGGAAAAGGACUUCUCUCAAUCGGAUGAGACAUUCUUCUACAAAGUCCACACAUAUAGAGAAAUAAGAAGAGAUUUCUCUAAGGUUAGGUUUUUUCUCAUCAUGUUUUUCCUCCUCUAUUAAGAUUAUUAUUAUUAUUAUUAUUAUUAUUAUUAUUAUUAUGUAUGUUUUUAGGUUACAUUAAGAAAUUAGAGGAAAACAAAGGAAAUAAGAGGAAAAAUAUAAUAGAGUCCACUGUUUGACAAUGGUCUUAUAUAUAUAUAUAUAUAUAUAUAUAUGUGUGUGUGUGUGUGUGUGUGUGUAGAUUCCUUGAUCAUCGAGACCCCAAGAGAUGUAAGAAACAAACUCUAGUACCUCCACACUUGGUCCCAUGUUUGUUUCGUAACUUGUUAAUAAUGGUCCUCAUUGUUAUAUAACAAAGGAUAUGGAAGCUAGAGUUUCAAGUCUAGGCUAGGAAACAAAGUGGAUUUAAAGACUUCUGACCAAAAAGGGAGCAUUUGGCUUGAUUACUUUGAAUAGCAAUUUUAUUAAAUUUAAAGUGUGUUUGAUAGUAAUUUUAAAAAACGUUUAUAAUAUUUUUAGCAUUUGAAUGAUACAAAAUUUUAAGUAUUAAAAAGGUUAGAAAUACUUUCUAAAAUUACUGUCAAAUGAGCUCUUAAUUUGGGAGCCUUUUAGACCUUAUAAUGAUUUAUUUAUUAUACUAGCUAUCCUCCAUCGUUCUGAAUAUGUAUUUUUAAUUUAAUUUUUUAUCAUCACUUUUUAUUAUUAUUUUUUAAAAUGAUUUCUCAUUCUUAUUUUUGUUUUUCUUUCUUUGGAUUAAAAAAAAUCGUGGGAUUGAUAAUUGAAAAUUUGGCAACAAGUUUGAUAUUGCUCAAAAUCUUUAGUAUUAAAUGUCUUAUUAACAACAAGGGAGAGACUACACUAAUACAUAUAAUUGUGUGAUGACCCAAACCACAAAGUUAGGACACCAUAGUUAUUUUACAUGUAAAACUCAAAGGCUUGACAUAAAAAUGAUCCAAUAAGUUGGAAUAAUUAGCAACAUGCUAAUCACAAAACCUAUUUGAAGUAGUAAUUAAGCUUACCUAAAAGUCUUAAUUAAAAAUUUGUCUUCACAUACAAAAUCCAUAAAUCCUAAUUAUGACAAUUCUCCCAAAAGUAGUAGGAAAUAAAAAAUCACUAAAAUCCAAAUAAACUAGUCUCAAAACUAAACAAAUAAAAGAACUUUUUGAACCCUUCUUAUUCAUGUCACUCAUUCCUAGAAUCAAGUGUGCCUAAAAACAUUUAAUAAAAGAAGUGAGUUUGAAAGCCCAAUAAGGGAUAGAGAUCAAGUACAUUUUUUUCCCCAAAAAUGAAAUAGGAAAUGCUUGUAACAUAAGUGAAAUCAUACGAAACAAACUUGUAUUACAUGUACUAUUUUUCAAUAAAAGUAUCAAAUCAAAUUUCUUGAUAAACAUGCAUAUAUUCAAAAUAAAAUUUUGAUUAUUAAUAGAAGUGUCCAUAAUAGUGGGACUUACAGAGGUGUCCAUCAUAGUAGGACUUAUAAAAGUGACUAGCCUCAAAUGUUCCUUACAUGUUAAUAGUUGAAAUUGAAACCAAUCUCCACCAAGUUUUUAUUAUCAUGAAUUACUAACUACCCUACUAAGUUUUUUAUUAUCAUUAUCUCCACCAAAAGUGACAAAGGUCAACAUCUUUUCCCUUAUUGACUAAGGUUAGAUAACCAAAAUGUACAUAUAAAGUACAAAUAUAGUCAAAUAAAAAUAAUUCCAAAUUUUAAUAUUUCAAACUUAUCUAAACAUUUUUUUAUAUACUUUUACAAAAUUCCCUUACCUAAGUUGAAUAAAUCUAAAUGAACAGUCACAUAAGAGAUUUAAAAGAAUCAUUCAAAUUAAAGUCUUGAUAAAUAUUAUUCUAAGUAUAUAUUUAUUUAUUUAUUAACCCUAUACCAGUAAAUCAAUUCAUCUAGGAAAAUAUCCAAUACUUAAAGAAAUUUUAGCCUAAAAUUAUUUUUGCAAAGGUUCUAGCCACCCACGAAACACUCGCCUAUUAAUAUGAUAUUGCUUUUUUGUUUAAAUUCAUUCAUGCAAUAUCGUGAGAUAAAGGCAUACUUGUUUGGUAAGUUACAAAAACCAAUCCUCUAAUUAUGCUAGGUCAAAUAAUUUUCAUUAAAAAUAGAUGAAAAAAAAUAGUAUGAUUUAAACAUGUGAAUAUAAACAAAACUCGUAUCUAUAUUAUAUGAAAAUGUCUCAUCUAUACAUUGUGAAUGGUAGUAAAACUCGUAUUCAUGCGGCAUGUACCAUCCAUGUUUAAUUUAUUUUUAAAAAUUGGUGAAAGUAAUUUUUACUUAUUUUUUAAAAAUUGCUUUCUAUUUUCCUUUGUUUUUCCAAGUUGGAAAUAAAAAACAAAGAUGAAACUGUAUAAUAGAAUUUUAAAAACAAUUACCAUUUUUUAACUUCUAUUAGAUGGUGCAUACUCAAAUGAUUUUCCUUUUAUUUUUCUAAUCAACAAAUUGAAAUUUCAUCAAGUAGGCUAACAACCUCCACAUCCCAGCAACCCUUUGACCGCACACCAGAUUUGUCUUGGGGUUUGACCAGUAAGAACGUCCGGGCUCCAUCCCUAAAUCCACAUGGAUUCCACGUCACGUUCCAGCAUUUGAGCCUUUCGCGUAAGACAGAUUAAGGGUCUGGAUUGGUUUUCGACGAACCCCAUGAAGCCGCUUCGCCAUCCAGCCCACCUACCAGUGGCCCUGUGGAAUUUAAAAGACUCCAGGGCUCAAACGUUCUAUAUAAGUAAAAGCUUCUGUGUCACCAUACACCUCACUAAAUUCAGAGCCCUACUCUCUAGUUCCUCUCUCUCUCUCUCUCUCUCUCUCUCUCUCUCUCUCUCUUUCCUUCUUGGUUGUCGACAAAAACCAGCUUUUUGAAGUUGUUUCUUUGUGCGGAUUCUAAGACAUGGAUGCAAUGAACUGCCAUGGAAGCAACAAGGUGGAGAGUUUCUGCGUGAGUGAUCCGCUGAACUGGGGAAUGGCUGCGGAGACGUUGAAGGGAAGCCAUUUGGAUGAAGUGAAGCGCAUGGUGGCGGAGUACCGGAAGCCGCUGGUUCGGCUCGGUGGUGAGACUCUUACGAUAUCGCAGGUGGCGGCUAUCGCCGGGCGGGAGGGGGAUGUGAGUGUGGAGUUGUCGGAGACGGCGAGAGCGGGUGUGAAUGCGAGCAGUGAGUGGGUGAUGGAGAGCAUGAGCAAAGGCACCGACAGCUAUGGUGUCACCACUGGGUUUGGUGCCACUUCACAUAGGAGAACCAAACAAGGUGGUGCCCUUCAGAAGGAGCUCAUCAGGUAAAAUUACUUUACAGUGGUUUUAGAAAAUACUUCAUAAAAGCACUUUUGGAAAAAUAUUAGUAGUUUGAAUCACUUUUCAAAAGUGAAAAAUUACUUUUAAUAUUUCGCAAAGGAAUACUUGAUAGCCGACGUUUUAGGAGUGUUUUUUUUUUAAAAUAAAAAUAAAAACUUAAAAGCGCUUUUAAAACUCGGUGUUAGGAUAGGUGAGUUAAUGGCCACCAGUCAACUUUGACGUGUUAACUUAUUCAUAUCUCUUAAUGAAUCCAGUCCUUUUUGGUUACUUUCUAUUAUCUAAAACAGUUGUUUUGAUUUGAAAACUUGAAUUGGUUGGUGAUGUGCUGGGUUGUUGAUGCUUGAUAUUUCCUAUACAGGUUCUUGAAUGCUGGGAUAUUUGGGAACGGAACAGAGUCAUGCCACACACUGCCUCACUCAGCAACAAGAGCCGCCAUGCUCGUGAGGAUCAACACCCUCCUCCAAGGCUACUCCGGCAUCAGAUUUGAGAUUCUGGAAGCAAUCACCAAGCUCCUCAAUCACAACAUCACUCCAUGCUUGCCUCUGCGUGGCACCGUCACUGCCUCCGGAGACCUGGUUCCUCUCUCCUACAUUUCUGGUCUUCUCACCGGCAGGCCUAAUUCCAAAGCUGUUGGACCUUCCGGUGAAGUUGUCAAUGCCGAAGAGGCCUUUAAAAUGGCUGGGAUCGAGUCGGGAUUUUUUGAGUUGCAGCCUAAGGAAGGCCUGGCUCUUGUUAAUGGCACUGCAGUUGGCUCUGGCUUGGCCUCUAUGGUGCUUUUUGAGACCAAUGUGCUGGCAGUUUUGUCUGAAGUUUUAUCGGCUAUUUUUGCUGAAGUGAUGCAGGGGAAGCCCGAAUUCACUGACCACUUGACUCACAAAUUGAAGCACCACCCUGGCCAAAUCGAGGCUGCAGCCAUUAUGGAGCACAUUCUCGACGGAAGCUCUUAUGUGAAAGAAGCUAAGAAGCUACAUGAGAUAGAUCCUCUGCAGAAGCCGAAGCAAGAUCGAUAUGCUCUCAGGACUUCACCUCAAUGGCUUGGCCCACAGAUUGAAGUCAUCCGAGCAUCAACUAAAUCCAUCGAACGGGAGAUCAACUCUGUGAAUGAUAACCCCUUGAUCGAUGUUUCCAGGAACAAGGCUCUACAUGGUGGCAACUUCCAGGGGACCCCAAUUGGAGUCUCCAUGGACAACACCCGCUUGGCCAUUGCAGCCAUUGGGAAGCUUAUGUUUGCCCAGUUCUCAGAGCUUGUCAAUGACUUCUACAACAAUGGAUUGCCAUCAAAUCUCUCUGGAAGCCGAAACCCGAGUCUGGAUUAUGGUUUCAAGGGAGCAGAAAUUGCCAUGGCUUCCUACUGUUCAGAGCUCCAGUUCUUGGCCAAUCCUGUUACUAACCAUGUCCAAAGUGCUGAGCAACACAACCAAGAUGUGAACUCCUUGGGCUUAAUCUCCUCCAGGAAAACAGCUGAAGCGGUGGAUAUCUUGAAGCUCAUGUCUACCACAUACCUAGUGGCACUCUGCCAGGCCAUUGAUUUGAGGCAUUUGGAGGAGAAUUUGAAGAGCACUGUGAAGAAGACUGUAAGCCACGUAGCUAAGAAGACUCUAACCACGGGAGCCAAUGGAGAACUCCACCCAUCGAGAUUCUGCGAGAAGGACUUGCUAAAAGUGGUGGAUAGGGAACAUGUAUUCGCCUACAUCGAUGACCCCUGCAGCGCCACAUAUCCACUGAUGCAGAAGGUAAGACAAGUUCUGGUGGAACAUGCUCUGAACAAUGGCGAAAAUGAGAAGAAUGGCAGCACCUCAAUCUUCCAAAAAAUAGUGGCAUUCGAGGAGGAGCUGAAGGCCGUUUUGCCCAAAGAGGUUGAGAGCGCAAGAGGUGGGGUGGAGAGUGGAAACCCAUCAAUUCCAAACCGAAUCAGGGAGUGCAGGUCAUACCCAUUGUAUAAGUUUGUAAGGGAGGAGCUGGGAACAGGACUGCUGACAGGUGAAAAGGUGAGGUCACCAGGGGAGGACUUUGACAAGGUGUUCACUGCAAUGUGUGAGGGGAAGAUCAUCGACCCUCUUCUGGAUUGUCUCAGUGCUUGGAACGGUGCUCCUCUCCCAAUCUGCUAGGGGAUUUCACCCUUGCACAUAAUCUGCUAGGGGAUUUCACCCUUGCACAUACUCUUUUACCUUUCACUUCCAACUUUCUUUCAUCUCUGUUUGUAAAACUUGAGAUUGUCAGCACGCUUUUUAUUUUGUGAUACAAAAGUUGUUUAUAUUAAUUCUUGGCUAUGCGAAAGAUUUGAUACCAAUUUGUUGGAGUAAUAGGAUUGUGGUCAAAAUAACUACAAUUUAAUCUUGAUACCAAUUGUUGGAAUGAUAGGAUUGUAGUACACUCUCAACAAUUCGAUCUUGAGAUUUUACAAAUUUUAAUUAUACUUUUUUUUUUUAUAAUACACUCUCUAAUAAAAUGAUAUCUGGUAUCAAUGUGCUUGCAUUGGUAAUGAAAAAUUGAAUUUUUUUAUAAUGUAAUUGAUAAUGGUUUGCCCAUGCAUUAACCUUCCCAGGAGGGGUUCCUAGAUGUGUCUCUGUUAGAGUCAAUCUCUUUGCUAUACUCUCCAACCUAUUGCUUUUGAUUAAGAGGUUGUCAUUAUAGACUAGCUUAAGGUUCUCGAUCUGUUAUUUGAAUGAUUUUAUCAUGAGGUGGACUCAUUCCAUAGUCUAUCUUCUUUUGUAAUAGUUCCUAAUGUUUCCAAGAUGGAUGAUAGAAAAGAUUCGGGUUGAGCUCUCUGCAUACUAGAAUGGUUAGAAAUGACCAUUAUGGUUUUAAAAACAGUUCUACUUUUUUACUAGAAUGCACUUCUAGGGACCUUUUGGUUAAAGGUUUUACCAUGGGGAUGAUCCAUGCUCAUAUAUAGAAGUUUUUCUAGUGCAAAGUUGACCCCAUACUUGAAGGCAAAAUUUGACUUAAUACGUAUAAAUAUAACCUAUACCCAAAGAUGUAGGGGUAGUCUUAGCACAAAGAUGAUUCAUUUCCAAAAGAGUGAGGGGCCAAUUUUGCACCAAGAUAACUUUCACAUACAACCAUAUAAGGUAGUUUAACAAAGGGAUGUCUUGAAUUAGAAGGAUGAAUGCUAGUUUUCUUUAAAGUUCUUAGUAAAGAUACCUUUAAUUAGAAUUUUUUUUUUGUUAUUCACCUUGUCCAUUUAUUCUUUACUAGACUAUCAGUAAGGCCUUUUUCCUUGAAAUUAACUUGGCUUUAGGUUUUUGAGAAAAUAAAGGCUAUGCUUAAUUAAGAAAAACACCCAAAAAGGAGGGGGGGGGGGGGGGGUGAAUUGGGUUUUUUUUUAUAAAUCUUUUCAAUUUCAAACACAACAAGUUCAAGCACAAUAUAAACAAAAGCAAAGAGAUAGAGUUAGAGAAUUCAAACUCGGGUUUUAUAGUGGUUUGACACUUCCUUGCCUACGCCCACUCUCCUAACUUAGUGAGGAUUCCACUAACUUGAAGCUUCAACCAAGUUUCCAAUCUUCUCACACUUGGAUUUCGGCUCCAAUAGACUCUUACACAAUCUCUUCAAGAUUCAAACCUCUUGAAGGCUUUAACACUCAGUUUUUACAAGAAUGAAUCCCUCAACCUAGCUUAAGGAUAGCUCAAAUACAAGACAAAUCAAGGAUGACACACAAGAGUGCACUAAAGGAUAUGCAAGUAAUGAUUUAAUGCACUAAGAAAGAAAUGAGAGCUUUUUGGUCAAGAACAGGUAGGUAGACAAUUGAAUGCAAGUGUUCUCUAUAUCAUAAAUGAAGUGGAGCUCUCAAUUUAUAGGUCUCUAAGCUCAGGAGCCAAAAACAGCAAAAGGGAGCCUCGACCGGUCGAGUUAGGGGUCGACUGGUUCACUAGCUGUUGAAACAUUUAAUGCUUGGCAGGUUAUUGUUGCCUCGACCGGACCUUGAUUGGACCUCGACUGGGAAGAGGUCAACCUCAGCCGGGAAGAGGAAGCUACUAGAUGAGAGAGAGUGUUUUUGGCACUCCUCGACCGGGCCUCGAUCGAACAAGGGCAACCGAUCGACCGGUUCCCCAACCGGUUGAGCCGGUUGGCCAGAGCCUUGACCGGUUCAGUCUUUUGGCCCCGAAAACCUAUCUUUUUCAAUUUCUUUCUUUUAUAACACUUAGACAAGGUCUUUAGGUGAAAUAAUAUGCCCAUUUUAAAAUGUUUUGCCCAAGGUACAUUUGAUAAAACUCAGGUUUGAAUGAAAUUGAAGUUUUAAAGAAUAAACCGAGUUUUCUAAGAUGCAUGAAACGGUAUGAAAAUCCUAAGUGCACCCAUGCAUUCAUCUUACAUUCAUUUCCUAUGAUCAAAAGUCUUCCCAAAGUCUUGAUCUUGUAUCCAUUUGGUCAUUUGAUGAAUUUCCGAAUUUAUACCUAAGAUUCUUUACCAUUUAAAACAAUUAGUCACUUAACCAUAGUUUGUUAUCAUCAAAACCCGAUUAGGAGAACCCUUGGGCUAACAAUCUCCUUCUUUUUUAUGAUGACAAACCUCGGUUAUCUAGGAGAAAAAGAAAUCUCCCCCUCAAAUCAAUCAUGGAUCAAUUAAUUUGAAAUUUAUGAAUUUAAAGCCGAGAUAAACAGGACAUGCAAAUUAUCAAAAGCAAACAAUGUAAAUCAUGAAAAUAGCAUAUCAUAUAUAGUAAAAUCAAAUGUACACGAAGCAAAGCCAAACCAAGCAGAUGCUAUGAUAAUGAUAUGCAAGUAUAGGUCUCCUAGAUCCUAAAUAUCUCUUCCCUUUUGGCAACAUAAAAAAGAAAUGAAGAGGGUCUCGAUGAAAUCAAGGUUGAGGAGGUGGAAACACGGAACGGAGGUAAGCCAUCAUCUCAUCAUGGUUACUCUCCUGGCGACUCUCAAUGCGCUCAAUACUCUGCUAGAGAUGCUCGAAUGUAGCCUACUGCUAAUCCAUACGCUCCUCUAUACGCUCAAAUCUCUGUUGGAAAUGCUCAAACUGAGAAGUGAAGCCAGUUUGAUACUGAUCUAUGCAAUCCUCCAUUGACUAGAAUCGAGUAUCACUGACUACGACAAACUCCUCCAUACGAGUGCCAAGUGAACUGAUCUGAGUAGAUAAAUCCAUCUAAGACGCAUGAUUAGGAGCGUGAGGUGCCUGAGAUGGUAUCUCUGUGUGAGGAAGCUCGGUGAAUGAUGGCUGAGAGGAAGGUCCCGCUGUGUAAGUCGGCUCAGUCAUCAUAGGCUCAGAGAAUGUGGCCUCAAAAUGAAUACCCUCUGACUGAGGUGAAGGAGGAAUGUCAAGCUCGAGCCUUCUUUUGUCAAAGUCCCUUUAAGGGUCUAACCCACCCUCCAUUUCUCUGAUCUCGGCCUUCUCCUCUACUCCGGGAUGCAUUUGUCCCUGUUCCCAGGCAUAUGCUGGAGUUCGCUUAGCUCUCCUAAUCCAGGAGCCAUCGGGGGCCUUCUCAAACUUCAUCCGCCCCAAGGACUGCUCAUCAUAAGUGUCAUAAAUGGUAGGGGCCUCAAAGUCUGUCUCUCUGCUCAAAUCAAUCCUAACAUCCUUGAAUACUCUAGUAAGGAAGCGGUCGUAGGGGAGUAAUCGGGUCGUGCUAUCGCAGCAAGAGAUCAUGUGCAUCAUCAUCAGAUACCCCACGUGAAUCCGUCUCCCCGUUAGAAUCGAGUCCACAAUGAAUGCCUCAAGGUAGGAGACCUCGUCUCGAUGUCCGCCUCAUGACAAUAGGAUAGAGUAUAUCAUGUGAUAAAGGACUUGGUUGGUCAUGAUCAGGCUAUGUGCCGAUGGUUUGCCCAUCCCCUAGGCGUCUGCAAGGCCGCACAACCUCUGAAUAGCCUCUUUAGGCUCGAAACCCGACACAGUGGGCCAAACCUUGGACUUAUACACCCGUAGUCCAACUGAAAUGAUGUCGAAAAUACGGAAAAUGCUUGUAGACCCUCAAUUUUGUCCCUUUAGCACAUGUCUUUAAAUUUUGUUUUCAGUAUUCCAUAGUAGUUCCUUGGUGGCCCAUUACUACUCGUACAAUUUAUCUUUUUCUGAGUCACCUCGGAGACUCUGGUUGAGGGAUUGCCUAACCCCUUAUUGUGACCCUUGGCAAUUUUGAUUUAGACUUAAGUUUUUCAUUCUUUUUUAGGAUAGCUCUUAGGUGCUCUUUUAGGCCCACUUAGGCACCCUGGGCCCAUUUAGGCACUCUAGGCCCAUUUAGGCACCCUAGGUCCACUUAGGCACCCUAGGUCCACUUUAGGAUACUUAGUUCAUUAGACACCCAUGUAGGGCCGUUUAAACACUUCAUCGGGCUUAACUUUUAUAUAUAUAUAUAUAUAUAUAUAACUUUUAUUAUUGUUAUUAUUAUUAUUAUUAUUAUUGCAUGCAUUCGAUAAUUAUAUAUAUUUUGUUUAUUUAUUUUCAUUUUUACUUUUUAUUUGUUUAUUAUUAUCAUUGUCAUUAUUAUUAUUAUUAUUAUUAUUAUUUUUUAUUUUUAUUUUAUUUAUUUACUUAUCUAAUAGGAAAUUGCUUGAAUUGUUUAGACUUUAAAUAGACAUACGCCCCAUUAUUUAAUGAGGGGAUAUAUAAUCUAGUCUCUCUUGGUUCUUUUUCUUUUCUUUUAAAUCAUUAUUUUAUUACCAAUCUCAUGAUUUCCAUUAGUUUCUUCUUUUUUCUUCUAUAUUUUAUUUUAUUUUUUUUUUAUUUUUUUUUUAUUUUAUUCUGUUUUGCAUGAGGAAAUUAUUGAGAGAGAGCUUGCUACUGUUAAAGAUGGAGCUGUCCGAUUUGAAGUACCAGAAGAUAUUAAAUCCUAAAGCCUUGAUUUUGGAGCAGACCCUUAGAAUGAGGAUGAAGAUUGGUUUUUCGAUGAUGAAGAUUCUGAUACAGAAGAGUUUGAUGCUGAUCGGAGAGAAAUUUAAGUCACAGAAGGGGAAUGAUACAAGACAAGGGAGCCAAACACGUAAGCGGGUCUCAUAAUAGUCAGGAUAGUUCUAGUGAUUUCUUUGUUGCAUCGAAUGAGCUUUGGCAAGAAAUUCAUAAGGCAUCAAAACAAGUAUCUGGGCUUCGUAAUGCUCCAGAUAAUUCUGGUGUUUUAUUUGCUGCAUUGAUUGAGCUUUGACAGUGACACUGAGGAGAAGAAGAGUGAUUAUGAGGAUGGAAUUGAAAAUGGAGAAGCAGCAGGCGAGUCUGCACCACAUGCUGGGAGCAGAUACCUACGGGCUAAUGCUAGUGAUAGCGAUGAUUUUGAUGGUUAAGAGCGUGUUGUGCGAUCUGCCAAAGACAAGCGGUUUGAGGAGAUGUCUACUACUAUUGAUCAGACGAAGAAUGCUAUGAAGAUCAAUGACUGGGUCAGCCUACAAGAGAGCUUUGACAAAAUAAAUAAGCAGCCUGAGAAAGUCAUGCGGGUUAUAGAAUCUGACAAAGUUCCUACCCUUUACAUUAAGGCACUUGUGAUGUUGGAGGACUUUUUGAGUCGGGCUUUGGCAAAUAAGGACGCCAAGAAGAAGAUGAGUAGUAGCAAUGCCCAGGCCCUGAACUCAAUGAAAUAGAAAUUGUAGAAGAACAAUAAGCAGUAUGAAGAUAUGAAUAAUAAGUAUAGGGAACAUCUUGAGGACGAAGAAGAAGGUGAUGAGGACAAGUGAUUGUCAGAGGGAAGGCAAUUAAGAGUGUCCUUCAAACGAUUAAUCAUCACACUGGGGAGAAAGUUUGCCUUAGCUAGAUGUGCUGACAUGGAUAAAAAAAAUACUACUUUAAUGGGGCUCCCAAAGGCUGUCCUUGAAAAUAUUAUAUUUGUGCACCAAGAUGAUGCCAACUGACCACUAUAAGAUCUUUCAACAUUAAAAAAAAAAAAAAAAAAGGGAAGUUUGAUGAUAUUUUCUUUGCUACCCAGUACACUAAGGCGUUGGAGAUCAUUAAAAAGCUUCACAAAGAUCAAGCUCAAGAAAUAAAGACAUAUAAGCUGAAGUUAGAGAAUCUAUAAACUCGGAAAGAUGCAGUGUAUGAGGAAAUAUCGUGGCUGAAUGAGAGAUUCUUUGGGAAGACAAAAUCAGAAACCUCGUACACAAGUAGUCAUGCAUUCCAUAUUGACAGUCGUACUUUCCAUACUAGAGAGGCCAUUCACACGCAUUAAAAAAGGAAACAGAUAGAGAAUUCCACAGAAAGGGUGAGUUACCAUAUAAAUAAGACAGAGGAACAAAAGAAGGCAGGAUUUUUUUAGAGGAGGCCAUCCACGUGCGUUAGAAGGAAAAAGGAAAUAGAAUAUUCCAUACAAUGUGAGGCUGCCAUAUAAGAAAGGAACGGGCAGUAGAGAAAAUGAGGUUUUUUUUUUAGAGUUUAGCAAGGAGAUUUUUUUAGAAGGCACACGGAAGAGAUAUUAUUCUGGGAACAAAGAGAGGUCUGAAGGAGGCAGCCACCACACAUUGACCAUUGAGCACUAGCAGCCGCACCACCAUAGAGGGAUUCUAGAGAAGGUAAGUUAGAAUUUCUAAGGAUUUUAGUUUUAAUUUUUUAUUGGAUUGAAAGUUAGAGUUUUUAUGUAUUAAUUUUGAUUUUUUUUAAUCGGAUGAAAAAGUUAGAAUAUAGUUAGUUUGAUUUUGAUUCAUUGUCUUGGUUUCAAAAGUUAGGUUUUGUUUAGUUUAAUUUUAAUUCAUUAUGUUUAUCUCGAAAAAUUAGAAUUUUUGUUUGAUUCAAUUUUUUAUUCAUUGAACUAGAUUGAAAGGUUAAAAUUUUAUUUAAUCUAUUUUUUUUAUUCCUUGCGUUAUUUUGAAAUGUUUGAAUUUUGUUUAAUCUAGUUUUGAUUUUUUUAUAUUAGAUUGAAAAGUAAAUUUUUGUUUGCUUAGUUUUGAUUCAUUACUUUGGUUUAAAAGGUGAGAAUUUUUUGUUUUAUUUUAAUUUUGAUUCAUUAUAUUACAUUGAAAAAUUAGAAUCUUUGUGUAGUUUGGAUUUGAUUCCUUGCUUAGUUCGAAAAGUUAGAAUUUUUCUUAGAUCGGUUUUAAUAGAUUUAAUUUUAAAAGUCAAUUUUUUUAUGAGUCAGCUUUUUAUUUAGUUCAACUGUUUUAUAAUUUUUAGUCUAUCAUUCUAAUUGAUCCUAUGUAAUAAAGUUUAUGUUUUUAAGUUUAUUUUGAUCAUGUUUUGGUUCAUCUUAUUUAGUUUAGAUAUUUUAGAAUUUUAGCUCAUUAGUCUAUUUGAUCCCAUCUAAUUAAAUUUAUGUUUUUUAAAAAAAAAAUUGUAAAUCAUUUUUCUGAUUCAUCCUUUUUAGGAUUUAAGUUGAUUAGUUUAAGAAAUAUUUGGUUAAUUCUUGGUUGAUCCACUUUUAGUUUGUAUGUUUUCCAAAGUUUUAGAUAACUAAUUUAAUUAACCCUAAGUCGUAUUAUUCAUGUUUUGAGUAUACUAAUCUUCAUUCUUGGUUUAUCAAUAUUUAGUUCAUGCUUUUUUUUUUCUAAUAGGUUAAUUAGUUUAACUAAUCUUAUGUUAUUUUGCUCACGUUCUAAAAUUGAUGAUUCUAGUUUUUGAUUAGUUAAUAUGUUUUAGAAUUCUAUGUGCUUGUGUUACUAUAUUCACAUUAUUAUAAUUACAUGUUUAGGUGUUUGGUUGAUUUUAAAUUAGUUCUAGAUUGUUUAUCUCAAUUUAUGUGUUUGAUUGAUCCUUAUAAAUUCUCGAUUAAUAUUUCAUUAGUUUUAUUUGAUCUAAAGUCGUUUGGUUUGUUGCUUUGGUGAAUAUUUAUUAAAUUUGAUUUUUAGAGGCCAUUGGAAAAUCAUGAAGAUUGACCUCUACCAUCACCAUUAUCAUUUUUGUUAAUUACUAAAAAAUUUUACUUUGAGGUUUCAUUUUUGUUUUGUUUGGUAUUUUAUUUCUUAUAUUUUAUUUUUUCCAAAUUAAUUCCUUUUAUUUUAAAAUAAAAUACUUUUCUCAAAAAAUCAUUUUAAAAAUCUAUUUCAAAAACCCAUUUAGAGUCCUCAGGAUCAAAAUCUUUUUUUUUUUAUUUUAAAAAAUAAUAUGCAACCAUAUUUUGUUUGGUUUGCAUCAUUCUCGGUUUCUAACAAAAAGUUUGGUUUUGAACAAAAACACGAAUCAAAGCUUGUGGUCCCAAAUAAUGGGAUAAUUCUGGGCUAAAUUUGUGUAUAUUAAUUUGGGGAAUUGGUGAAACCCCUACAUAAGAAAAUCUUUUCAAAAAUUAUUUUUGUUGCCAUUUUUGUCACUUUUUGAAAUUAUAUCUAUUUUUUUUUUUUAGAAAUUGUAUACAAGAUGAGUGUGAUAAUUAUUGUUUUCAUAUAUUUUGACAAUUUCUGCUAUGAUAAUUAGAUAACGAGCAUGCUAGGACUUCUUAUUUUAUUGUUUGUUAUCUAACCUCUCAUGUUUUGUGGAAGCGCAUUAGGAGUUAAAUAUGCUAUCCAGGUACGUUCCCUAAUACCCACUUUCUAAACCCUAUGAAUAUGUAUGCCCAUGCUUGCUAUCCUCUUUAAUUGCCUUGAUAAACAUUUGAUGAUUGUUUGAUUAUCUUUGAUAAAACAAAUGUUGUGUGAUGUAUCUCCAAACUAAUCUCUUAUGUUUUAUGAUAGCGCUUGGGAAGCCGUCCAGGUACGCAUUUUUAACUCUCCUUAAUUGUGAUUUGAUUUUGUUUGAUAUGUUAUGUUUUUUUGGAAUCACCUAGCCUACUUAGGCAUCCGAGAUCAACCAUUUAAUUGCCACGCUUCCCUUAACUUAGUCAGUAGAGACCUCUUUAGGGCUUAGAGGGGUGCUACCUCCUAGAGGCACCUUCCCAAUAAGUAACCUGAUCCCCGAACCAAGACUUGGGUUUUCAAAGACACGCUUUUCCAAAAAUUAUGGAGUCAUUUUUUUUAGGGUUUUAUUUCUUGUUUUAUUUUCGUUUCAAAAAUAAAAAUAAAAUAAGUGGCGACUCCAACUUUUUUUAAAAUUAAUUUUUCACAAUAAAAAGCGAGUCUCGCCGAUCGAGUGGGGACGCACGUGAAAAAUGCGGGUCCACAAUGCUCUUGGGCUUAGUCUGAUCUCAACACCUCUAAUGGUGGAAGUGAUCGGUCCACCAAGUCCAUAGGUCACCCGUGAAUAAAAUGCAUGCACCAGAGUCGGGAAGAUCGACUCGAAAAUCGUCACUACUAGCAGCCAUCCCAUCCGUCCGAAUAGUCCCUUAAACCCGAAAUACUGAAGUUAGGGAGAAAUUAAUACUUUUCCCUGGAACGACUUUCCUUUGAGUGAAUUUUUGCUUGUAUCUUUGAUACUCUUCUAUAGAAUUGAAGAAGGUCAUGUCAUACCUCGCCUUUUGGCGAGCCUUCGUUUGAUUAGGCUGAGAUGUCUCAGCAGGGCGCUUACCCUAAGCCCUAGAUGCUUUCGUCUCUCUCCUAGGCUCCAUCAGAAAAGAAGAAAUGAGGGAGGCGAAGCUGGUAGAGAGAGAAUCACACACACCCGAAAGCCCUAGGCAUGCUGGAAUGUCCUGAAGCUAAUUGUGACGCGCGGACUGAGGAGAAACCGUCCAAAAAUGAAAGCCCUAGGUCCCAAAUUUGAAACCCUAGUCUCUGAUCAUCCCAAAAUCUAUUCCAAGGCCUGCAAACAGUCCAAGAUCUUGCCCAAAUUGGUCUCUGGAAGUAGAAAUGCGAAAAGCCUUGAAGAAAUGGAGGAGAACAGUGGAGAAAAUGAGGCGCGGGAGGCUCUUUAAAUUCCUAGCCUUGACGAACCGAUUGACCGGUCCAUGAUCCGGUCGAUCGCUUGGUCAAUGGUCAACGGUCAACGCUCCAUUUUUUUUUUGUGCUUUUUCUUGUCUUGGGAUCCUUCCCCUACCUUUUUCAGUUGAAAUCCCCAAAUUUUGAUGUCCAAUGCUAAUGGGAUUUUGAUUUUUGGUCAAAAUUUGACCUUUUUCCUAAGUGUAUUUCUAUAUGAUGCAUAUGAUAUGAAAUUCAUGCAAACAUAAGGUAUAUUCAACAAGAAUUCAUCAAGCAAUCAUUUGAUCAUAAAGAAAUCACCCCUAGUUGUCUUCUAAUAUAAAAAAAUUACCCUUCACUUAAAGGUUUUGUAAAAAUAUCGGCAAGUUGAUCUUUUGUGCUUACAACUUCAAGUGUAAUGUCACCCUUUUGUGCAUGGUCUCUAAGAAAAUGGUGUCUAAUUUCUAUAUGCUUAGUCUUAGAGUGUUGUAGGGGAUUUUUUGAAAUAUUUAUUGCACUAGUGUUAUCACAUUUAAUAGGAACAUGCUCAAAAAACAAAUUGAAAUCACUAAGUGUUUGUUUCAUCCAAAGGAUUUGUGUACAACACAAACCGGCUGUUAUGUAUUCGGCUUCCGCCAUUGACAAGGCUACCAAAUUUUGCUUCUUACUAUGCCAUGAAACAAGUGUGUGUCCUAGGAAAUGACAAGUGCCACUAGUGCUUUUCCUUUCAACUUUACAACCGACAAAGUCAGCAUCCGAGAAUCUAAUUAAUUCAAAGUUAUCACCCUUAGGAUACCAUAGACCUAUGUCCAUUGUCCCUUUCAAAUAUCUAAGAAUUAGUUUUACGGCACUUAAGUGAGAUUCUUUAGGACAAGAUUGAAAUCUAGCACACAAGCAUACACUAUACAUGAUGUCGGGUCUACUAGCGGUCAAAUAUAGCAAAGAACUUAUCAUGCCUCUAUACAUAAUUGAGUUGAUGGACUUACAUUUCUCAUCCUUGUCAAACUUGAUGGAUGAGCUCAUUGGAGUCUUCAUUGUUUUGGCUUCUUCCAUGUCAAACCUUUUGAGAAGAUCUCUUAUAUACUUUGCUUGAUCGAUGAAGGUUCCUUCCUUUAGUUGCUUGAUUUGAAGUCCAAGGAAGAAGUUAAGUUCUCCCAUCAUGCUCAUUUCGAAAUCACUAUGCAUGCAUUUAGAAAAUUCUUCACAAAGAGAGACAUUAGUAGCUCCAAAAAUGAUGUCAUCAACGUAUAUUUGCACUAAGAGCAUGUCAUUUUCUUUAGUUUUUGUGAAAAGAGUUGUGUCAAAUUUUCCCAUUUUAAAACCCUUUUUUAAAAGAAAUUUACUCAAUCUUUCAUACCAUGCUCUAGGUGCUUGUUUCAAACCAUAAAGUGCCUUUUUAAGUUUAAAGACAUGAUUAGGAAAGUUAAAACUUUGAAAACCGGGUGGUUGUUCAACAUAUACUUCUUCAUUUAUAAAGUCAUUUAAGAAAGCACUUUUUACAUCCAUUUGAUAUAAAACAAAGUCUUUAAAACAUGCAAAGGCAAGUAGCAUCCUAAUGACUUCCAAUCUAGCUACGGGAGCAAAGGUUUCUUCAUAAUCUAUCAUUUCUUCUUGAUUAAAACCUUGGGCUACCAAUCUUGCUUUAUUUCUAACAAUUAUGCCAUUUUCAUUAAUUUUAUUUCUAAAGACCCAUCUAGUUCCAAUAACACUUUGAUUUGAAGGUCUUGGUACUAAUUCCCAUACUUCAAUUCUUUCAAAUUGAUUUAAUUCUUCUUGCAUAGCAAUCAUCCAAUUUUCAUCAACUAGAGCAUCAUUUAUAUUUUUAGGUUCAAUUUGAGAGAUAAAAGCAAGAUUAUUGGAAAUAUUUCUAAGAGAUGAUCUAGUUCUUAUCCCACUAGAUGGAUUACCUAUAAUUUGAUCUUGUGGGUGGUUGAUGACAAACUUCCAAUCUUUAGGAAGGUCUUGGCUUGAUUCACCUUGCACUUGUUGAGAAGGGGGUAGUGCCAAUGGUGAUUCUUCUUUCUUGGGAUCCUCUCUAAUUUCUUCUUGUUGCCUUUUAUAUUCAAUUUGUAAUUUUCCCAUGGAGGUUUCCAAGCCUAAAUCAUCAUCAAAACUCUCUUUUUCUUGGAAAGAAUUGUUAGAUUCAUAAAAAAUAACAUGGAUGGACUCAUCUACAACCAUGGUUCUUUUGUUAAAAACUGUAAAGGCUUUACUUGAAGUUGAGUAACCAAGAAAAAUUCCAACAUCUGAUUUUGCCUCAAAUUUUCCAAGAUUGUCUUUGGUGUUUAAUAUAAAGCAUUUGCACCCAAAGACUUUGAAAUAGUUAAUGUUGGGUUUCUUGUUUUUCCAAACCUCAUAAGGAGUUUUCUUAAGAAUGGGCCUUAAUAAUAUUCUAUUUAAAACAUAACAAGAAGUGUUAACCGCUUUAACACAAAAAUAUUUUGGUAAAUUGUUUUCAUUUAGCAUGGUUCUAACCAUUUCUUGAAGAAUUAUAUUUUUCCUUUCAACUACCCCAUUUUGUUAAGGAGUUCUAAGAGCCGAAAAAUUGUGGUUAAUACCAUGCUCAUUGCAAUAGUCUUUAAAAUCAAUAUUUUCAAAUUCUCUCCCAUGAUCACUUCUUAUACAAGUAAUUGUAAAACCUUUUUCAUGUUGAACCUUGUUGCAAACUUUGAAAACUCAUAAAAGGCUUCAUUCUUUUGACUUAAAAACAAGAUCCAAGUGUAUCUAGAGAAGUCAUCCACAAUAACAUAUGCAUAAGAUUUUCCUCCAAGGCUUGGUGUCCUAGUUGUUGAAAUGAAAUUUUUGUUUUUAAAAGAAUUUUUGAUUUGCUUUCCCAUUUGAGAAGCUUCACAAACUUUGUCUUUUUGAAAAUUUAUUUUGGGAAGGCCUCUAACAAGUUCAUCUUUGUUGAGUUGGGAAAUGAGGUCCAUGUUAGCAUGUCCCAACCUCUUAUGCCACAACCAACUUUGAUCAUGCAUGCUUGAAAAGCAUAUAUCAUGGCCAUCAUAUUUUGAAAUAUUUAUAGCAUAAACAUUAUCACAUCUAUGGUCCAUGAAGAUGGUUUUAUCAUUUUUAAUAUCUUUGAUGAUGCAAUGAGAUGCUUCAAAAAUUACUUUAAAACCUUUGUCACAAAGUUGACUAAUGCUUAAAAGAUUAUGUUUUAAACCAUCCACUAAUAAAACACUUUCAAUAAGAGAGGAUGUGCCAUUACCAAUGUUGCCUUGACCAAUAAUCCUUCCUUUUGCAUUGUCUCCAAAGGUAACGUAUCCUCUCUUUCUCUUUGUAAGGAAGACAAACUUGGAUUCAUCCCCGGUCAUGUGUCUUGAGCAUCCACUAUCCAAGAACCACUUAUCCUUCUUUGAACCCUACAAAAUAAGAUUCAAGUUGAUUUAGGUACCCAUAUCUUUUUGGGUCCUUGAGGGUUAGUGACCUUGGAUUUCUUAAUCCAAACCUUUUUAACCUUAGCAUUUGAAUUCUUUUGAGAUCCAUUUCUUAAGGGACAUGUGCUACUAAUUUGCCCUCCUCUUCCACAAAAGUUUCAAGUUGUAGAAGGACUUGCACUUGAGGAUUCUUUUACAAAAUAGUUUUUAAAAUACUUUUUAUUCUUUAAGGAUUUGAAUCUUAGCCCUUGUUUGUAAAAAACACAUUUUUGGCUAGUUAAGAUCAUUUCAAAAGAUUUUUGUCCACAAGAAAAAAUUGAAAGAGAUGAGGUUAAGCAUUCAUUUUUCUUUUUCAAUAUCUCACUUUCACUUCUCAAAAUCUCAUUUUCUUUUUCAAGAUGAGUUUUAGAUAUUUCAACAAUUGAAAAUUUUUCUUUCACUUCUUCAAGUUUUCUUUCAAGUUCUUGAAUUUUCUGUUUAAGAGAAUUAUUUUUCAAACUAAAUUUUUCAAAAUCCUCAUAUAAUUCUUCAAAAACAUCAUGCAUAUCUUCAUCACUAAAGUUAGAGUUUACCUCAUCAAGAUCAUCUAUUGCCACAUAGCACAUGUUUGCCACUUCUUUCUCAUUUUCUUCUUCGGAGGAUUCUUCACUUUCACUCCAAGUGGCCAUCAUUGCCUUUUUCAUUCUUCUCUUGGCUUCCCUUUUGUAGAGAGGACAAUCAUAUUUGAUGUGUCCCGAUUUUUUGCAUUUGAAACACACCAAAUCUCUUUUCUCUUCCCAUUUCUCCUUGUCACCAUGAGAUGAGGAUUCCUUUUUAGAAAGGUUUCUUCUAGAGGUGAAUUUUCUUCCUCUAAACCUUUCACUCCUCAUGUAUUUGUUAAGCUUUCUUGUGAUGAGGGCUAAAUCUUCAUAUUCCUCACUUGGUUUUUCUUCUUCAACGUCUUCUUCUUCCUUGGUUGUAGCUUUGAGAGCUAUGUUUUUCUCCUUUUUAUCUUCACCCUCUUGUAGCUUCUUUGCUAAGUUAAUCUCAUAUGUCAUCAAUGACCCUAUGAGCUCUUCCAUAGGUAGCUUAGUCAAGUUUUUUGCUUCUUGAAUUGUGGUGACCUUGGUAUGCCACUUUGAUGGGAGAGACCUCCUUCAUCACCUUCUCAGAUUCCUUGUAGGUUUUUCCCAAAGCUUUAAGACCAUUGACAAUGUUGGUGAACCUAGUAAUCAUCUCAACAAUAGUCUCAUUUUCUUUCAUUGAAAACAAUUCAUAGUUAUGAACAAGUAAAUUAUUUUUUGACUCUUUCACUUGAUUUGUUCCUUCAUGAGUUAUCUCAAGUAAUCUUCAAAUUUUUUUAGCUGAUUUGCAUUGACAUAUUCUAUUAUAUUCAUUUCUAUCCAUAACACAUUGCAAAGUGAAAACAACCUUAGCAUUUAAUUGAAAAUUUCUUCUACCAAGAUCAUUCCAUUCUUGCUUGGGUUUUGGAACCAAGACUCCAUCAACUAGUUUAGAAGGAAAAGUUGGGUCAUCUUCAAUGACAUCCCAUGCAUCUAGAUCGGUUGAUUGUAAAAACCAAGUCAUUUUAGUUUUCCAAUAGGGAUAGUCGGUUCCCGUAAAAAAUGAAGCUCUAUGUUUUGCAAAAAUUUCAGUGUGAGAUGAGCUUGAUGGAAUAGUCAUUUCCUCUUAGACUAUUAGGUCUUAAACAAAAGGUCUGCCUCUGAUACCAAUUAAGAAAAUAAAUGUUAUGCUUAAUUAAAAAAAACACCCAAAAGGGGGGGGGGGGGGGGAAUUGAGUUUUUUUUUUUAAAUCUUUUCAAACACAACAAGUUCAAGCACAAUAUAAAUAAAAGCAAAGAGAUAGAGUUAGAGAAUUCAAACUCGAGUUUUAUAGUGGUUCGACACUUCCUUGCCUACGUCCACUCUCCUCAAUCUCCUAACCGAGGGAGGGUUCCACUAACUUGAAGCUUCAACCAAGCUUCCAAUCUUCUCACGCUUGGAUUUCGGCUCCAAUGGGCUCUUACACAAUCUCUUCAAGAUUCAAACCUCUUGAAGGCUUUAACACUCAGUUUUUACAAGAAUGAAUCCCUCAACCUAGCUUAAGGAUAACUCAAAUACAAGACAAAGCUAGGAUGACACACAAGAGUGCACUAAAGGAUAUGCAAGUGAUGAUUUAAUGCACUAAGAAAGAAAUGAGAGCUUUUUGGUCAAGAAUAGGUAGGUAAACAAUUGAUUGCAAGUGUUCUCUAUAUCAUAAAUGAAGUGGAGCUCUCAAUUUAUAGGUUUCUAAGCUCGGGAGCUAAAAACAGCAAAAGGAAGCCUCGACCGGUCGAGCUAGGGGUUGACCGGUUCACUAGCCGUUGAAGCAUUUAAUGCUUGGUAGGUUACCAUUGCCUCGACCGGACCUCGAUCGAACCUCGAUCGGGAAGGGGUCAACCUCAAUUGGGAAGAGGAAGCUACUGGAUGAGAGAAAGUGUUUUUGGCACUCCUCGACCGGACAAGGGCAACCGGUUCCCCAACCGGUUGAGCCGGUUGGCUAGAGCCUUGACCGGUUUAGUGUUUUGGCCCUGAAAACCUAUCUUUUUCAAUUCCUUUCUUUUAUAACACUUAGGCAAGGUCUUUAGGUGAAAUAAUAUGCCAAUUUUAAAACGUUUUGCCUAAGGUACUUUUGAUAAAAACUUGGGUUUUAAUGAAAUCAAAGUUUUAAAAGAUAAACCGAGUUUUCUAAGAUGCAUGAAACGGUAUGAAAAUCCUAAGUGCACCCAUGCAUUCAUCUUACAUUCGUUUAUUAUGAUCAAAAGUCUUCCCAAAGUCUUGAUCUUGUAUCUAUUUGGCCCUUUGAUGAAUUUCCGAAUUUAUACCUGAAAUUAUUUACCAUUUAAAACAAUUAGUCACUUAACCAUAGUUUGUUAUCAUUAAAACUUGAUUAGGAGAACCCUUGGGCUAACAGUUUUCAAUCGAAAGGUUUUCUUAACUCGUGAUCACUUGAUUUAGUGAUAAGAUUUCCUUUCAUUUAGCUAAUAUGUAUGAGAGUUAAUAUCAAGAUCAUUCUUGUGCUUUUGGAUGACUUGGGUGACCUCUUACGGUGCAUCUUAUUUAUGAACACCCAAGGUGCUUUGAAGCAUGUUUGUCCACCAUAUGUUGCUGGCAACUUUUGUAGCCUUUUAAUUUCAUAGGAGUGCCUUUGACUAGAUGUAAAAGCAUAAGCAAGUUUCACCUGAUAAAAAGAGUCUUAAACUCCCGAACAAGUUGAGUGAGAUGCAACAUGUCUUAAGUGGUCGUUUUGAUAGAAAUUUAGUUAUCAACUUUGAGGAUGGGUAUCCGAGCUGGUAGGUGUGAGUUGGAUUGCUUUGCUGGACUUUGAGAAUGAGGUACCUUUGGUUGCUUGAGAUGAAAAUUGUCUAGUUUUUUGUACCAUGGGCUUGUAACUAUGUCAUUAACCAUUUUCCAAUAUGUAGUAGUUGUUGAAUCGAUAGGCUCCAUUUUUCAAACUUGCUUAUUUUGCUAUACAAAUAUUAUUAGGUAUGUUCAAGUGCAAGGGGGCUAAGUUAUAACACCUGGGGCUUAGGUCAUAGACCCUAAGGCUAUUAGUUUUAGGUAGACAUAUCUUCUCAAAAUUCUUAUCGUAUUCAAGAAUUACUCUCUUAGCGUGAAACAAAGAAGGGUAUUAUUGUGAUCCAUAUUUGCUUCUCUUCAAUCCCAUAUUUCUAAAACUUUAAAGCUAAUAUUCUUUUGAAUAUCACACAAUAUAAAAAUGAUUGAAGAAAAUAUUACAAAAGGAAAAUAAAUAAAAGAACACUCCAUUGGAAUGAUUCAACUUCAUUUUCGACCCUUUGUGACAACUUUUUGUUCUAACUAAGGAAUGCUUAGACUUUCACACAAACAGUGCCAAUGAAGAUGCUCAAAGUCUUCAUGAUUGAAUUUUUAUUCAUUAGUUUGGUAAACACAGAGAAGGAUUUUUUUCAUUUGGUAGAUGCAGAGAGUGAUUUUUUUAUGGAGGAGGAGGACCUCUUUUUGCUAUUCAUUUUAGGAUUUAUAUAUUUAGGGUAUUCUAUCAUGAGUCAAACUCUUUCAGGAGUUGACACAUGGGUUAAUAACCUUUUUCACUAGAAGCCAAGAGCUAGUAAUAUCUUCUUUUAAGGGUCAGGUUUGUUAUUUUAUUAGACCUUGAGGUAGGUCAUUGCCAAGGUACCUAUUAUUAAGUAAGUUGAUUUUAGGUAGCUUCACUCCCCAUUAUUUAUGGUGUUAUGUAUGUGUAUGGUGGGUAGAUAGUCAAAUUGGAUCUAGUUGAUAUCAAGACUAAAGACAAUAUUUAACCCAUUAGAAUAAAUUAAAGAAACAAAUAUUAUGAGAUGAAUGUAAAGUACAAAACAUUUUUAACUUGUAUAACUAAUUGAUUUACUCUUUUAAUCCCUUAAAAAAAAUUAUGUUUUAUGGUCGUGAGUUGCAUACCUUUGGAUGUUAUUUUGAGGGUUCAUGAUUCUUCAUCAUAGGUAUGGAUGAAUAUGACUAUUCAAUUGAGGUUGUAUAGUUUCAAGGACCUAUGGUUCUUUUCCCAAAUUUUUAUCUGAAAGACAUUUUAUAUCUUUAGAAUUCAAAAAAAAGAAAUAUUGUAGUUAAGUAGUUAGUGCGGUAGGAGUGGGUGUGGGGAUGGGUCCAACUAGGAUGCAAAACAAUGGUAGUAAUUAGAAUGUUGGAGGGUUGAAUUUCCAGCUAUAGUCAUUGGUCAAUGCCAAAAUCAUAAAGUUCCUUUCUCUUCUCCAAAAUUAGUUACCAUAUAUAGUUAAUAUUUAAUUAUUUUGUAUAAAGAGUGUGCCACCUCUUCGAAGGCUAAAGAAUUUAGGAUAAGGACAAAGUCUCCUAUUGUGCUUUUAUAAUGGUUGAAUUUGGUUUGUUCAAUGUGCUUUUCAAAUGCUUUAAAGAUGCAAUUAGAAUUCUUGAUGGUUUGUGCAUGAAUUGUAAUUAUAUGCAUCAUUGGUUUUCUUUCUUAAGUGACAACAUCUAAUGGCUCAAUUUAUACGAGCAACAUCUAAUGAAUUAAUGGAUAUGGAUUAUACAAUUUUAUGGAGUUCUACCAUAGAAAAAUUUUCAUAGAUAUCAUGGUAGAGGAAAUAAAUGAAGGAAACAUGAGAGGUGAAAUAUUUAUACAAAAAAUAUAAAUUAAAAUUCAUGAAGAUAUGAAAAGAAAAGGCAAUCGAAACUACCCCAUAAAACAAGUUAAAUAAAAAUUUAAUAGGUUUGGCAUUAAGCAUUGUAAGUUUAGUAAGUUAUUAAAACAAACAAGAUUUAAUUGGGGUGUUGAAAGAAACACUAUGAAUGUUACAAAGGAAGUGUGAUAAAACUAUUUACAAGUAAAUAUUAAUACACACACACACACACACACACACACACACAUCUAUCUAUCUAUCUAUAUAUAUUAUUUAUUUUGUUAGAUACAUCCAAAGACAUCGCAAUUUCAAAAGAGAGGAUGCGAGCAUAUCAAGUUUUUAAGACUUACAUUUAAUAAAUAUAUUAAUAUUGGAGUGCUUCACCAUGCAUCCACUUAAGAACCAACUGACACUGAUGAUGAGAUAGAAUUGAAGAAUCAACAAGUCACAUUGAAAACAAAUUGCAACAAGUGUAGAGCAUAGAAAAACAAAAAAGAGAAUAAAUCACAAUAUGUUGGUUAUGUGUAGACCCUCCAUUUUGUCCUAUUAGCACAUGUCCUAUUAUAUGUUUGCUUGGUACUUUACAACAAUUCCCUUAUAGCCCAUUACUGCUCAUGUAGCUUAUCUUUUUUAAGUCACCUUGGAGACUUUGGUUGAAGGACUCAUCUGACCCCAUUGUGAUUCUAGGAAGCUUUAAUUGAGACUUAGGUUUUUUUCCUUCCAUGUUAGGCCCAUUUAGAUACACUUGGCCCAUUAGGCACCACCUUAGGCCCACUUAGGCACUUUUCUAGGAUUAGUUUCACUUAGAUUUUUUUUAUUGUUUUUCUUUAUUUAUUUAUUUUAUUGAUUGAUUUUAGGGUUAAGUGAGUUUUUGAUUUAUUUUAUCUUAUUUCAUUAUUAUUAUUAUUUGUAUUUUGUUUAUUUAUUUUAUUUUGUAGUUGCAUGAAAUGAAUUUUUUUUAUUUUUGGUGGUUUGAGUUUGACACUUCGAUUAUUAUUAUAUGUUGCAUUAGUUUAAUUUCUUUUUUUUAAUAUGUCUAAUAUUUAUUCAUUUAUGUAUUAUACCUUUUAUCUAUGUAUUGAUAUUUUCUUAUUUGCAGAUUUAAUGACUUCUUGAAAUUUUAGCGAAAGGAAUGUUGACUUUUAAUGAAGGGAAUUGUUUCGACUUAAGGGGAUUCUUGCUUUCUUUAUUACUUUUUUAUUUUUAUUUUGCAUGAGAAAACCUGGGGAAUGGGGAGCUAGAAAGCAACGUCCUUGACAUAUUUCUCAACAAGGAGCCAAACUUUUGUUAAUUUAUGUAGUGAGCGCAAGACUCGGUGAUGUAUCAUGUUGGCGAACCAAUGCCAUUUAUCUUUUCCUCGAAGAUUUACCGGUUGUCGGAAUAGCGUAUUGCACACACCGACAGACUUCAGAUUACGAUCUUACUCUGCCGUUGAACCUUUUUCAUCGAAGCAUGCUCGAAAUAGCACAUAGCCAUGAUUAGUACGUAGCAAAGCAGAUCAGGGUCUUCGCAAAGCCCUAGAUCUCCAAGUACACAACCCUUUUUAUCGGUCUCAAUCACAAAUCCUAUCAAAUUGGGCAAUAGCGUCCAGGCUUACAUCUUUUAUCAUGUCAUCACCAAGACAAAUUUACCUGAGUACCAAGGUCAAGAGAAGAUUGUUAUUCGAUGUUACAAUGAAUUUGUUUGUUUACAUGAUCGUCUCUUUGAGAAGUACAAAGGCAUUUUUGUUUCUCCUCGAUCUUCCAAAGAAGAGUGUUGGAGAGAAGUUCAUUUCAGUGCUGAAUUUAUUAAGAUGAGGCAUCAAGCAUUAGAUAUAUUUGUUAACAAGAUAGCAUCACAUCAUGAGCUUCAGCAAAGUGAGGACCUAAGAACCUUUUUGCAGGUAGAUGAAGAUACGAUGGAGAGAGCAAGGCCCCUCGAGGAGAUCAUGAAUAUAUUGACUUUCGUAGCCAUUUUGAAAAAGCUAGAGCUAUUGAAUCGUAUGAUAGGAUAUUGAGUUCUUUUCCGAUCAUCUAUGUGGGCUCUUUGACCAAGUUAAAGCAGUUUCUUUAAGUUAUGGUUGAACCUGCUAGAUCUUCUCUCAAGCAGAACUCAAUGCCACUUCCCCUAUGGAGAUUUCUCUAUUAUUUAGAAGCAAAACGACAAUCCUCCUAUUAGAGAUAGUUCAAUCCUGACGGAAAGAGUAUUAAAAAUGACACUUCUCUUGACCAUAGUGCAGUGGACAUCUGAAGAGACUGCAACAUGCACACACAUGGAAGGCGGCCUCUCAAAAAAAGAAACACGAUACGCAUGAUAUGGCAUGGAGAAUAUUUUUGGGAAGGUGACUUAGCAUCACACAUAUGAUUGUUGGCUCUCUCCGGGAUGGUGAGUGGUCUUUCCAUGUAGGUGGAGUCAAUGGGAAGGAGUGCAGAGGACGCUUAUGAGAAGGGAUCACACUGGUUUUGGAAUGGUAGAUUUGGGGCAUGAAAAGAGAAAAUAAAUGAUGGAUGAAUGAGGAUGGUUUUUUAGGAAGAUACAGAGAAGGAAAAGGUUCUUUUGGAAAGGAAGUUUUCAACACGUUGAAGAAAAAAAAUACUGAGCGUAGGGAAGAGAAUGGGAAUGUUUUGGGAAUAUAAUAGAAGGUGAUCAGAUGUGGAGGGGGGUAGCAUGACAGAGAUUGAUUGAGAGCAUGAUAGAGAUGGAGUUGAGAGAGAAGAGAAAGGUACAGUCGCACCAGUGAGAGAGAAGAGAAAUGUGCAGCUGCACCAUUGAGAGGGAAGAGAGAGCUGUAGCUGCACCAUUGAGAAAGGAAAGAAAGGUACAACCGUGCAGCCGCACCAUUGGAGAGAAAAGAAAUGUGCAACCGCACCAUUGGAAAGAAAAUGAGAGGUAGCUGGUUGGUGGUGAACAAGACGCUGGUUUUGGAGGAGAUGAGGGUUCUAACUCAGUCGCACCAUUAAAGCUUUGGGGAAAGCAUGAUUGCCUCUAAUACCAUGCACCAUUCGGAUUGCUUUGGAGCAAGCAUCACUGGUUGAUUUUUGAUUCAUCCUAUCAUCCACACGGUUUCUACUAUGGGAAGCAUACAACAUACAGUCCACGCACCUAUCCGACUGGGUAAGCUGAUUCUUCUCUUAUAUUUUUCUUAAUUAGUCAAUAUAAUUAAUACAAUGUGUUAAAGAUCCUAUUUGAAUUUACUAUAGUACAUUUGUAAUUCAUCAUUAGAUUUGAGUUAUAUUUAUUUAUUUAUGUGUUAUCUAUUUAUCCAUUUGUUAAUAAGAUUGAUUCUAUAGGUUAAAGAUUUAGUUUUAAAAUCUGUUUUGGUUAGUUUUUAAUUCAACUUUAGGUUUAAGUGCUUUUAUAAAAUUUUAGUUUGUUAAAAUAAUUUAUCAUAUAUGUUAAGGAUUUGAUUUUAGAUUUUCCUUAAUUAGUGUUUAAUUCAUUUUAAGCUUAGAUUUCAUUUUAGUAAUGUAAGUUUAUUUAGAAAAUUGAUUCCAUGAAUUCAUAUUUUGUUUUUUUAGUUAGCUUUCAUUUAAUUUGAUUCAUUUUAAUUAUUUUAGGUGUUUUUGUGUGUUUAAUUGAUCAUGUGCUAGUUCUUGAUUGUUAUUCUCAAUUGAUAUGUUUAUUGAAUACCUGUGGACCCUCACCCGAUCCACCGGACCGACGCGACUCGCUUUUAAAAGAAAAGAAAGAAAUGAAAAAGUUGAGUUUUCCGGUUUUGAAAAACCCGCCCCCGGUGAGGAACGGUGUUGUAUGGAGUCGCCACUUACUUUUUAUUUUUAUUUUUAAAUGGGGAAAAUUAAGUAAGAACAAAAACCCCUAAUGACCCCAGUAUGGAAAAAACGGUCUACGCAAACUAGAUUCUGGGUCCGGGGAUCAGGUUACCCAUUGGGAAGGUACCUUAUGCGAGGUAGCACCUCUCUAGGCUCGGAACUCGGUCUCUACUAAUGAAUUGGGUAUGUGGGAGCAUAUGGGUCAAAGAUCAAAUGAAACCUUAAGCCAAAUAGAUGUCAUGAAUCACACAAUCCUAGUUGGUAUUUGGCAUGCAUAUGAAUUCAACCAACCAAAAUAAUGAGUGCGUACCUGUGGUCCCUAGCCAAGCGCUGCAUAAAAGGUCGAUAAACACCUAACAAACAUUCAAGAUUAAGCACCAUGCAUGCAUAUGAUUCAACAAUCAAAAACAACGAUGCGUACCUGUAGUCCCUAGCCAUGUGCUACAGCAGAGGGUGAGUCAGCCACGCAACAUGUAUUCAGAAUCAAACAUCAAAGUUUGUGCCAAAAAGGAAGAAAGUUAGUUGAAAUGAGGUAAGGGACUCCUCAAUUGUCAUACAAAUCAAACUAGACUCAUCUAGACCACACCAUCCAUAACUUCAAAAUUGGCCCACACUAACUGAAAUUAAACUCGGACUUAAACCUUCAAGAUGGCUCACAAGUGCCCCAUCGCAAAUGGAUACGGGCUCGAAAGAUGCCAAAAUCGAGGGCUACCCAAAGUCCUCUUGCAGAACAGGUUGAACCAGUUCUCAACUGGUAAUAAAAAUUCCCAAAUUUUUUUAGAAGACUCCUAAAUGAGUAAGGAAUCAAAAAAAAGCAACGACACUCAAUUCUGAGCCCGGACGAGUGAGAACCAAACAAAGAAAGAUCAGGUAUUCCUCAUGACUGACAGAGUCAGCCAACCAUAGUGCUGAACUAGUUGAACUAGUUCCCAACUGGUUUAUUUGGUUGAUAAAAAAUCCCAGAUUUGGCUUGAAAGUUCCUAAAUGAUUAAGAAAGAAAACAAAAGAAACGGUUCUCAAUUCCGAGCCCGGAUGAGUGAGAACCAGACAAAGAAAGGCAAGUGUUCCUCAUGGCUGACAAAGGCAGCCAGUUAUGGUACUGAACCAGUUGAACCGGUUCCCAACCGGUUCAGCUGGUUGAUAAAAAAUCCCAAAUUCAGUUAGAAAGUUCCUAAGUGAUUAAGGAAGCAAACAAAAGAAACGAUUCACAAUUCCGAGCUCGGAUGAGUGAGAACCGGACAAAGAAAGGCAGGUGUUCCUCAUGGCUGACAGAGGCAGCCAGCUAUGGUGCUGAACCGGUGAAUCGGUUUCCAACCGGUUGAUAAAAAAUCCCAAAUUCAGUCAGAAAGUUCCUAAGUGAUUAAGGAAGCAAAAAAAAUAAACGGUUCUCAAUUUCGAGCUUGGAUGAGUGAGAACUGGACAAAGAAAGGCAGGUGUUCCUCAUGGCUGACAGAGGUAGCCAGCUAUGGUGCUGAACCGGUUGAACCGGUUCCCAACCGGUUCAGCCGGUUGAUAAAAAAUCCCAAAUUCGGUCAAAAAGUUCCUAAGUGAUUAAGGAAGCAAAAAAAAGAAACGGUUCUCAAUUCCGAGCUCGGAUGAGUGAGAACCAGACAAAGAAAGGCAGGUGUUCUUCAUGGCUGACAGAGGCAGCCAGCUAUGGUGCUGAACUGGUUGAACCGGUUUCCAACCGAUUCAGCUGGUUGAUAAAAAAUCCCAAAUUCGGUUAGAAAGUUCCUAAACCAUUCAUAACCAAUCAACAACAAUCAUGUGUGGCCUUUAUUAUCCACACCCAAGCAAUACAAUCUUCAUAUCAAAGGGAAGAAAAGAUGAUGAUGAAGGAGAAAAAGCAUAUGAAGACGAGGAAGAUAAACUAUAGGUAAAAAAAAAUUCAGCAUGCUUACCUCAGAAUCUCCACCAAAUAUGAUCCAUGUAUGCCGAUGAUGACUUCCAAAACUGAGAUGUUGUCACUCUCCUUUUCAAAAAAACCACAGUGCUGAAGCUUUCCCCCAAGCUCUCAACUUAGAAGAUGCUAUUGACCUUUUGUUUUUCUCACCAGCAAAAUUUCCCCUCUCUAAAAUGUCCCCUCCCGUCCUUUGCUCUCCUAUCCUCUCACCUUUUAUACUUAUACCCCUCUUAGCAUUUGAGCCUCCUGGGUUCCUUCCCCUUCAUCAGCAUGGGAACCACACCCCUCAUUACUUCUCUUAAACUUACGAGGCCAGCUCACUCAUUUCAGUUUUCAGCUUGCUUCACCACCAAGAAUCCAUAUGGAUUCGUGGUGGGCUGAAAGGAACCCAAACCAAGGCCCAAAAUGGACCCACAACAUUGCCCAAAACUGAUGUGGAGCUUACGGGCCUGAGCCAUGUAGGAUUUGGGCCCCAAAAUUACUAGAAUUAGUGUUUUACCUCAGCUGACUCAAUGAACCGGCUGAACCGGCCGAGCCGGAUGCCAACUGGUCGAACCGAUGGCAAUUUUUUUUGAAAAUUUGACAUAAUGUUCCUAGAAUAUUAAGGAAUCCAUGAAAAAAAAUGGUGCAUGAUUCCGAGUUCGGAAGAGGGAGAUAUGAUCAAAACAAUUACCAAAAAGUAGUGUUCUACACCGGCUGACUCGAUGAACCGGCUGCCAACCAGCCGACCGGUUGCAAAAAAUUUUGAAAAUUUUACAGAAUGUUCCUGGGAGAAUAAGGAAUCCAUAAAAAUAAACGGUUCUUGAUUCCGAGUUUGGAUGAGGGAAAUACGAUCAAAACAAGCCCGAGUGCUCCGAAUCUCAACAUGCCCCUAUAAACUCCAACUAAGCUAAAACAUCGGGAUGACCCCACUUCCUUCCUAUAGCGUGAUGUGAACGACUAGGAAAAUGGCCAUGGUGACCCUCCAAAAUGAACCACAUAUGUACCACAAUGGACCACAGACAAACCCACACGAGGCUCGGACACCGACUAAGCCCAAAAGGGGCCCUACUGGUGCCAUAUGCGAACGAUGGGUGGAUGUGACACCCGAAGGAUAAAUGCCAGUGUCGAGGGACAAAAUUGAGGGUCUACAAUACCAAUCAUUAAUUCUUGGUGGAUAUCUCAUUAGCUUAUUUGAUCUAAGUUUGAAUAGUUUAUUGCUUUGGUAGUCUCUUGUAAAAUUUACUUUUCAGAGGCCAUAAAAAAAUAGUGAAAAUUGGUCUUCGUUCUCACCACUCUAGUUAGCUCGGUUGUCAAAAAUUUUACUUUAUGAUUUUGUUUUGUUUUGUUUUGUUUUCUUCAAAUUAAUUUCUUUCACUUCAAGACAAAACAUUUUUCUCAAAAUAUCCCUUUGAAAAUCAAUUUUUUUAAAAAAAAAAAAUUAUUUAGAGUCAUUAGAAUCAAAAUCUCAUUUUCUUAAAUAAUAUGCAACCAUGUUUUGAUCGGUUUGCAUCUUUCUUAGUUUUCAAUAAAAACUACGGUUUUGAAUGGAAUACGAAUCCAAGCUUGUGGUCCCAAACAAAUGGGAUAAUUCUGGGCUAGAUUUGUGUAUAUCAAUUGGAGAAUUGGUGGAACCCCUACAUAAGAAAAAUUUUCGAAACUCAUCUUUGUUGUCACCUUUGCUAUUGUUGAAAUCAUAUCUAUCUAUUUUUUAGGAAUUAUAUACAAGAUGUAUGUGAUAAUUGAUGAUUUUGUAUACUUUGAUAAUUUUUUCUAUGCUAAUUAGAUAAGAAGCAUGUUAGGAUUUCUGUAUUUUAUUAUUUAUUAUCUAACCCCUCAUGUCUUGCGGAAGCAUGUUACAAGUUAUCUAUGCUUUCCAGGUAUACCCCCUAUCACCUACUUUCUAAAUUCUGUGAACAUGCUUGUCAUUGUGAACCACGCCUAUGUUUGAUAGUGCUUGGGUGUCUUGAUAUAUUGUUUCAUUGUUCGAUUAUUUAUGAUAAAACAUAUGCUGGAUGAUAUCCUAUUUGAACUAACUUUGAUGUAUUGCGAUAGCGCUUAAGAAGCAAUCCAGGUACGCACCCUAAAUCUUCUUUAUGAUUUGUGAUUGAUUCUCUUGUUUAGUAUGCUAUUUUUUUUAAAUCACCUUAAUCUACCUAGGUACCCUCAAUCAACCAAUUAAUUGCCCCAAUUCCCUCAACUUAGUCAGUAGAGGCCUUUGUAGGGCUUAGAGGGGUGCUACCUUUUAGAGGUACCUUCCCAAUAGGUAACCUGAUAUCUGGACUAAGACUUAGGUUUUUCAAAGAUACGCUUUUUCAAAAACUAUGGAGUCACUUCUUUAGAGUUUUCUUUUUUGUUUUAUUUUCCCUUUUAAAAUAAAAUCAAAUAAGUGGCGAUUCCAAUUUUUUCAAAACUAAUUUUUUACCAAUAAAAACAAGUCUUGCCAAUUGAGUGGGAACGCAUGUGAAAAAUGCGGGUCCACAUUAUGUCCUUCAAGGAUGAGCUAAGGCAACAAAGGUAAAAAUAGAAGCCUCUUUAAACAACCAAAAACUUAUAAAAAAAAACAUUCAAUUAUAGACAUUCAUUAGUUAGAAACAUAAUUAAACAUUAUUUUUGUGUUGAAAAUACUUUGCAAAUGUUUUAAAGUGUUUUUUUUAUUAAAACAAAAUAAAGUGGCGAGCCAUGCUGUUGAAGGGCCGGCGGCUCUAUUGACAAACACUUCUAUCGAGAAAUCUAUACAUGUACACACAGCACACACUCAUACUCAUACGAAAGAAAAGAAGAAUUAAUAUUAUUCUCAUCUUACCAGUUUCUUAAUAUAAUUAUCAGAUUCAAUGCAACGACGGCAUUUGAUCAAACACUUGGAGGGCAACACUCCACGUCGAAGCCGCCGGCAGGCUGUUGGCUAUUUGGCGUGAUUUUCGGCUUCUAGGUUCAAAUCAAGACAUGGACAAAAAGGCAGAAGAGCAGCAGCAUACGCCAAUAACAAGAAACGCGGUCUGCUUAGCCUGCAAAUUUAUAUGAGAUGGAUUAAGACCGGUUCCCAUCUCUUCUUCCCAAACUAUUUUUGCAACAGAUCUUGCCACCCUGCACCAAAUACUCACUUAUUAAUAUGAUAUUGCUCUUUCAUCCAAAUUCAAUUAGUCAAAUUUGUGGGAGGAAGGCAUGCUUGUUUGAUUAGUUACAAAAACCAAUCUUUUAUUUAUACUUAGCCAAAUAAUUUUUCAUUAAAAAUUAAAGAAAAAAAUCAUAUGAUUUAAUAAAUAAAAAUCAUAUGAAAAAGUCUAGCCUAUAUUUUAUGAAUGGUAGUAAAACUCAUAUGACUCAUAUUUACUUUCCAUAUAUCAUCCACAUAUUAAUUUUUGAAACUAGGUUUCCGUCUAUUUUUAAAAUUUGAUGAAAAUAAUUUUUACUUAUUCUUUAAAAAAUAUUCCUCAUUUUUCUUUGUUUUUAAAAAUUAGAAAUAAAAAACAACUACCAAAUAAAAUACUAAAAUUUUGAAAACAAAUUUCUAUUUCUAUAAAGACUGAAAACCGAUUUUUAACUUCUUUUAGGCAGUGCACAUGGUCAAAUGAUUUUACUUUCGUUAUUUUUUAAUCAAGGAAUUGAAAUUACAUUAAGCAGGCCAACAACUCCCACACCCCACCAACCCUUUGACCGCACACCACAUUUGUCUUGGGUUUUGACCAGUAAGAAACAUCCGGGCUCCAUCCCUAUAUCCACACGUGGAUUCCACGUCACGUUGCAGCAUCUGAGCCUUUGGCGUGGACAGAUUAAGGGUCUGGAUUGGGUUUCAACAAGCCACAUGAAGCCAGUUCGCCAUCCAGCCCACCUACCAGCGACCCUGUGGGAUUUCAAAGACUGCAGGGCUGAAAAGUUCUAUAUAAGUAGAAGCUUCAUUCACCAUACACAAAGUAAGUUCAGAGCACUACUGUCUAGUUCCUCUCUCUCUCUCUCUCUCUCUUUUCUACUCGGUUGCCAAGAAAAAAACCAGCUUUUUGAAGUUGUUUCUUUGUUGGGAUUCUAAGAUAUGGAUGCAACGAACUGCCAUGGAAGCAACAAGGUGGAGAGUUUCUGCGUGAGUGAUCCGCUGAACUGGGGAAUGGCUGCGGAGACGUUGAAGGGAAGCCAUUUGGAUGAAGUGAAGCGCAUGGUGGCGGAGUACCGGAAGCCGGUUGUUCGGCUCGGUGGUGAGACGCUUACCAUAUCGCAGGUGGCGGCUAUCGCCGGGCGGGAGGGGGAUGUGGGUGUGGAGUUGUCGGAGACGGCGAGAGCGGGCGUGAACGCGAGCAGUGAGUGGGUGAUGGAGAGCAUGAGCAAAGGCACCGACAGCUAUGGUGUCACCACUGGGUUUGGUGCCACUUCACAUAGGAGAACCAAACAAGGUGGUGCCCUUCAGAAGGAGCUCAUCAGGUAAAAUUACUUUACAGUGGUUUUAGAAAAUACUUCAUAAAAGCACUUUUGGAAAAAUAUUAGCAGUUUGAAUCACUUUUCAAAAGUGAAAAAAUUACUUUUAAUAUUUCGCAAAGGAAUACUUGAUAGCCGAUGUUAAAAAAAAAAAAAAAAACUUAAAAGCGCUUUUAAAAAACUUCAUGGCCACCAGUCAACUUUGACGUGUUAACUUAUUCAUAUCUCUUAAUGAAUCUAGUCCUUUUUGGUUACUUUCUAUUAUCUAAAACAGUUGUUUUGAUUUGAAAACUUGAAUUGGUUGGUGAUGUGCUGGGUUGUUGAUGAUUGAUACAGGUUCUUGAAUGCUGGGAUAUUUGGGAACGGAAGAGAGUCAUGCCACACACUGCCUCACUCAGCAACAAGAGCCGCCAUGCUCGUGAGGAUCAACACCCUCCUCCAAGGCUACUCCGGCAUCAGAUUUGAGAUUCUGGAAGCAAUCACCAAGCUCCUCAAUCACAACAUCACUCCAUGCUUGCCUCUGCGUGGCACCGUCACUGCCUCCGGAGACCUGGUUCCUCUCUCCUACAUCGCUGGUCUUCUCACCGGCAGGCCUAAUUCCAAAGCUGUUGGACCUUCCGGUGAAGUUGUCAAUGCCGAAGAGGCCUUUAAAAUGGCUGGGAUCGAGUCGGGAUUUUUUGAGUUGCAGCCUAAGGAAGGCCUGGCUCUUGUUAAUGGCACUGCAGUUGGCUCUGGCUUGGCCUCUAUGGUGCUUUUUGAGACCAAUGUGCUGGCAGUUUUGUCUGAAGUUUUAUCGGCUAUUUUUGCUGAAGUGAUGCAGGGGAAGCCCGAAUUCACUGACCACUUGACUCACAAAUUGAAGCACCACCCUGGCCAAAUCGAGGCUGCAGCCAUUAUGGAGCACAUUCUAGAUGGAAGCUCUUAUGUGAAAGAAGCUAAGAAGCUACAUGAGAUGGAUCCUCUGCAGAAGCCGAAGCAAGAUCGAUAUGCUCUCAGGACUUCACCUCAAUGGCUUGGCCCACAGAUUGAAGUCAUCCGAGCAUCAACUAAAUCCAUCGAACGGGAGAUCAACUCUGUGAAUGAUAACCCCUUGAUCGAUGUUUCCAGGAACAAGGCUCUACAUGGUGGCAACUUCCAGGGGACCCCAAUUGGAGUCUCCAUGGACAACACCCGCUUGGCCAUUGCAGCCAUUGGGAAGCUUAUGUUUGCCCAGUUCUCAGAGCUUGUCAAUGACUUCUACAACAAUGGACUGCCAUCAAAUCUCGCUGGAAGCCGAAACCCCAGUCUGGACUAUGGUUUCAAGGGAGCAGAAAUUGCCAUGGCUUCCUACUGUUCAGAGCUCCAGUUCUUGGCCAAUCCUGUCACCAACCAUGUCGAAAGUGCUGAGCAACACAACCAAGAUGUGAACUCCUUGGGCUUAAUCUCCUCCCGGAAAACAGCUGAAGCGGUGGAUAUCUUGAAGCUCAUGUCUACCACAUACCUAGUGGCACUCUGCCAGGCCAUUGAUUUGAGGCAUUUGGAGGAGAAUUUGAAGAGCACGGUGAAGAAGACUGUCAGCCACGUAGCUAAGAAAACUCUAACCAUUGGAGCCAAUGGAGAACUCCACCCAUCGAGAUUCUGCGAGAAGGACUUGCUAAAAGUGGUGGAUAGGGAACAUGUAUUUGCCUACAUCGAUGACCCCUGCAGCGCCACAUAUCCACUGAUGCAGAAGGUAAGGCAAGUUCUGGUGGAACAUGCGCUGAACAAUGGCGAAAGUGAGAAGAAUGGCAGCACCUCAAUCUUCCAAAAAAUAGGGGCAUUCGAGGAGGAGUUGAAGGCCGUUUUGCCCAAAGAGGUUGAGAGCGCAAGAGAUGGGGUGGAGAGUGGAAACCCAUCAAUUCCGAACCGAAUCAAGGAGUGCAGGUCAUACCCAUUGUACAAGUUUGUGAGGGAGGAGCUGGGAACAGGGCUGCUGACUGGUGAAAAGGUGAGGUCACCAGGGGAGGAUUUUGACAAGGUGUUUACUGCAAUGUGUGAGGGGAAGAUCAUCGACCCUCUUCUGGAUUGUCUCAGUGCUUGGAACGGUGCUCCUCUCCCAAUCUGCUAGGGGAUUUCACCCUUGCACAUACUCUUUUACUUUUCACUUCCAACUUUCUUUCAUCUCUGUUUGUAAAACUUGAGAUUGUCUGCACGCUUUCAAUUUUGUGAUACAAAAUUUUUUUGUAUUAAUUCUUGGCUAUGCAAAAUAUUUGAUACCAAUUUGUUGGAGUAAUAGGAUUGUGGUAAAAAUAACUACAAUUUGAGCUCUGAUACCAAAUGUUGAAAUGAUAGGAUUGUAGUAAAAAUAUCAACAAUUCAAUCUUGAGAUUUUACAAAUUAUAUAUAUAUAAUGCGCUCCUCUAAUAAAAUGAUAUCUUGUAUCUAUGUGCUUGUAAUGAUAAUGAAAAACUGAAUUUUUUUAUAUGUAAUUGAUAAUGGUUUGCCCAUGCAUUAACCUUCCUAGGUGAGUUUCCUGGAUGUGUCUCUCUUAGAGUCAAUCUCUUUGCUAGCUAGACUCUCCAAUUUAUUGGUUUUGAUUAAUAGGUUGUCAUUAUCGACUAGCCUAAGAUUCUCUAAAUGUUAUUUGAAUGAUUUUAUCAUGAGGUGGACUCAUUCCAUAGCCUGUCUUCUCUUGUAAUAGUUUUUACAUCGUAAAUCAACAGUCAAGUACAAUUGUUUAGUUCACAUGCAGUCAUUGGAAUUUGUAAUGUUUCCAAGGUGGAUGGUAGCAAAGAUUUAGGUUGAGCUCUCUACAUACUAGAAUGGUUAGAAAUCACCAUUAUGGUUUUAAAAACAGUUCUACUUUUUUAGUGGAAUGCACAUCUAAGGACCUUUUGGUUAAAGGUAGGGAUGAAAAUGUCGAGAUAUAUCGACAAAAUAUCACCGAUAUAUCGGUGUAUUGAUGGUUACCGACCCGAUACAUGCAGGAGAAAUAUCGACCAUUUAAUUCUCUCCCUAAAUCUCUUAAAAUGACCCAAAAUUCCUAUACGAGAAGGUAGAGUGGCCUAGCCCAAACCACUCCAGCCCAGCCCACGCCCCCAGCCACCACAGCUCGACAACCCAAAGUGAGCUGCAUGCCUGCCCACCACUCACCACUCCAAUACUUAAAUAAAGUUUUUUGGUGUAAUCAAUUGUCAAUGUGGGAUUGUAAUUGCACCCCUGAUCACCCGCUCAUAUUUCCUCACCAACAUCAGUCGACCAACCAUGCUUCAUUUGACAAAAUGUUCACAUUUUAUGUAUAUAUGUAGAUAUGUACAUUAUUAGCAUUAAAUAUAUUAACCAUUACUACAAGAAAAAGGUCGUCAUUGACAGUUUUUCAUCGUCAAGAUAAGGUAUAUCUAUUAAGGUAGAUCAGUAUUCACAAAUGUUAUCUAUGCCAGUGUCAAGAAGUGAUAAAAGCUACCUUAACAUAUGCAUGAAAUAAGGUAGGCCUUAUUUCUAUCAAUGUAGGAAUCUUAUUAAUAUGACAUAUGUUAAUGUUUCUUCCAUGUCAGUCAAGGUUAGGUUAAACAUAUGUGAAGGUUGACUCAUUAUUUUGUUAAGAUUAUAUUCAAUAUUUGUUAACCUUAAGUAUGAUAUAUGUCAAUGUUGUUGUUGUAUAUGCUUUUAAAUUUAAUUUACACAUAUGUCAAGGAUUUUGUUUUUUAAAUUUUUUUUUUUUUUGAAAGUUGAAAUUUUAAUAUGUUAAGGUUCCUUUAUUCUUAUGUCAAGGACUACAAUGUCUUUUAUGUCAAGAUUUCUUUAUUCAUAUAAAGGAAUUUGUUUUAUUUCAUAUCAAGGUUGCAUAUGGAACAUGACAACAACCUAACCUGUUGCCCAAAUGAUCUACAUAAAAAUUGAACCCGUUGUGUAUAUAUAUAUACGGAUAAACUGCAUGAAUGUAUAAAAUAUAUUUUAAAAAAAUAUAUGAACAUGUAGGCAAAUAUAUUGACAAAAAAAAAAAAAAAACUUAAUAUCCUUGCAUAAUCUUGUAUUAUCAUCACAUACAUCCAAAAAAAGGCAAAUAUGUACCCAAAAAUCCGGUAGUUAUACAUGAUAAAUAUAAUGUAUGCAUGAUCUUGUGCCUUCAAAAGUGUUGUAAUUGUUGCAAAUGCCACCUAACCUUCUACAAGUAGGAAAAAAAAAACAUCAGUAUAUGUUUAUAUUUGAAAGAUUAAUAAAAUGAUAUAAAUAUGUAUCCAAAUGUAUUCCCAAACAACCUAGCAACUAUAUAUAAUCUUGUUAUCUUGUCAAAUAUAUAUGAAGAAAGGAUAGAUAUUUACCCAAAAAUAACCAAAUAUUAAGUAUCUGUACAUGAUAACAAAAAUUUAUGCAUGAUCUUCUCCUCUAAAAACUGCAACUACUGCAAAUGUCACCUAACUGCAGACAAGAAAGAAAAAAGUAACAUUAUUUUAUGUUUGUGUUUGAAAGUUCAUUAAAAAUAUAUAAAUAUGCAUCCUAAAUAUAUCGAAAUGUAUCCACAAACAACCUAACAAGUAUACAUGAUCUUAUACUAUUAUCAUAUAUAUAUAUAUAUAUAUAUAUAUAUAUAUAUAUAUAUAUAUAUAUAUAUAUGAGAUAGUUACUAAAAAAGAACCAAAAAUUAAAUAAUUAUGCAUGAUAACAAGAACUUAUACAUGAUCGUGUACUCUAAAAAUUUCAAGUGCUACAAAUGUCUCCCAACCUCUUGCAAGUAAAAAUAAAAAAAAAACAACAUUACUUUAUAUUUAUGUUUCAAAAUUAAAAAAGAAGAAGAUAUAAGCAUGUACCCAAAUAUAUCCAAAUGUAUUCACAAACAACCACGCAACUAUACAUGAUCUUGUACUCUUAUCAAAUAUAUAUAUAUAAAAUGACAUAUAUUUACCAAAAAAUCUAAUAGCUAUACAUGAUGACAAAAACUUAUGCAUGAUCUUGUACUCUAAAAAUUGUAAAUGUUGCUAAUAUCACCCAACCUCUUGCAAAUAAGAAAAAAACAAUAUUAGUUUAUGUUAUAUUUAAAAGUACUAAUUAAAAAGAUAUAAACAUGUACCAAAAUAUAUAUUUUUUUUUAAAAUCUAGCAAUGAACUUUUAGGGAAAAAAUAUAGAUAAGAUAUGUACCUAAAAAUAUCUAAUAAAAGAAAAAACUAAUUGCAACUUUUCAUACAUGAUAGCAAGAACCUAUGCUGAUGUUGUAUUCUCAAAAUUCCAACUACUACAAAUGUUAUACAACUUCUUGAAAGUAGAUAAAAAAACUACAUUACUUUAAGACUAUAUUUAAAAUUUUACUAAAAUGAUAUUAACAUGUACGGAAAUUUAUGCAAAAAUAAUCCAACAAACAUACAUAAUAAAAAAAACAUUAAUUGGUACUUUCAUCAAAUGUAUCUUUUAAAAGAUAUAGGUAUGUACCCAAAAGUAUCCAAAACUUGAGCAUCUAUGCAUGACAAUAAGAUCUUACGUCUAAUCUUGAAAUCUCAAAAUUGCAACAACUGCAAAUGUCACCCUAUACCUUGCAAAGAGAAAAAAUGCAACAUUAAUUAAAAUUUAUGUUUGAGAUUUUAUUAAAAAAUUAUAAAAUUCACAUACCCACUAUACUUGGUCUAAGAUAAGAGUCCUAAAAAAUGAGACCCAUUUAGAUCUCACUUCAUCUAACUCAGUUCGUGAAUAAGUUUUUUUCCCUUCAAACUAAAAUAUAUGAGAAGAGAAAAUAUGUUAACGUGAAACAUUAAAUAUAUGUAUAAGUUCUCAUGUACUUAUGAAAAUACAUAGGUAAAUAAACCUGAGAUGUUAGAAGACUUCUAUUUGCAAUUAUGUCUCGCAUGUAUUGCAUGACAAAAUAUCCGCACAUGACACCAUCCAACUGUUUGGGCCCCUAUGAGCAAAAUUAUAUCAACAAAAUUUCAUGAUCAAAUAUGACAUCAUAUAAAUUUGGUCAAUUUUUUCAUCCUUCACAUUUAAAUUUUUUAAAAACAAUGAAUGACAUAAUGUUAGUUUCAAAUAAAAUUUGCACCUAAAUUAAGUCAAUACAUGUCUAGCAUAAUACCCUAAGCUCCCAUUUUUACAACUUUGAGGGUUAAAUUGAGUAAAAUAUAAGAAUGUCAAAUAACACGUAUAUGUGAAAUAUGGAAAAAAAAAAAGGAAUAGAUAUAUUUAUUAAGAAUAGUGAUUAACUUAAAAAAAAGAGAAUAGUUAACUUUUGUUUGUGUGAAAAUAUCCCUUAGAAAAUAUCAUGACUUUUAAGACUUCAUUAAGGUAAAUCAAUCAAGCUUCAAGAGCAAUUAUCGAUAAUAUAUUUGGAAAUAUGUAGUAUUAGCAUCCUUUUACAUCUCAUAGAUUGACAUUAUAGAAGAGAAAUGCAAUUAGUAAUUAUCAGGAAUAAAUGUUUUACAUAUGAACAAUUUGAUUGAAGAUGGAUAAAAGAGUAAAGAGUUUAGAUUAAAGAGAGAGAGAGAGAGACGUUGUGCCUUACAAGAAAUGUCUAAACUAAAUAUAGGAUGUAUGUAAGACAUACUAAGGCCAAAAGAAAGAUAUAAAGAACAACUCACACCUAAGUAACAUGAUCAAAGCUAUCUAAAUGAAUCCUCAUGGCUUCCUUACCCACACAUACAUCUAAAUUGUUGUAAAGGAUUGUCAAUACUAUGGGUUUGUUAUUUUUUAGUACUACUUCAUUACUAGUGGAAUAAUGGACAAAUGAGUACAUUGUAUUCAUAGCAAUUUAAAUUAUAUUUUCAUAAGGUGGUGAAACAAACAAAUAUGGUAUCCUUCUCAACUCAACUUAGGAAUAGGAAAUAAUAACAAAAACAAUUAUAAGCUAAGAAAAUUCAUAUGUAUGGGUAUAUAUCCAUGUGAAAGGAAGCCAUAUAGAAUCUUCAUAUUUCAAAAAUCAAGUAAACUUUAAUUCAAGAAAGCAACUUAAAUGUAGGUAAGUCUUCAAAAAGUUUAGAAGAAGGAAAAAAUGUAACCUCAAUAACUAUCCACUUGAGCUAUUUUUUAGAUCCUUUCUUCUUUUGAGAUACAAAAAUUCGAAACCCCCUACAAAAAAUAAGAUUACAUUAGUGUUUAUUUUGAGACAUGAAAAUUAAAAUUAUGGUAGACUUACAUGUUCACAAUAUCUUUUAUAUCUUAGUAUGACUGUUGUAAUAGCAAGUCUAAAUAGUAGACUGUUUGUGAUUUGAGGUCAAUUACAGCCAAAACCCAAUGAAACCUACAAUAUAUUAACAUAUAAUUUAGAUAAAUAGCAUUUAUAAGGCUAAGAAAUUAAAAACAAUUAUAAUUAACAACUUACCUUGGGUUAUACGGAAGAAAAAUCAGAUCUGCCAAUUUAGAGUCAAUUAGGCGAUUAGCAAUGAUUCUUGCUCUUUUUUCAAUUUGUGGGGCUAUUGUUCCAGCCUUGGACACUAGUCCUAGAUGAACAAAUAUAAUUUUUUCAUGUAGUGUAUCAUUCAGAUGUUCAUGCAGCCACCUAAUGAAAUAUCACCUAGUUUAGAAUUAUUUAAAAAAAAAAAAAACGGCUUCUACUUAUUUAUAUCAUGAAUGUAACAUAAAGAUUUAAAACAAAAUCUCACCAAAUAUAGAAACAUAUACAAUUCAUAGUCAACUCUUUUUGCAUAAAUUACAUCCUUCAGUUCAGUUGUCAAAAGGAAGGUUUGAAAUUUCAUCCCAAAAACAUUGAUUGGAAAGUCAACUUUGGGUGUCGGUUGACCCUCCAACAUUGCUAAAAUUGUUUUAGAAAACAAUUGUAUAUCUCUUGGAUUCUCAUAUUUGAUUUUCUUUGGGGAUGCUUGUAUCUUCUUCAUUUUAUUCUUCCUCUUGCCAAGAUCCUAAACACAUAAAUAGAUGCAUGACAUUAAAAUGAAAAAUAAAUAAACCAAGAGUGUAAGAAAAUAUAACUCAACUUUGAAAGUUUGGGUAUAAUGUUAUUCACCUCAUCAUUUUCAUCAUUUAUCACAAAUGUAACAGGCCACAAAACCUCAUAUCCAACACCCUCCCUUAUUGUACUAAUGUUUUCAGAAAGUGGGAAUGGAAGAAGUGCAUUAGGUUGAAGAGGGUAAAGGAUGACCACUAAUAUGUCAGUUCCAUCAAUGGAAAUCUUUGAAUCUCACAAAUAAGUUCCAUAUGUAACAAUGUUCUCUUCAGUUUCAAGAGCUAAUUUGCAUUUAUAAACCUGUAAAAACAUAUUUUCUAAUCCUUAGUCUUUCAUUAUAGUUAUUUUAUAUAUUGUUUUUAUAAAUUUAACUUAGGUAAAGCCAUAUAUACCUAAGUUAGUGGUCCCUUUUGCUGAUAGGUUCUCCUCAUGAGCACUAUAAUGAGUCUUCCCUCGUAUUUCUUCACGUUCCAACAAUUGUUUCCUUAUGUUUGUGUUGUUCACUUCAGAGUGGGGUGUUAGGGUUUUUUUUUUUUUUUUUUUUUUUUUUCAGCUUUCAAAGAAAUGAUCUCCUCUUCCAAGCUCUUUACUUUCUCCCUUAACAUCCUUUGACAUUCCUCUUCUUCAAGAGUUUUUGUGGGUUUUGGUGUGUUGAAGAAUUGUUUUGGCUUUUUUUCCCCACUUUUUCCUCUAACCCGUCUAGGAUGCUCGGAUGUACCCAAUGCUAAAGUGAGGAUAUCCUUUUGGCCAACACAUGUGAUAUUCCCUUCCUCAACAGCCUUUGCUAACUCAUCCUCCAAAAAAAAUAUAAGAUGCUUCAAGAGUCAUAUUAAAUAAAUAAAAAAAACAAAUGAAAUUGACUAAAACUAAGUAUAGGUUUGACAACUUACAAUCUUUUCCGCUAUAGGCCUCGUAACAUCAUCAUAUUCACAUUUUUUCAAUCUUUCUAACUUCCACAAGACCCAUCUAUCAAUAGGUUUCCUUGAACCUGUCUUUUGCAUCUAUCAAAAAACAAAAAAGUGAAGUAAUUAAACUUUACAAAAGUAAAUGUCCAACAAAAUAAAAUACACUAAUUCAACUUACCAAUUCUUCUUGAAGUCCUGCAUAUCAUUUCCUACUCACUUGAUGAAUAUAAACAUAUUUUGCCCUCAUUUCUUUUUCUUUUUUUGAUUUAACUUGAAACUCUGUUGACAACCUAUUAGCCACUAACUUUCUCCAGUCUUCAAUUGGAAUGUAAUUAUAUUCAAUUGGUGGCUGCAAAAGGUACUCGGGCUUAUCUUUAUAAGGCAGGAUAUACUCUUUUGUCAAUGUGUGCCUAAAUGACCUAAAACUAGUCCCAGUUGAUGAUAUGACGUUGUAUUUGCUAUUCUCAUCAACCAAGAAUGCACCCUAAAAUAUGAGAUCUUGAUUAUUUAAUAAGCAUGUAAGGUCUACACAAAAUAUAGGAAAAUAAUUUCAGUACAUUACUAUAUACCUUAUAAGAAGAUCUUGAUUAUUUAAUAAUCAUGUAAGGUCUACACAAAAUAUAGGAAAAUAAUUUCAAUUAAUUACUAUAUACCUUAAUGCAAUCCCAUAAUUUCUCCUUUAAUUCUACAAGCACUACUCUCCAAUCAGUAUGAUAUAUUGGCACCAUGGUUCGUGCUAGCACCCCCAAGUAUGAUACAAGUUGUACAUAUCCCUCACCCACUCCCUCACCAUCAUCAUUAUAUUGAAUGUCAAUUUUCACUCCUUCACUUCUCUUUUUAGCAAUUUUAGGUUUUAUAGUUGGGCCUCUGAACCUUUUUGGUGAAGUAAUCUUCUGUUUUCCUUCCUUUCCAUCCAUCUACAUGACAAUCAAAAGAAUAUGAUCAAUCUCAUAAUACAUACAUACAUACAUACAUACAUACAUACAUACAUACAUACAUACAUACAUAUAUAUAUAUUACAUUCAAAAGUAAAGCAUGAUAUUUUAAUAGUUACCUGCUCUUUAUCUCUUCUUGGUUGAGACAUCCAUAAAGAUGUUGCACUUUUUGCCCAAGUUCCCAAAUAAUUAAGAAUUAUGCACUAAUAAACAACACUUGAAAAUGUAUCUCAACUAAAUCUAAAGAAAUUAGUUACAAAAUAAUUUCAUAAGUAGUAAUAAAUCAUUGUUGUACAAACUUUGCAAUACAUGAAAAUUAAUCUUAAAUCUCAAUAUAUAUAAAUAUGAUACUAACUACAUUUAUUUAGAAUAACUUAGCAAGAAUAUAAUAGUAAAAAAUAUAUUUGAAAAGAAUAAAAUAAAAACAUAACAUUGUUGAGCAUCACAUUGUAUAUUAACAAUAACUCAAAAAUCACAUAAUACACUUAGUAGUCACAAAGCAUAACCCAAAAAAAAAAAAAAAAAACAAAAAAAAAAAAUUAAGCUUAAUGUUCAAUCCAAAUCCCCUCACAAUCAGUACGCAUACAAAUUUCAUCAUAAUUUUCAACUUCAUCAAAAGACUUAAUAUUAGGCAUCCCAUUCACAAAUGGGUGAUGCUCCAUGUCAUUAUCGGCUAUGUUGCCAUCACCUUCUAUGUCAAACAACUCCAUUUUUGGCCUUGAUAAUACAAUAGACCAUCUUGGAUCAACUUGAUCUUCUACAUAAAAUACUUGUUGGGCUUGUGUUGCCAAAAUGAAAGGAUCUGAUUUAUGUCCUAUCUUGCUCAAAUCAACUAAUGUAAAACCAAACUCAUCAACUUUGACACCAUUCUUACUAUCAACCCAAUCACACUUAAAAACACAAAUGUUAAACAUGUUAUAAUCAAGGUCCCAUAUCUAUAUGACAAUCCCAUAAAAAUACAUGUCACCAAGCACAUGAUUCUUAUCUUUGGAACUUGCAAUUUACAUGGUCGAUGCCACAAUACUGACACUACUAUUUUGGUUGACUCGUGCCUCAUCACGCUCCUUGAUAUGGUAACGACAACCAUUAAUGAUAUAUUCAGGGUAAGUAAGAACUUAUUGUCUUGGUCCUUGCGCAAGCCACUUAAGUUCAUUUUCAAUAAGUUCUUUCUUACUUAUGUCAUCUGAAACCUAUAAGGUUCAUUAAUGAUAUGUAAGUUAAUGUAAUUUAAAAUUUUGAAAGCAUUAAAUUUUAAGAGGAGUAUGAAUAUUGAGUUUCAUACAUUUUUUCUAAGCCAAUAACUAAAUGUGCGCACAUGUUCAUCCUCUAGCCACUUUACUCUCUUUGAUUGAUGAGGAUAUUUUGUCUUCAAAUAUUUCAUAUGUUCACUAUCAAGGAAAAAUAGGCAUGUCAUGGUUUGUAUAAACAUUAGCUACAGUUUCAAACUCAUAUAUUCACAUAUAUGACACUUACUCAAUAAAAGGUUGUACAAUGGUUGUAUUUUGUAGAACAUAAUGAUGUGCUUGCUCCACCAAUUUAUAAUCAUGAAUAUUUAUUGCACGACCGGCCACCAAGUAAUGGUUUCCCACAUUUCCAUUCAUCUUUCAUACUAGAAGGAAUCCCAAUUGCAUCCAUGCUUGAUAAAUACUUUGUGCAAAACUCUAAGGCUUCUUCAGCGAUAUAGCACUCAGCAAGGCACCCUUCUGGAUGAUUAUGAUUUCGAACAUAACCCUUGAGGACUUUCAUGUACCUUUCAAAUGGGUACAUCCAUCUCAUAUACACUGGUCCACAUAAUCUAAGCUCUCUUACCAAAUGCACUGUUAAAUGAAGCAUGAUGUCAAAGAUGGAAGGUGGAAAAUACUUCUCUAGCAAGCACAAAGUCACCACUAUGUCCUGUUGUAGAUCAUUCAAUCUUGACACGUCCACCACCUUUGCACAAAGUGCAUUAAAGAAAAAACACAAUCUUGUAAUGGCAUAUAUGACAUGCUUAGGCAACACAGAUCUUAAUGCUAUUGGUAGUAGUUGUUGCAUAAGUGCAUGAUAAUCAUGGGACUUAAGACCAUUAAGCUUUAGCUCUUCCAAGGACACAAGGUUUCUAAAGUUUGAACAAUAACCUUCAGGAACCUUCAAAUUAGCUAAAGUUUGCAAUACUAUUUUUUUCUUCUUUCUACUUAGAGUAUAGCAUGUAGGGGGAAGAUAAGUUCACUUCAACCCAAACAUUGGUGCUAAGCCAGGCCUUAAGCCCAUUUCGAGAAGAUCAAGUCGAGACUUAACUCCAUCCUUUGUUUUACCUGAAAUGUUAAGCACAGUUCCGAUGAUGCUCUCUCGCAAACAUUCUUCUCUAUAUGCAUGACAUCCAAGUUGUGUCAGAUAUAAAAAUAUUUCUAGUAUUCAAGUUCAAAAAAUAUAGACUUAUUUUUCCAAUAACUUGUAGGAUUAGCAAAGGAUUCACAUUGUUUAACUUUCUUUUUCUUUCCCCAUGAGUUAUGGAUCAUAUCAACCUUUGUAAAUAUUUCAUCUCCAAUAAGUUCUUUUGGAGGUAACCUAAACUCUUGUUCACCAUUAAAUGCCUUCUUUUGCUUUCUAAAUGGAUGGUUGCAUGAAAGAAACCUUCUAUGGUCGGUGUAUGAGUUCUUAUUCCCAUGUUUUAGCCAAAGUGAAUUUGUUUCUUCACCACAUAUUGGACAAGCAUGAUAUCCCUUAACAGUGCAACCGGACAAGUUCCCAUAUGCAGGGAAAUCAUUAAUCGUCUAUAACAAAAUAGCCUUUAAUGUGAAGAACUCUCGUUGAUGUGCAUCAUAGGCUUUCACCCCUACCUCCCACAAUGCUUUCAAAUCAAUGACUAAUGGUUCCAAAUAAACAUCAAUAUCCUUACCAAGUUGUCCUGGUCCUGAUAUUAGCAGAGAUAACAUCAUAAAUUUCCUCUUCAUGCAUAACCAAGGGGGAAGGUUCUAAGUUAUUGUGAGAACAGGCUAACAACUAUGCCUACUGGUCAUGGAGUUAUGAGGAUUGAUACCAUCUGCUAAAAUAGCAAGUCUAAGGUUCCUACAAUCUGAAGCAAAUUCAGGCCACAUUUGGUUCACUAGUUGCCAUGUUGGGGAAUCCACUAGGUGUUGAAGUUUACCAUUAUUUUCUCUACCUUUUGCAUGCCAUUUUAUGUCUUUCGCUAUUUUGGGAGAUUGAAACAUCCUCUUAAACCUAGGGAUGGGUGGGAAAUACCACAAAAAUUUUGCAAGAAUCCUCUUAGUGUUUCUUGCCCCAGCCUUGUUUACCUUCCACUUUGACAUUCCACAAGUAGGGCAUGAAGAUGCAUCAUUUAACUCAUUCCUGUAUAGUAUGCAAUCAUUUGGGCAUGCAUGUAUCUUUUUGUAUUCCAUCCCUAAUGCAUUCAAUGUUUUCUUUGCCUCAUACAUGGAUAAGGGCAUCUCAUUGUUGACUAGUAGCAUAUCCCCUAAUAUUUGGAGUAAAUUUGAAAAACUUUUAUCUGACCACCCAUAUCGUGCCUUCACAUUGUACAAUUUAACUAAUGCAGAAAGCUUGGUGAACUUGAUACAACUAGGAUACAAAGGUUUUUCAGCAUCUUCAAGCAAUUUUUUAAAUAAGAUUGAGUCUGUCAUGAACUCAUCAUCUAUAACAUAAACCAUUUCUACUGUACUAGCAACAUCACCACAAUCCAUUGUGUCAUAACAUUGUGCCAUUUCAGUUGGUAUUUUACUAGUAGGACCUGUUUUUCCAUGCCAAUACCAUGUAUGAUAACUCUGGUCAAUACCAUUGAAAAACAUAUGUUCCUGAAUCUUGUUAGGUGUAUGAUGUAUUAAGUUUCCACAUCGCAUACAAGGACAACGAAUUCCACUUUGAUUCGAACAAUGUUCUAAUGCAAAAUUAAUGAAGUAUUCAACUCCUUCCUCGUACUCCUGUGACAUUCUAUCUUUAGACAUCCAACUUCGAUCCAUUCUAUGAUUGAAAUACACAAUGAAUUAAUCAUGAGGAAUUUUAACAUUAAUGUUGUAUCAUAUCUCAAAAGGAUUCAUCAUGUAAUAUAUCCAUGUUGUCUACAAGUAUAUCAUAGUGGGAUAGUUAAUUAUAAAAAUUGUCUUAUUCAAUUCAUGUCAUUGUAGGUAAUGCCACAAAUUAUCCAUUUAAAAUUCUUAUUAGUUCAUGAUAUUUCAUCUUAUUAAAUACAUUUAAUUUCAUUAGGUAUUGAACCAAAGUAAAAAAUGGGGUUCUCUUAUAGAAUUAUGAUUCUAUCUAGUUUAUGCACUACCAUACAAAUGAGAAAUAAAUACAUGUUACAUUUUUUUAAGUCUUUAUUCAAUCUCGAAUCAUCGAAGAUCAUUUAUUAUGCAUAUAUCUGUAAAAUUAAAACAAAUUUAUAUAUCAAAAUAUUAAACCAAGAAACAUAAUUAACUCUCAUGAUUCUAUCUUGUUAAACUAAAAUCAACUUAAACUACAUGUCUUAUGCAUUCUAACAUCUCCAGCUUCCUAGUUUAGGUGGUGGUUCCUAUCCCAUAUAGGAAAACAUAAUCCCUACAUGUCAACUACUAUUAUGUUUCGAUUCAUUUUAGAAAAAUUUCGGCAGCAUUUCCCUAUAGUUCUCCAAGUACACAAAAUGGAGAAGGUAUAUUAUUUAGCCUUGUCCAAAUAUGCACCCAGAGAACAAAAAGAACGACUGUCAAAAUUUCUAAAAAAUGAUCAAGCAGAAGAGCAUAACUUCAAAGAUAUUAUGUUUUCCUUAUACUGUCCAAUUGGACAAUUCAAGCAUCAUUUGUAGAAAAAAAUAGUCUCAUUCACAUGCUAGACAAAGUUAGAAGUUGUCAACUUCAAACUAGUUCAUCAAUGAACCCUUUUCAUUCUUUGACAACUUAAAUGUCCUUAGCAUGUAAUAAGAGAAAUUUUUGUCAUACAAGGAUGAUAGAACAGGAAGUCUAAUGUUUCAUGCAUGAACUUAUUUAAAUCCUAUCUAAGUAUCCUAAACACAUUAAAAGGAAAUACAUUUAAUUCCUUUAACAUAUUUGUUAUUUGCCUAGUAGAGGAAAAAAGAAAUAUAUUCACUUCAAAACUCAUGAGUAGAGAAAUUUAAUUGCACUUGGCAAUAAACAAACAAAAGUUAAUACUCAAAAUAUAAAGUCAUCAACGUCACAUUCAAUGGAAUCAAAUUAAAUCAAAAGUAAACCCACCCACUAGACCAAAUCUACUAACCAUCAAAUAACUCAACUGCAAGUUUGAUUAUUUAUGUUCAAUUUCCUUUAAAAAAAAUGAAGUAUUGACAAGUUAGAGUUUCAUUGCAAAGUAUAGAGAGAGAGAAACCGGAGAGAGUAAAGAAUUACCUUAACAAGACUUGUCCCUUAAAAUUGUCCUCUAGUGAUUGAGAAAUUGAAAAGUUAACCCAGGAUUAGGAGGACCUGUGUUUUUGGUACAAGGAUAUGAACUUUUAAACAACAAAUAGAACAUCAAUCUCCAUUAAAACUCUUAGUUCUUUUUCCUCUUGUUUGUUUGUUUUUUUCUCAUCCAUGUUCCAUGUUUCUUGUUGUACUUUUUGGUUAAAAAAAUAGGAUCAUCAUUACAUACCAAUGUUGUUUGAGAAAGCUUUGCUUUAUUUCUACAAUGGGUUGGAAAUUGUGGACCAUUAUUACAUAGCAAUAAAAUAUUUUAUAAUGAAUUUGGUAAUAAAUAAAUUAGAAUUAUAAAAUAUCCAUUUUAUAAUCUUUUUAUUUCAAUAAUUUUAGAAUUGUCAUAUUUCAUGUUUAUCUUUUUUAUAGAAACAAAUUUUGAUUAAUAAAUAAUUUUACCAUAAAAUUUGUCAUAUUUUUUAAUAAAUUUUUUUUCUUAUCAUUGCUUUCAUAAUAAUUCUAAAUAAAAUACUAUUUUAAUUUGUUUAUAAGAAUUAUAUUGAAUCUAUUUAAUUAUUUUAUAUGGAUUUAUAUUAAAAUUAAAUCUCUUUUAAAUUGAAGUUAUUUAGUUAUGUAUUUUACUUUCUGUCAUUAUCAGGAUGUAAGAUACAAAAAUUUACUUUAUUCUAUCAAAUUGAGACUCAAGCUUGCUUAAGUCAUAUUUAUAAAGAGUAAAAGAUGGUAUGGAAACACAAGGUUAAAAAUGACAUGUUUUUAAUUUUUACACAUUGGUUAUUAAUUGAUGCAAAUGUAUGUAAUAACCAUAACAUAAUUAAGUGAAUAUAUAGUUCUAACGAAGGAUUGAAAUGUCCAACAAUUUCGGAGAGAAAUAUCGUUGAUCAGCCAGCUCCAACACAAAAUCCAUAACCGAUUAUCGGUCCAUGGAAAUUUCGGUAAUAUUUCCAAAUUUUCUCCGAUAUAUUGGUAUUUAUUGGUAUUUUUACUGAUUUUUCGGGAAAGUUACCGAUAUUUCCUACCAGUGCAACCCACGCAUAGGAUACAAAAGCUAUCUAUUUUUUUUUUAUAAAAAAAAGACAUAAGAUGUUGUUCGGUAAUCUGACCAUGAUUUGUAGGCAAAGGUUGUGUUUUUCAGCCUGACUCAAAAAUCGUGAAUUUAGGGUUCAUGAAAUUUAAAUCCAAUGCCACAAAAACCAAGAGACCCUUACAACAGAUCUAGAAACCAUAGGGAGGGAAAAAAGAAACAAUUUUUAUGGUUUUCCAUGGGGAGUUUUCAUGGAUUAUCUCCGAAAUCAAACGAGGAAGAAUCUUCCCAAAAAUGGAAUGAGGGAUGGAUUUUAUUGGGAAUCAAAUGGGGAUUGGAAUAAUAAUAAUAAUAAUAAUAAUAAUAAUAAUAAUAAUAAUAACCUCAUUAGAUUAGUACUUGGGACGAAUGAGAGUGACAAAGGGAAAAAUGGCCUUUUUAGGGAUUCUCUCUUGUGAAAGGCAACUUCAGAAAUGGCUUCUUGAUGGCCGAGUUAGAGAAGUGAGUUGGCUUUUGAUUGUUAGAUUUAGUAUAGAUAAAAAAACAAGGAAACAAAUUAUGAGAACAAUUUGCCUCCCUCUAUAAAAAAUAUUUAUUAAUUAUCCAUUUUGAUGAAAUCACUACUAUGGAUUGAAAUUUCGCUUUCUAUAGACCAUAUUUUAGAAAUUAAAAUUAAUUUUAUAAGAUAAAUUAUUAAUAAUUUUAAUUAUUUAAAUAAAUUAAUGUUAAUAGAAAAAGUUGUUACCACAUAUUUUUAAUAAAAUUGUAGAAAUUAAAUCUCAAAUAAAAUAUUUUAUAUAAAUUAAAUUCAUUUUUCAUUUAAAAUGUAAUAAAAUAUGUUAUAAUAAAAUUAUUUUAAAAAUUUUAAAAUAAAUAUUGUCUUCAACAAGAUAGGCUCCCUUCAUCUAAUAAUAUGAUAGAACCACAUCGAUCUUCAUUUUACUAAGUACUAUUAUAAUGUCAUAUGUAUUAUAUUUAUGUAUAAACUGUUUUUAUUCAAUAAAAACAAAUAUUUUUUAAACUCAAUUCUAACUUUAUUCAUUUCCAAAAUUCAUAUUUAUUAUUCUUAAAAUUGAAAUAUCGAAUCUACCAAUAUAUCUAUGUUUACCUAUGUUUUUUUCUUUUUAUCAUAUCUAUGUCAAUUAUACUUACAAAAUAAUUUAAAAAUGUGUAUUCUUGCUUAUUUUAUCAUUUUUACAGUUUUUCUAAGCAUUCCUAUGAAUGUUAAAUAAUUUUCGCUCCACCGAUAUUUGUGCAAAAAUAUUCAUUGAUAUUUAUCUUAUAUUUUCGAUAUAUCCCUAAAAUCGAAGUAUCGAUAUAUUCGUAAUUAUUGAUAUUUUUGUCUUUGCUUUUAAUUAUAUAAAUAAAAAAAAGGUUUAAAUAUAUAGCAACAAGUUUUUAUGGAAUUUUUUUCCCGCUUUUUAAUUUAUUUCUCCACCGAUCGGGUAGUAAUGUUCAAUAUUUUGACAUGCUAUAAGUAGCUAACAAUUUAGGGAUGAUGAUUGGGGAUAUGACCUUUCUCCACUUCUCCACUAUCCUAUAGCCUAUAAGUAGUCCUCCACUUCCCAUCUAACCUACAACAUUUAAGCACUUGAUAGUUAGGAUGCUGAUGACGUGACUCCACUAAAUGAAUUAAAAUAGUCCUCCACUUCCCAUCUAACCUCUAACAUUGCCUUUACACUUGCAGGAUGCCAGGAUAACAUGUCCAAUAUAUUUUUCAAUGGCCUCUUUGUCAUGCUUCUUGGAGUUUUGGAAUUGAGUAAACGUAUACUCAUUUAGUAUCUCAUUACCAAGACCACCAGUUGGAAUAAUGGGAUAUUUUUAAAAAAUAACAUUUUUAAUAUAACAUAUAUUAUAAUCUAGAUUACAUAACAUAGCAGAAAAUGACUUAUGAAGUUUUAGUAUAACAUUUUUUUUUUCAAAUUUCAUAUUCGUCCAUUUUCGUUCCCCUAAUUUUCUUAAUACAUUCUCUCUAAUUUUCUUAAUAGAAUCUUUUAUUCGAGAAAUUCAAGAUGGAAAUGAAAUUUUAAAGCUUAUUGUAUUAAUCUUUUUUUUUUAAAUGGCCAAUGAGAAAGAUCACUGUACUUUGAAGAAUUGAGAUAAUAUAUAUAUAUAUAUAUAUAUAUAUAUAUAUAUAUAUAUAUAUAAUGGUAUUACAACUUGACCAGUAAACAUCCAAAAUUAAAAUUGAAAUAGGGAGGUGCAUUCAUCCAUCUAUUAUAAUUAUUAUAAUAAAUAUAAAGACAAACACAUAUUAUGCUUAUAGAAUCAUAAAACAAAAAGAAAGCUUAGAAGAAGAGAAAAUAAGAAAAAAAAUAAAAUAAAGUAAUCUCAAAACAGACAUUUUGUAGUUGGAGAGAGAAUCUUUUGUUUUAUGAGGUAAGACAACUUAGUCAAUCAUAACAAUAUUUUGUAAUAGUACCACCAUUCAAACUAUAGUUUCAUUUUUAAAAACUAAAUAUUAUUUUUAGAAAUUAACAACAUUAUCAGAUAAUUGUUUUCUCAUUAACAAUAUAGGGAGCUUCUUAAGAGCAAAUUUUUUGCCAUUUUUUAAAAAAAAAAAUGAAAAGAUUAAAUAAAUUAAAAAGUAUAAAAUACAAAUAAAGGAAAACACAAUACUUUAAAAUUAUAUUUUACUCCAUCUAGUUUUCAUUUGAUAGUUAGUUAAACAUGAUUUAUAUUUGUUUUCCAAUGAAUUCUUAUUUAUAAUUUAAUAUGACAUCCAAAUACAAUAAUAUAUAAGAAACAUAAUGAAUUUCUACAUCUUAGUUAAUUUCUAUAUCAACAUUUCAAUUAUAAUCCUAAUGAAAACAUUUUUUUCAAAGUGAUUAUGUAUAUGGUAACAUGUUUUUUUUCUUAGAAUAUUAUAAACCCUCUAUUUUGUGAUCUUGACACAUUUUAUAGGAUUGUCCUCCUACAUCCUUUGAUGCUUUAGUGUGCAAUUGUGGUCAUUUUUUCAGUUGUUUUUAGCUCUUAUUAAUUGAUGGUCCACUAAGACUAUAUCGAUCACUAGUUUUGGAUUUUCAAUUAGAUAUUUUGAAGAGACUAAGUGGAUCCCUAUUUCGCGUGUAGUGACCCUUAAUUAUUAGUUUAGGACUUUGUUUUUUUUAUUGAUUUACAACAUAUUUAGGUUUGUUUAGAAUUCUAAAACCUUAAUUCUUACAAAUAAAUUCACGUUUUAAAAUAAUAUAAUAAUUGAUAUCAUAUUCUUUAAAAAUAUAAAAUACAAUAAGGUUUUGAUAAUGAAUUGGAAUGAGUUUUUUUUUUUUUUUUUUAAAGAAUGAUUUGAUAAGAUUCAAGUUUUUUUUGUUAACUUUAUCUUAUAAAUUAUAGAAAUUGAGGUAUUAAUCAAUAUAUUGGAUGAUUAAAUUGAGAAAUAAUAUGUUAAGGUUGUUAAUAUAUAUUCAAAGCUUUAUUUUGUGACAAAAUAAUUUUAUUUUUUAACAUCACAGGAAUCUUAAUUCAAAAUAAAGAUUUGAGUUUAUUAAUAUAUCAAAGCAAUUCUCUUUUUAAUACUUUAUGAACCAGAAACAAAAUUAAAAUGAGUUUAUUAUGGUUAUCUAAUUCAUGUCUUAAAAUAUAAAACAAAAUGUGUUAUUUUUUUUUUAUAAUAAACAUGCCAAAAUAAUUAUUAUUUUUAGAUAUCAUGAAUCAUAAAUAAAGUCUAUAUGAUAUUAAAAUUCACACAUCAAAACAUAAAAUAAAUUAAUUUUCUAAAUCAAAAACAAAUAUGCAAUUUGUAUGAUUUUAUGAAAUAUUUAUACUUAGCUUUCAUAUAAUUUAAAACAUACCAAACACACCUUAAACUAACCCAACCAUCCAUCAAUAGUCUCCAUAGGUCGUUAGCCUAGCUUCCCAUUUCUCUCACCCAUCAAGUGCUUUGUUGCUACUGCUCAUAUUUUAGAUGGCUUAAAAUGUAUUUUAAUCCAUGAGUCAUACCACUCUCUCUUUAAAGCUAAAUUUUAGUUGCUCAAGACAAGUACUUCAAACCAUGCCAUACCCUGCAACAACCUAUUUUUUAGGCAAUCAAAAAAACCUAUCACUACCACCUUCAUUAGACAUAAAACGUCUUUCUUCUGCCACAGCCCAUGCUUUGGGCUACCCAAAACCCAUAUGUCAUAAUGAAUAGCUGGAUUGCUUCCCAUCCACUAAUUCUCCCUUCUUAUCCCUUCGCACAUGCACAUUUUGAUCAACACCACCUAGCCUCACUGUCUUAUCGUCUUCUUCUUUCCUUCAAACUGAACACCAUAGCAGUUUCAAUAUGCAACAAAUGAUCCGUGAAGAGGUGGCAGGGAUGGCCCCAUCCAAACGUUUUUUGGCUCAUCAUGUAGAACUCGGUUAUCAACUCCAUCAGAACUCACCAUGGGGAAUCCGACAUGCAACAAGUGUUCAGCUCUUGUUUUAGAUAUUAAUUGUUGUGGACUUUGGGGUAAAUCAAUUGAAUUAAAAGAGUUUUUGUUUCAAGCUUGGUGGUUAUGGGUGCUUUUUGGUGGGUUUUCUGGAAGAGGAAUUUUUUUUUUAUAUAAUUGGUGAAGUUUGUUCACUGUUCUUGCCUAUCAAUACAACCUUAUUGGGUGUACCAUUUGAAUCAUUUUGUUUGUGCAUUUGUGAUUUUAUGUUGCUUUCUUUACUUAUUUUUUUCAUGUCAUUUACUAGAAUUUGGAAUGCUUCUGUUUUUCUCGUAAGUGGUUUGGAUUAAAAAAAACUAUGGCUAUGGUAUUUGAGCUGGAGGCUCAGCACGCAGUGUUUGGGUGAGUUUAACAUGGCGUUGAGGUGGCCACCUUGAAUCGGAAAAGGGAAGAUGCGGACAUAGGGAGAGUCCAUCCAUCUCGCUUUUGGUUCACAAUCUCAAGGGUGAGUUUAAGCAUGUUUUGUUUCCUUUUGUUUAAAGCAAUGACUUCGUCAACAACUACUACUUGGUGCCCAACUAUGCAAGAUCUCACCAAUUUGCUAUUCCCAAUUGUCUUUUGAAAUAUCAACAGUGCCAAUUGUGCCUCUACUGUUUCGAUAGGAUCUAUUGCUGUUAACAACUUCCUCAGUGUGGUGUAGUGUCAUAGAACUCUUGUCACAGAUUGCUUGAUUUGACAUUUUCUCAUUCCAUGUGACCGUGUCUUCUGGGUUUAAUGUGCAGACCUCUGGUUUCAGGUACCAAGAUUAUGGAUUCUUUGCAGAGCAAGCAGUACGAAGGAGAAUUUUUUGAAUGAAACUGUGACUAUUAUAGUAUAGUAGGAAAUCAAAGUGCAUUUACUUUGUUUUUCAUUCAAAAUCUUCAAAGUGGAUAACAAAGAAACAUAAUAAAUUAGUUUGAGGAGACAUCCAAUUAAAAAUUCUAAAAGAAGAUGCAAUAAACAAAGUGUUUACUCUUUCUUGUUUGUUACUAACAAAAAGAAAUUUGGGUUAAUAUGAGGUGAAUUUGUGUCAUGUUAUGAGAUUGCACAUUUUAUUUAUAAGAAAUUGUGGUUAUUGGUCCUGAAACUUGGAGUCUUGAUGAGACUAAAAAUGCUUUGAUUCUUCGUACAAUGCAUUUCCUGCACAGCUGCAAUGGCAGGAUCCAAGUGACCUUGACCAUCAUACCAUGUUGUGGAAAGAUGCCUAUUCUUCACAUUUGUUCCUCAACUGUAAGAAAAUUGAUCUUCUUGUGAAAUGAGUCACUGUCUGGGACGAUUCUCUAUCAGAUUAACCAUCUAGACUGGCCUCAACAACUCCUUCACUAGCAAAAUCUUUUCAAUAAAAGGACUCUGAACCAAUUCAGAAAGCCUUGUCCAAUGACUUUUGACUAUUGAAGCUAUUUAUGUUGUUGUGACUUUAUUAUAUGCUGUGACAAUUUUUCUUCGUUUACAAUUUUAACAUUAUCAGUAAGCACCUCUUGCUUGUUUUACAGAAAAUAAUGCAUAUCAGUUUUGAUUAGAACACAAAUGAAAUGAGUAUUUUGUUGCUUUCUAAGUUGAUAAAACCACUUGUUGGGACCGCACGGAUUGUCAUAAACAACCUCCACAUCAAGGGGGAUGUAUGCUAAUAAAUUUUCUCAUUAAUGCUUAUUCUUUUUUAUUUAAAAUUUUUUUAUGUAAAUUGAAGGCAACCAUCAUUCUAGUACUCCUGCUCUUGUGCAGAAGUUUUUCUUGUAUAAUUUUUAAAAUCUUUUAGUUUUGAAAAGUUUAUCCUCACCUUCUGGCUACUAUUCUUCCAUCAUUUUUAGUGACUUCAAUUCUAUAUAUUUCAUGAGAUCUUUGGUCUUUUUUUGCCACUGCCAUUUCUUUGAUUUGUCUGGGUUUAUUCCAAUUCUGACCAAGUGGAGGACUGAUUCCAGAUACGAAAUCAGCUCUCUUCACCCUCCUAGUGAAUUAAAAGCUUUAGCACAACUACCACUAUCUUUAUUUAAACCAAAAGAAACUACAAGAUACAAGAAUUCCCUCUAGCCAUAAUCCUUGUAGUUUUCCUGAAUACAUAAAAAGAAAAUUUUCCAUCCUCGUAGUUUUCCUAAAUAACUCUCUUUCGGUUCACUUAAGUUAUAUACACACUAGAUUCUUUCCAUUUUCAUUACUGUUAAUGUAAUAAGGAUACUAAAAAGUACUUGAUACUCACUGUGAUAGUAAGUACUGUAAAUUUAAAGUUUUAUGCUCCAAUUUCAAAAGUUUCCUGUUUCAGAUUUUAGCCAUUUGUUAAGUUCAGAAUUAUGUUGUUUGUUAGGCAUGCUUUACCAUAUAAUAUUUUUCUAGCAAUGCUUAUGUGCUAUCUUUGCAAGUUUAAUUGAUGUUUUCUUAUACUGUCCUACACAGCUUGUAUUGAUGCCAGUUCUGAAUGGAAAAAUGAUUUUUUAUGCAUUUGAAACAACUCCUGAGGUGAGGAUUGGAGUUGCAUUUGGAAGAGGUGGAAAAUAAACUCUAUCUGCAACAAAACUGCCUCGUGUUUCAUCCUGGCUGGUUCAAUUCUCUGCUAAUUUCUUGAGUUUGUGAAAUAUGACAUUUUCUUCCGCUUGAAAUGCCCUGUUUACUUGCAAUACAACUUAAUUUCUUCAACCAAACAUUCAAUUUUGUAUUUCCAUGAUGUAUUUUCUUGCUUGAUCAGGUUAAACUUUUCACUAAUACAUUAGAUAAGACAAUGGUUGAGCCACGCCACCAAUGUUACUCUCUGCCAUCAAUUAAUUUGAGGAAAAAAGCUGUUGGAGGGAUACUUUUUGUCACAAUCAUUUCAGCAAGUAUAUUGACUAGGAAUAACAUGAAAGGAAGCCCUUCUGGGAGACAAGAAAGCUCUCUCAUGGAUGCUACUUUGGAAGAGAAUAAUGAGAACAAAGUUCUGCAAAGAUUUAUAGAAGUUGAACUUGGAGAGUUAACCAGGAGAACGUAUGCAAGUCCAGGUUCAAGCCCUAGGUGGGACACGACAUUUAAUAUGGUUUUGCAUGGAGAUAUAGGGAGUCUUAAAUUUAAUCUUUACAAAAGCUCUCCUAUUUGUGUGAAGUAUGACUUUCUCACAAGUUCGAAAAUUAAGGUACGCAAAGAAAAUGUUCAAGUGCUUUUCUAGAGGCCACUAAUUUUAGCUUGACUUAUUGUGUCUAUGUUAUCGCUUGUUAAUUUUAAACUGAGGGUGGCUUCCAUGAAAAUGUCAUCAUGUCUAAUUGUGGUAUUCUAUCUAUCCAUAUUGACCAAAUGAAAAUUUUCUAUAAUGUGCUAGUUGAAAUAUGUUGAUGAUGACUCCACGAUAUUUUGGGCAGUAGGACAUGGAUCCAGUGAACUUGUUAAGCAUGCUGAGAGGAUUGGUGAAGAAGUGGAGAUGGUUGUUCCAUUUGAAGGUUUCAACUUUGGAGAGGUAGGGUUUUCCAAAUCCUUCUGUAAUUAUCUAUUUUGUUGUGUGGUUUGAGAGUUCUCCAUGAACUUGAAUGGUGGAAGAGCAUUCACGUUCCCAAAUCCGUAUAGGUAAGAAAUUAUAUAUCUAUUUCUACAUAAUUUACAAUUUAGUAUUGUAUGAUUCCACUGCUUUGUUCCCUUGGGUCAUGGAUAGUAUCAAGAGGGUGUACAUCAUUUUUUUUCUUUCUAGAAAUCUGGUUAUAUAAUGUUGGAAGUAAGAGCUGAACUUUCUGAUUUACCCAUGGUACAAGAUUGCUAUAAGUUUAAACAGAAAAUAGACUGAAAUAUUUUAUCUAUUGAAUCAGGUGAUAUGAUCACAACUAAAAUCCUCGUUUCCAAUUCAAUUGAUGGCCUGUGGUUGCACUUAUAGGGAAAAUGGGCAGCAAGUGACAUGAAUGCAGAACUGCAAAGAAGGAAGAGAUGGAUUAAUGAGUUUUCUCACUUUUUAUCUAUAAUGUUAAAUUCUAUUAACAACUUUCUCAAAAAUUGUAGUUCAUCUAGAAAGGUGAUCUGAAACAUUCUGUGUGAGGAAGACUCUAACCACUGAGCCCACAACUGACCCAUUCCAUUUGGAAAAAUGUCAUUCCCUGCCAAAAUAUCACUUUGUUGUUAAUAUAUCAACUUAAUUGAAUUUGCUAAGGUGUGUAUGUAUAUAUUUGAACUGGUUAUUAUUCAAGGCUAUUGGUUAAUAUUUUAGACCUUGAUAUUUUCUUUUGGCUUAAUAAUAAGCAAAAAAAUUUCAUGGGAUUGCUUAUGUAGUUCAGUUCUAAACUGUUUGAGAUAUAAUAAUUAGGAUACCGUUUGUGAUGGUUUCUUGUUCCUAUGCUUUUAGAAUGUUAUAAACCUUUUGUUCUCUGUUACUAUUGAUUUUGGCAUGAAACUCACUGGUGAUAAGGUUUGGAAAUUUGUUAACCUAGGGAAUGGAUAUGCUUCUUGUUCUAGAUGUUCUUGUUCAUUCUCCCUAUUAUGAUUCUACUUUAUUGCUUUAGGAUUCAAUUGAUGUUUACUUGCAUGGUAGAACUUUGAAAUAAAAUAAAAUAUCUGAAACAUGAAGUGGCAAACCCGUUAGUCUUAGCUAUUUUCCCAACUCUUUUCUAGUGUUCAGCUCAUCUCAAUUGCCUCUCCACCAUCAAAAGAAAAAAAAAUAAAAAGGGAAAAACUUGCAUUCUCAAUUUCAACUUAAACACGGGCUAUACAUGAAGUGAUAUUGAGAAAAGGAAAAUACAAAGAAACUUUUAAACGAUAUGGUGCUUUACUGACCAUGAAAGGAGGCAUUUUACUGCAUCUGAAGGCACUUCGCCUUUGAUAUUAGUAGAAAAAAUGAUUUCAAGUAUGUCACCCCCAUUUCAGUUUCUCAAUUUGUUUCUUUUAUCAAACUUGGCUCUCAAGUACAUGACCUCAAAUCUAGCCAUGGCGCCUCUUUGAGGUUAAAUUCUAAGGCAUUGAAUUCUUAAUGGGAACUCCAUGGUGCCUCUCUUCAUUAUGUCCCUUCAUAUCAAAGUGGCAACGAUGAGCUAAGAUUUCUUCUUGCCGGUAUGUGUAGAAGAUUUAUGUGUUCUAUAAGGGGCCUACUAUUCAAAGCAUUAGGAAAUUAUCUCAACUAAAAAUUUUGUUGUGGAACUUAAAAAGGGUCACGUCCAGUAAGUCGAAAAAUGGAUUUGAUUUACUUAAGUUGAUCAUUAGUUGAUAUGAUUCCAAUAUGUCAUAAUUUUAUCUUAAUUGAACUAUUUAAAUUCCAUGGUUUUGGAUGGUAUAAAUCAAGUUGACUUGAGAAAAACACCAAGACACUUGGUUUAAAUCUAAAAAAAUAAUUACGAUUUAGAAAUAAUUUUUUAUUAGCCUUUGGUAUGUGGUGCAACUUGUACAUUCCACUUAUCCCAUGUGUUCUUUAAUAAUCCGUGGUCAACAUGUCUUGUUUUCUUUUGUUAAUUAAUAAUUUUUUAUAUACUAUAUCUAAGUGGUAUAUAAUAUCAUGUCUAUAUAAGUUCAAUUUAAAUUUAAAAUUUAUCAUAUUUAAUUUUAGUUCAUAAUAUCACAUCAUGUCCAUAGGAUCAUAAUUUAUGAAAAUAUUAUCAUAUUUUUAUUUAAGUUCAUAAAUAGGCUUUCAUAAUUUAUUUUUUAAAAUAAAUAUAAUUUAUUAUUAUUUUAUUUAUAUUUAAGUUUAAUUAAUUAAUUAUAUUUAUAUUAGAUAUAGUGUCAAUUGUUUUAAUAAAAUAAAAUAAAGAAAUUUAUACCAUAUUAAAAAUAUCAAUUAUUUAAUUUCAUAUAUUAAUAUUUUUUAAAUAAUGAGAUAAGUUUAAAUGAAACAACAUAAUUAUAUAUAUAUAUAUAUAUAUAAGUUAAAGUCACAGUUGGUGUCUAUGGUUUUGAUCAUUUUUAAAAGAAUUCAAAACCAUAGUUACUAAUUGUAGCUUUAAACUUAAAGUUAAAACCGUGGUUGGUGACUAUGGUUUUUAACCGUUUUAGAAAAAUAAAACCGUAGUCACCAAUUACGGUCUUAUGACAUGACAACUUAUAUGAUACAGACACAUUAGAUUGAGUAUUAUUUUGAAAAUAAGUUUAUUUUAUGAAUUUUUUUUUUCAAUGUACUUUUUUGGGUCAAAACUCCCACUCUAUAGAUGUUAUCUAUAUUAAUAUUUGUUUCAUUUUAAAUUUAAUUUUGUUUAUAUUUUACAAAUUCAUAACAAAUGAUCAUCAAUACAACAAAAAAUGACACAAAAAGCUUUGUGGUUUGCUAAGCUCUUACAUCUUGUAUUCUAACAUAACAUCUUCGAUGCAUAUUGAGAAACAAAAUAGUUAAUUUCAACAAAUUUCCAUUUUGGGUUUUUUCUCAUUGGUAGACUCCUACAUCAUAUGAUUUCAAAUUCUGGUUAAUAUAGAAGUGAGGAAUUAAAUAACCUUGGAUACUCCAUCUCAGCCACAUUUUCAGUUUUAUGAAUAUAUAUAUAUAUAUAUAUAUAUAUAUAUAUAUAUAUAUAUAUAUAUAUAUAUAAUCUUGUGUUUUUCUUUAACUGACACAACAAUUAUCUCAAGCCACUUAUAAACCUGAAGAUAUGUCACAGAUGCACUAUAGGAGAACAAACACUGAUGCAUUAAUUGUUAUUCUCUUUUUUAAUUAUUUCUUCAAGAAGAUUUCAUGGGGCUUUCACUUGGCUUUAAUUUCAUGUUCCUUUGAUUAAUGUUUUUGAACCUUGAGUAAGCAUUCCUUGCACAACCUGAGCUCAAGAUCAAAGAAAUUUUCAUUCAUAUUUAAGGUUAGAUUAUGGACAACCUCAUGCCAGUGGUUUCUAUCAUAUUAUGAGAUCAAAUCAUCCUUAGGACUUAGAUAAGAGAGAAUUAAAAUUACAUAUUUUAUUUCCAACUUUUUUAUGCAUAAAUAUAAAACAAUUUCAUUAUCUUAAGAGUAUAAUUAAUGAAAUUUGAUAUACAAUUUUAUGUUUUCUCUUGUUGUCCAAAUAAAUUAUAUAAUGGUACUUGUAAACAGUACCAUAGUUUCCUAAAAUAAUUAAGGACCACAUUUUUUAAGUUCCAAAUUUUCCUAAAAGACUAUAAUGAAUUUAUUUUUCAUAAUUAUUAUGGUUGCAAUAAUAAACCAAACAAAAGGAAGUCAUGUUACAUCAUUUAAUAAAUGUCAUAAAAAUGCAAAAAAAAAAAAAAAUGCAAAAAAUCAAAAACAAAAACAAAAAUUUAAAUCCUAUAAAGGAUAUAUAUUUGCAUGGAGAAUAAAUAUCUAAUCCAAUAAAUUUUCAUAAAAACUAUUUUUACUUUUCACAAAAUUUUUAAUGGUGGCCUCUUAGAAUUUUCUUUCAAGUUGCUUCUAGAUGGGAAUGGGUUUAGAUAGAAUUAAAAGAAAAACAAAAGAAUUCAAAGAAAAAAAAAGUGAGAUUUUCAAUAUUUACUAAUAUAACCUUGAUAGAUUUAUAAAUGAAAUUACAUUGACUUAAAAAUCAUUUGUCAAGAUAGCUUUUACCAACCUUGACAUAAGAAUAUUUUAACUAUAUAUAUUAACUUAUAAUUUUUCUAUCAAGAUUGUAUUACUAUAAAUUAAAGAAAAUUUUAUCAAAUUCCAUAUAUGUCAUUAUUGCCUUUAUUUACCUACCUUGACAUAUGAAUAUAUUAAAAUCUUAUAUUGACUUAUAAAUUCUCUAUCAAGGUUGCAUCGUCAUAAGUCAUGGAAUAAUCACUAGAAUUCAUAUAUGUCAUUAUUUCUUUUAACUAAGUUUUAUAUGUCAUAGUUUCCCAUUUAAAUAAAAAAUAUUGACAUAUACUACUUUAAGUAAAGAUAAUAUAUGUCAACAAUGACCCUUUUUCUUGUAGUGCAUAUAUAUAAACAAAUAUUAUAAAUUACAUACAUAUAUUAUAAAUUAAACAUAAUAAAAUUAUUAUAAAUAAAUUGUUUUUUGUGAUUGUGACUUUUUUAUAAUAAUUAUAUAUAAAAUAAAUAUAAUUUUUUUAAUAAAAUUAUCAAAAUUUUAAAAUAAAAAAUACUUAUACAAAUUAUCGUUAUUUCUUUUUAUGUCAUUAAAUACAUCCAAAUUAAAUGAUAAUGCAUAAAGCAUGUUUUCAAAUUAUAAACAUUAUUGUUAAAUAUCACAACUAUGCAUACAUCAUCAUUUAUUUUAUAUUAUUUAAUAUAAUUGAAUUAAAUAUAUUAUAAUUUUAAUAUUAAAUAUAUUUUAAAUUAGACAUAUUAUAAUUAAAUAUCAUAAUAUUAUUAUGAAAUAGUAUUUAAUGUAACUUAAUAAUAAAUAUACACUUAUAAAAUUCAUAUUUUUUUAUUGAUGUAUAUGAUAUUAUCAUCAAAUAUGAUAAAUCAUAAUAUACAUAUAUCAAAAUUUUCAACAAAAUAAUUUUAAAAUGUCUAUUAUACUUCUAAUUAUAUUUCUACAAGGUUUUUUUUUUUUUUAAAAAAAAUAUUUUCAUGAAUUUUCAUCAAUUUUAAGCCCAUUGAUAUAUAUAUUUUUUCAAAAUAUCCAUCGAUAUAGCUCCAAUAUAUUUUAUAUAUCCAUAAAAUCGAAAUACUGAUAUAUCCGUGAUUACCGAUAUUUUCAUCAUUGGUUAAAGGUUUUACCAUGGGGAUGAUCCAUGCUCAUAUAUAGAAGUUUUUCUAGUGCAAAGUUGACCCCAUACUCGAAGGCAAAAUUUGACUUAAUACAUAUAAAUACAACCUAUACCCAAAGAUGCAGGGGUAGCCUAAGCACAAAGAUGAUUCAUUUCCAAAAGAGUGAGAGGCCAAUUUUCCACCAAGAUAACUUUCACAUACAACCAUAUAAGGUAGUUUAACAAAGGGAUGUCUUGAAUUAGAAGGAUUAAUGCUAGUUUUCUUUAGGGUUCUUAGUAGAGAUACCUUUAAUUAUAAUUUUUUUUUGGUUAUUCACAUUUUCCAUUUAUUCUUUAUUAGACUAUCAGUAAGGCCUUUUUCCUUGAAACUAACUUGGCUUUAGGUUUUCAAUUGGAAGGUUUUCUUAACUUGUGAUCACUUGCUUUAGUGAUAAGAUUUCCUUCCAUUUAGCUAAUGUGUAUGGGAGUUAAUAUGAAGAUCAUUCUUGUGCUUUUUGAUGACUUAGGUGACCUCUUACGGUGCAUCUUAUUUAUGAACACCCAAGGUGUUUUGAAGCAUGUUUGUCCAUCAUAUGUUGCUGGCAACUUUUAUAGCCUUUUAAUUUCAUACGAGUGCCUUUGACUAGGUGUAAAAGCAUAAGCAAGUUUCACUUGAUAAAAAGAGUUUUAAACUCCCGAACAAGUUGAGUGAGAUGCAACAUGUCUUAAGUGGUCGUUUUGAUAGAAAUUUAGUUAUCAACUUUGAGGAUGGGUAUCAUGGCUGGUAGGUGUGGGUUGAAUUGCUUUGAUGGACUUUGAGAAUGAGGUACCUUUGGUUGCUUGAGAUGAAGAUUGUCUAGUUUUUUGUGCCAUGGGCUUGUAACUAUGUCAUUAACCAUUUUCCAAUAUGUAGUAGUUGUUGAAUCGGUAGGCUCCAAUUUUCAAACUUGCUUAUCUUGCUAUACAAAUAUUAUUAGGUAUGUCCACGUACAUGGGGGGCUAAGUCAUAACACCUGGGACUUAGGUCAUAGACCCUAAGGCUAUUGGUUUUAGGUAGACAUAUCUUCUCAAAAUUCUUAUUGUAUUCAAGAAUUACUCUCUUAGCGUGAAACAAAGAAGGAUACUAUUGUGAUCCAUAUUUGCUUCUCUUUUGAAUAUCACACAAGAUAAAAAUAAUUGAAGAAAAGAUUACAAAAGGAAAAUAAAUAAAAGAACACUCCAUUGGAAUGGUUCAACUUCAUUUUCGACCCUCUGUGACAACUUUUUUUCUAACUAAGGAAUGCUUAAACUUUCACACAAACAGUGCCAAUGAAGAUGCUCAAAAUCUUCAUGAAUGAAUUUUUAUUCAUUAGUUUGGUAAACACAGAGAAGGAUUUUUGUCAUUUGGUAGAUGCAGAGAGUGAUUUUUUUAUGGAGGAGGAGGACAUCCUUUUGCCAUGCAUCAUUUUUUUUAUAUAGUUAGGGUAUUCUAUCAUGAGUCAAACUCUUUCAUGGGUUGACACAUGGGUUAAUAACCUUUUUCACUAGAAGCCAAGAGCUAGUAAUAUCUUCUUUUAAGGGUCUGGUUUGUUAGUUUAUUAGACCUUGAGGUAGGUCAUUGCCAAGGUACCUAUUAUUAGGUAAGUUGAUUUUAGGUAGCUUCACUCCCCAUUAUUUAUGGAGUUAUGUAUGUGUAUGGUGGGUAGAUAGUCAAAUUGGAUCUAGUUGAUAUCAAGACUAAAGACAAUAUUUAACCCAUUAGAAUAAAUUAAACAAAAAUUAUGAGAUGAAUGUAAAGUACAAAACUAUUUUUAACUUGUAUUCCUAAUUGAUUUACUCUUUUAAUCCCUUAAAAAAAAUUAUGUUUUUAUGCUCGUGAGUUGCAUACCUUUGGAUGUUAUUUUGAGGGUUCAUGAUUCUUCAUCAUGGGUAUGGAUGAAUAUGACUAUUCAAUUGAGGUUGUAUAGUUUCAAGGACCUAUGGUUCUUUUCCCAAAUUUUUAUCUGAAAGGCAUUUUAUAUCUUUAGAAUUCAAAAAAAAGAAAUAUUGUAGUUAAGUAGUUAGUGCGGUAGGAGUGGGUGUGGGGAUGGGUCCAACUAGGAUGCAAAACAAUGGUAGUAAUUAGAAUAUUGGAGGGUUGAAUUUCCAGCUAUAAUCAUUGGUCAAUGCCAAAAUCAUAAAGUUUCUUUCUCUUCUCCAAAAUUAGUUACCAUAUAUAGUUAAUAUUUAAUUAUUUUGUAUAAAGAGUGUGCCACCUCUUCGAAGGCCAAAUGGGUUAAAAUUUUAAGAGGGAAAUGGAAAUAAAGAAAUAGGAGUUUUCCAUGGUGGUAUAAGUAAGAGGGUAUAGAAUAAGGAACCGUUAAUUCGGGCAGCAAGCAUGGCUAAAGAAUUUAGGCAAAGUCAAUAUAAGUCUAGGAUAAGGACAAAGUCUCCUAUUGUGCUUUUAUAAUGGUUGAAUUUGGUUUGUUCAAUGUGCUUUUCAAAUGCUUUAAAGAUGCAAUUAGAAUUCUUGAUGGUUUGUGCAUGAAUUGUACUUAUAUGCAUCAUUGGUUUUCUUUCUUAAGUGACAACAUCAAAUGGCUCAAUUUAUAUGAGCAACAUCUAAUGAAUUAAUGGAUAUGAAUUAUACAAUUUUAUGGAGUUCUACCAUAGAAAAAUUUUCAUAGAUAUCAUGGUAGAGGAAAUAAAUGAAGGAAACAUGAGAGGUGAAAUAUUUAUACAAAAAUAUAAAUUAAAAUUCGUGAAGAUAUGAAAAGAAAAAGCAAUCAGAACUACCCCAUAAAACAAGUUAAAUAGAAAUUUAAUAGGUUUGGCAUUAAGCAUUGUAAGUGUAGUAAGUUAUUAAAACAAACAAGAUUUAACUGGGGUGUUGAAAGAAACACUAUGAAUGUUACAAAGGAAGUGUGAUAAAACUAUUUACAAGUAAAUAUUAAUACACACACAUAUAUAUAUUAUUUAUUUUGUUAGAUACAUCCAAAGACAUCGCAAUUUCAAAAGAGAGGAUGUGAGCAUAACAAGUUUUUAGGACUUACAUUUAAUAAAUAUAUUAAUAUUGGAGUGCUUCACCAUGCAUCCACUUAAGAACCAAUUGACACUAAUGAUGAGAUAGAAUUGAAGAAUCAACCGGUCAUCGUUGAAAACAAUAUGCAACAAGUGUAGAGCAUAGAAAAACAAAAAAGAGAAUAAAUCACAAUAUGUUGGUUAUGUGUAGACCCUUCAUUUUGUCCUAUUAGCACAUGUCCUAUUACAUGUUCGCUUGGUACUUUACAACAAUUCCUUUGUGGUCCAUUACUGCUCAUGUAGCUUAUCUUUUCUAAGUCACCUUGAAGAUUUUGGUUGAGGGACUCAUCUGACCCCAUUGUGAUUCUAGGUAGCUUUAAUUGAGACUUAGGUUUUUUUCCUUCCUUGUUAGGCCCAUUUAGAUACACUUGGUCCAUUAGGCACCACCUUAGACCCACUUAGACACUUUUCUAGGUUUAGUUUUACUUAUAUUUUUUUUUUUAUUGUUUUUCUUUAUUUAUUUAUUUUAUUAAUUGAUUUUAGGGUUAAGUGAGUUUUGAUUUAUUUUAUCUUAUUUCAUUAUUAUUAUUAUUUGUAUUUUGUUUAUUUAUUUUAUUUUGUGGUUGCAUGAAAUGAAUUUUUUUAAUUUUUCGUGGUUUGAGUUUGACACGUCGAUUAUUAUUAUAUGUUGCAUUAGUUUAAUUUCUUUUUUUGAAUAUGUUUAAUAUUUAUUUAUUUAUGUAUUAUACCUUUUAUCUAUGUAUUGAUAUUUUCUUAUUUGCGGAUUUAAUGACUUCUUGAAAUUUUAGUGAAAGGAAUGUUGACUUUUAAUGAAGGGAAUUGUUUGACUUUAGGGGAUUCUUGCUUUCUUUAUUACUUUUUUAUUUUUAUUUUGCAUGAGAAAACCUGGGGAAUGGGGAGCUGGAAAGCAACGUCCUCGACACAUUUCUCAACAAGGAGCCAAACUUUUAAUUUAUGCAGUGAGCGCAAGACUCGGUGACGUAUCAUGUUGGCGAACCUAAUGCCAUUUAUCUUUUCCUCGAAGAUUUACCGGUUGUCGGAAUAGCGUAUUGCACACACCGAUAGACUUUAGAUUACGAUCUUACUCUGCCGUUGAACCUUCUUCAUCGAAGCAUGCCUGAAAUAGCACAUAACCAUGAUUAGUACGCAGCAAAGCGGAUCAGGGUCUUCGCAAAGCCCUAGAUCUCCGAGUACACAACCAUUUUUAUCGGUCUCAAUCACAGAUCCUAUCAAAUUGGGCAAUAACGUCCAGGCUUACAUCUUUUAUCACGUCAUCACCAAGACAAAUUUACCUGAGUACCAAGGUCAAGAGAAAAUUGUUAUUCGAUGUUACAAUGAUUUUGUUUGUUUACGUGACCGUCUCUUUGAGAAGUACAAAGGCAUUUUUGUUUCUCCUCGAUCUUCCAAAAAAGAGUGCUGGAGAGAAGUUCAUUUUAGUGCUGAAUUUAUUAAGAUGAGGCGUCAAGCAUUGGAUAUAUUUGUUAACAAGAUAGCAUCGCAUCAUGAGCUUCAGCAAAGUGAGGACCUAAGAACCCUUUUGCAGGUAGAUGAAGAGACGAUGGAGAAAGCAAGACCCCUCGAGGAGAUCAUGAAUAUAUUGACUUUCAUAGCCAUUUUGAAAUAGCUAGAGCUGUUGAAUCGUAUGAUAGGAUAUUGAGUUCUCUUCCGAUCAUCUAUGUGGGCUCUUUGACCAAGUUAAAGCAGUUUCUUUAAGUUAUGGUUGAACCUGUUAGAUCUUCUCUCAAGCAUAACUCAAUGUCACUUCCCCUAUGGAGAUCCCUUGAUUAUUUAGAAGCAAAAUGACAAUCCUCCUAUCAGAGACAGUUCAAUCCCGACGGAAAGAGUAUUAAAAACGACACUUCUCCUGACCAUAGUGCAGUGGACAUCUAAAGAGGCUGCAACAUGCACACACAUGGAAGGCGGCCUCUCCAAAAAAGGAACACGAUACGCAUGAUUUGGCAUGGAGAAUAUUUUUGGGAAGGUGACUCAGCAUCACACAGAUGAUUGUUGGCUCUCUCCGGGCUGGUGAGUGGUCUUUCCAUGUAGGUGGAGUCAAUGGGAAGGAGUGCAGAGGACGCUCAUGAGAAGGGGUCACACUGGUUUUGGAAAGGUGGAUUUAGGGCAUGAAAGGAGAAAAUAAAUGAUGGAUGAAUGAGGAUGGUUUUUGGGGAAGAUACAGAGAAGGAAAAGGUUUUUUUGGAAAAGAAGUUUUCAGCACGUUGAAGAAAAAAAAAUGCUGAGCGUAGGGAAGAGAAUGAGAAUGUUUUGGGAAGAUAAAAGAAGGUGAUCGGAUGUGGAGGGGGGCAGCAUUAUAGAGAUUGAUUGAGAGCGUGAUAGAGAUGGAAUUGAGAGAAAAGAGAAAGGUACAGCCGCACCAGUGAGAGAGAAGAGAAAUGUGCAGCCACACCAUUGAGAGAGAAGAGAGAGGUGUAGCUGCACCAUUGAGAAAGGAAAGAGAGGUGCAACCGCACCAUUGAGAAGGGAAAGAGAGGUGCAGCCGCACCAUUGGAGAGAAAAGAAAGGUGCAGCCGCACCAUUGGAAAGAAAAGGAGAGGUAGCCGGCUGGUAGUGCACAAGACGCUGGUUUUGGAGGAGAUGAGGGUUCUAACUCAACCACACCAUUGAAGCUUCGGGGAAAGCACGAUUGCCUCUAAUACCACACACCAUUCGGAUUGAUUUGGAGCACGCAUCGCCGAUUGAUUUUUGAUUCAUCCUAUCAUCCACACGGUUGCCACUGUGGGAAACAUACAACAUACAGUCCACGCACCUAUCCAACUGGGUAAGCUGAUUCUUUUCUUAUAUUUUUUUUAAUUAGUCAAUAUAAUUAAUGCAAUAUGUUAAAGAUCCCAUUUGAAUUUACUAUAAUACAUUUGUAAUUCAUCAUUAUAUUUGAGUUUUAUUUAUUUAUUUAUGUGUUAUCUAUUUAUCCAUUUGUUAAUAAGAUUGAUUCUAUAGGUUAAAGAUUUAGUUUUAAAAUCUGUUUUGGUUAGUUUUUAAUUCAACUUUAGGUUUAAGUGCUCUUAUAAAAUUUUAGUUUGUUAAAAUAAUUAAUCAUAUGUGUUAAGGAUUUGAUUUUAGAUUUGCCUUAAUUACUGUUUAAUUCAUUUUAAGCUUAGAUUUCAUUUUAGUAAUGUAAGUUUAUUUAGAAAAUUGAUUCCAUGAAUUCAUAUUUUGUUUUUUUUUUAGUUUGCUUUCAUUUAAUUUGAUUCAUUUUAAUUAUUUUAGAUGCUUUUAUAAUUUUAGGUCAUUAAUAAAAUCAAUUCUAUAUUUGAAAGUUCAUGCCUUUAGUUUACUCUGAUUUAGUUUCACUCAUCUAUUUAGUUUAGGUAUUUUCUAUAAUAUUAGUUCAUUAAUAAAAUUGAUUCUAUGUUUGAAAAUUCAUAUUUGCCUUGAUUUAAUUUGGUCCAUUUUAAUUAGUCUAGAUGCGUUUGUGUGUUUAAUUGAUCACGUGCUAGUUCUUGAUUAUUAUUCUCAAUUGAUAUGUUUAUUGAAUACUAGUCAUUAAUUCUUGGUGGAUAUUUCAUUAGCUUAUUUGAUCUAAGUUUGAAUAGUUUAUUGUUUUAGUAGUCUCUUGUAAAAUUUACUUUUCAGAGGCCAUAAAAAAAUAGUGAAGAUUGGUUUUCGUUCUCACCACUCUAGUUAGCUCGGCUGUCAAAAAUUUUACUUUAGGAUUUUCUUUUCUUUUGUUUUGUUGUCUUCAAAUUAAUUUCUUUCACUUCAAGACAAAACACUUUUCUCAAAAUAUCCCUUUAAAUUUUUUUUUUUUUAAAUUCAUUUAGAGUCCUUAGAAUCAAAAUCUCAUUUUCUUAAAUAAUAUGCAACCAUGUUUUGAUCGGUUUGCAUCUUUUUCAGUUUUCAAUAAAAACUACGGUUUUGAAUGGAAUACGAAUCCAAGCUUGUAGUCCCAAACAAAUGCGAUAAUUCUGGGCUAGAUUUGUGUAUAUCAAUUGGAGAAUUGGUGGAAUCCUUACAUAAGAAAAUUUUUCAAAACUCAUCUUUGUUGUCACCUUUGUUACUUGUUGAAAUCAUAUCUAUCUAUUUUUUUAGGAAUUAUAUACAAGAUGUAUGUGAUAAUCGAUGAUUUCGUAUACUUUGAUAAUUUUUUCUAUGCUAAUUAGAUAACAAGCAUGUUAGGAUUUCUGUAUUUUAUUAUUUAUUAUCUAACUCCUCAUGUCUUGCGGAAGCACGUUACAAGUUAUCUAUGCUCUCCAAGUACACCCCCUAUCACCUACCAUCUAAAUUAUGUGAAUAUGCUUGUCACUGUGAACCGCGCCUAUGUUUGAUAGUGCUUGGGUAUCUUGAUAUAUUGUUUCAUUGUUCGAUUAUUUAUGAUAAAACACAUGCUGGAUGAUAUACUAUUUGAAUUAACUUUGAUGUAUUGUGAUAGCGCUUAAGAAGUAAUCCGGGUACGCACCCUAAAUCUUCUUUAUGAUUUGUGAUUGAUUCUCUUAUUUAGUAUGCUAUUUUUUUGAAAUCACAUUAGUCUACCUAGGUACCCUCAAUCAACCAAUUAAUUGCCCAAAUUCUCUCAACUUAGUCAGUAGAGACAUUUGUUAGGCUUAGAUGGGUGCUACCUUCUAGAGGUACCUUCCCAAUAGGUAACCUGAUCCCCUGACCAAGACUCGGGUUUUUCAAAGACAUGCUUUUCCAAAAACUAUGGAGUUACUUCUUUAGGGUUUUCUUUCUUAUUUUAUUUUCCCUUUUAAAAUAAAAUCAAAUAAGUGACGACUUCAACUUUUCCAAAACUAAUUUUUUACCAAUAAAAGUGAGUUUUGUCGAUUGAGUGGGAACGCAUGUGAAAUAUGCGGGUCCACAUUAUGUCCUUCAAGCAUGAGCUGAGGCAACAAAGGUAAAAAUAGAAGCCUCUUUAAACAACCAAAAACUUAUAUAAAAAAAACAUUCAAUUAUAGACAUGCAUUAGUUAGAAACAUAAUUAAACAUUAUUUUUAUGUGUUGAAAGCACUUUGUAAAUGUUUUAAAGUGUUUUAUUAUUAAAACAAAAUAAAGAUAUUUGGCAAAGUUUUGAGAUUCGCUUCUAAAAAUUUAUCUAAAAAUUUAGAAUGUCUUUUGAAGUUAGUUUAGAACAAUUACUUAUUAAAUAGGGAAUUUUAAAUUUUUAAAAAUUAUAUUCUCAAAGUAUUUUCUUUUAUUUACAUCAAAACAUUAGUUAAAAAAAGUUUAUAAUUUCUAAUCAUCUCAAAGUCAUUUUCAAAUGGAAUUUAAAAACUUUCAUAUUCAUAUUAUAUGUACAUCUUUGUGUGUUAUAGUUUUCUACCCAAGUUUUAUUGGUUUAUAAUAAUUUUAUUUAUUUAUGUCUUGAUUUUACUCUUAUCAAAGGCUAUAAUUCACACAAAUUAAAAGGCACAGUGGUUUGAUAAGCAUGGACCACCUAACUUGGUAUUUUCCAAACACGUUUCUGUUUGCAGAAUAUAUUUUCAUAUUUGAAUGGAUUGAUACAAAAGUUGAGUUGGAGAGAAGGUGGAAGUACAAGGAAUUUAGUCAAAUCCAAUGGCUUUUGACGACUAAAUGAAAUCCCCACUUUUGACGAAUACUCACUUAUUAGUAUGAUAUUGCUCUUUCAUCCAAAUAUGAUAUUACUACCUAUAUGACUCAUAUUUACUUUCCAUAUAUCAUCCACAUAUUAAUUUUUGAAACUAGGUUUCCGUCUAUUUUUAAUUUAUUUUUAAAAUUUGAUGAAAAUAAUUUUUACUUAUUCUUUAAAAAUUAUUAUUUAUUUUUCUUUGUUUAUAAAAAUUAGAAAUAAAAAAAAACUAUCAAAUAAAAUACUAAAAUUUUGAAAACAAAUUUCUAUUUUCUAUAAAGACUGAAAACCGAUUUUUAACUUCUUUUAUGCAGUGCACAUGGUCAAAUGAUUUUACUUUCGUUAUUUUUUAAUCAAGGAAGUGAAAUUACAUUAAGUAGGCUAACAACUCCCACACCCCACCAACCCUUUGACCGCACACCACAUUUGUCUUGGGUUUUGACCAGUAAGAACCAUCCGGGCUCCAUCCCUAUAUCCACGUGGAUUCCACGUCACGUUGCAGCAUCUGAGCCUUUGGCGUAGACAGAUUAAGGGUCUGGAUUGGGUUUCAACAAGGCACAUGAAGCCAGUUCGCCAUCCAGCCCACCUACCAGUGACCCUGUGGGAUUUCAAAGACUGCACGGCCGAAAAGUUCUAUAUAAGUAGAAGUUUCAUUCACCAUACACCUUAGUAAGUUCAGAGCACUACUGUCUAGUUCCUCUCUCUCUCUCUCUCUUUCCUUCUCGGUUGUCGAGAAAAACCAGCUUUCUGAAGUUGUUUCUUUGUGGGGAUUCUAAGAUAUGGAUGCAACGAACUGCCAUGGAAGCAACAAGGUGGAGAGUUUCUGCGUGAGUGAUCCGCUGAACUGGGGAAUGGCUGCGGAGACGUUGAAGGGAAGCCAUUUGGAUGAAGUGAAGCGCAUGGUGGCGGAGUACCGGAAGCCGGUUGUUCGGCUCGGUGGUGAGACGCUUACCAUAUCGCAGGUUGCGGCUAUCGCCGGGCGGGAGGGGGAUGUGGGUGUGGAGUUGUCGGAGACGGCGAGAGCGGGCGUGAACGCGAGCAGUGAGUGGGUGAUGGAGAGCAUGAGCAAAGGCACCGACAGCUAUGGUGUUACCACUGGGUUUGGUGCCACUUCACAUAGGAGAACCAAACAAGGUGGUGCCCUUCAGAAGGAGCUCAUCAGGUAAAAUUACUUUACAGUGGUUUUAGAAAAUACUUCAUAAAAGCACUUUUGGAAAAAUAUUAGUAGUUUGAAUCACUUUUGAAAAGUGAAAAAAUUACUUUUAAUAUUUCGCCAAGGAAUACUUGAUAGCCGAUGUUAAAAAAAAAAACUUAAAAGCACUUUUAAAACUCGGUGUUAGGAUACGUGAGUUAAUGGCCACCAGUCAACUUUGACGUGUUAACUUAUUCAUAUCUCUUAAUGAAUCCAGUCCUUUUUGGUUACUUUCUAUUAUCUGAAACAGUUGUUUUGAUUUGAAAACUUGAAUUGGUUGGUGAUGUGCUGGGUUGUUGAUGCUUGAUACAGGUUCUUGAAUGCUGGGAUAUUUGGGAACGGAAGAGAGUCAUGCCACACACUGCCUCACUCAGCAACAAGAGCCGCCAUGCUCGUGAGGAUCAACACCCUCCUCCAAGGCUACUCCGGCAUCAGAUUUGAGAUUCUGGAAGCAAUCACCAAGCUCCUCAAUCACAACAUCACUCCAUGCUUGCCUCUGCGUGGCACCGUCACUGCCUCCGGAGACCUGGUUCCUCUCUCCUACAUCGCUGGUCUUCUCACCGGCAGGCCUAAUUCCAAAGCUGUUGGACCUUCCGGUGAAGUUGUCAAUGCCGAAGAGGCCUUUAAAAUGGCUGGGAUCGAGUCGGGAUUUUUUGAGUUGCAGCCUAAGGAAGGCCUGGCUCUUGUUAAUGGCACUGCAGUUGGCUCUGGCUUGGCCUCUAUGGUGCUUUUUGAGACCAAUGUGCUGGCAGUUUUGUCAGAAGUUUUAUCGGCUGUUUUUGCUGAAGUGAUGCAGGGGAAGCCCGAAUUCACUGACCACUUGACUCACAAAUUGAAGCACCACCCUGGCCAAAUCGAGGCUGCAGCCAUUAUGGAGCACAUUCUAGAUGGAAGCUCUUAUGUGAAAGAAGCUAAGAAGCUACAUGAGAUGGAUCCUCUGCAGAAGCCGAAGCAAGAUCGAUAUGCUCUCAGGACUUCACCUCAAUGGCUUGGCCCACAGAUUGAAGUCAUCCGAGCAUCAACUAAAUCCAUCGAACGGGAGAUCAACUCUGUGAAUGAUAACCCCUUGAUCGAUGUUUCCAGGAACAAGGCUCUACAUGGUGGCAACUUCCAGGGGACCCCAAUUGGAGUCUUCAUGGACAACACCCGCUUGGCCAUUGCAGCCAUUGGGAAGCUUAUGUUUGCCCAGUUCUCAGAGCUUGUCAAUGACUUCUACAACAAUGGACUGCCAUCAAAUCUCUCUGGAAGCCGAAACCCGAGUCUGGACUAUGGUUUCAAGGGAGCAGAAAUUGCCAUGGCUUCCUACUGUUCAGAGCUCCAGUUCUUGGCCAAUCCUGUCACCAACCAUGUCGAAAGUGCUGAGCAACACAACCAAGAUGUGAACUCCUUGGGCUUAAUCUCCUCCCGGAAAACAGCUGAAGCGGUGGAUAUCUUGAAGCUCAUGUCUACCACAUACCUAGUGGCACUCUGCCAGGCCAUUGAUUUGAGGCAUUUGGAGGAGAAUUUGAAGAGCACAGUGAAGAAGACUGUAAGCCACGUAGCUAAGAAAACUCUAACCACUGGAGCCAAUGGAGAACUCCACCCAUCGAGAUUCUGCGAGAAGGAUUUGCUAAAAGUGGUGGAUAGGGAACAUGUAUUUGCCUACAUCGAUGACCCCUGCAGCGCCACAUAUCCACUGAUGCAGAAGGUAAGGCAAGUUCUGGUGGAACAUGCGCUGAACAAUGGCGAAAAUGAGAAGAAUGGCAGCACCUCAAUCUUCCAAAAAAUAGGGGCAUUCGAGGAGGAGUUGAAGGCCGUUUUGCCCAAAGAGGUUGAGAGCGCAAGAGAUGGGGUGGAGAGUGGAAACCCAUCAAUUCCGAACCGAAUCAAGGAGUGCAGGUCAUACCCAUUGUACAAGUUUGUGAGGGAGGAGCUGGGAACAGGGCUGCUGACUGGUGAAAAGGUGAGGUCACCAGGGGAGGAUUUUGACAAGGUGUUUACUGCAAUGUGUGAGGGGAAGAUCAUCGACCCUCUUCUGGAUUGUCUCAGUGCCUGGAACGGUGCUCCUCUCCCAAUCUGCUAGGGGAUUUCACCCUUGCACAUACUCUUUUACUUUUCACUUCCAACUUUCUUUCAUCUCUGUUUGUAAAACUUGAGAUUGUCUGCACGCUUUCAAUUUUGUGAUACAAAAUUUUUUUGUAUUAAUUCUUGGCUAUGCAAAAUAUUUGAUACCAAUUUGUUGGAGUAAUAGGAUUGUGGUAAAAAUAACUACAAUUUGAGCUCUGAUACCAAUUGUUGAAAUGGUAGGAUUGUAGUACAAAUAUCAACAAUUCCAUCUUGAGAUUUUACAAAUUUUAAUUCUACUUUAUAUAUAUAUAAUGCACUCUCUAAUAAAAUGAUAUCUUGUAUCAAUGUGCUUGCAAUGAUAAUGAAAAACUGAAUUUUUUUUAAUGUAAUUGAUAUUGGUUUGCCCAUGUAUUAACCUUCCUAGGUGAGUUUCUUGGAUGUGUCUCUCUUAGAGUCAAUCUCUUUGCUAACUAGACUCUCCAACCUAUUGGUUUUGAUUAAUAGGUUGUCAUUAUUGACUAGUCUAAGAUUCUCUAUAUGUUAUUUGAAUGAUUUUAUCAUGAGGUGGACUCAUUCCAUAUCCUGUCUUCUCUUGUAAUAGUUUCUACAUCGUAAAUUAACAGACAAGUUCAAUUGUUUGGUUCAUAUGCAAUCAUUGGAAUUUGUAAUGCUUCCAAGGUGGAUGGUAGGAAAGAUUCAGGUUGAGCUCUCUACAUACUAGAAUGGUUAGAAAUCACCAUUAUGGUUUUAAAAGCAGUUAUACUUUUUUUAUUGGAAUGCACAUCUAGGGACCUUUUGGUUAAAGGCAGGGAUGAAAAUGUCGAGAUAUAUCGACAAAAGAUCACCGAUAUAUCGGUGUAUUGAUGGUUACCGAUACGAUACAUGCAAGAAAAAUAUCGACCAUUUAAUUCUCUCCCCAAAUCUCUUAAAAUGACCCAAAAUUCCUAUACGAGAAGGUAGAGUGGCCCAGCCCAAACCACUCCAGCCUAGCCCACGCCCCCAGCUAGCAUAGCUCGGCAACCUAACGUGCGUUGCACGCCUACCCACCACUCACCACUCCAAUACUUAAAUAAAGUUUUUUGGUGUAAUCAAUUGUCAAUGUGGGAUUGCAAUUGCACCCCUGACCACCCGCUCAUAUUUCCUCACCAACACCAGCCAACCAACCAUGCUUUAUUUGACAAAAUGUUCACAUUUUAUGUAUAUAUGUAGAUAUGUAUAUUAUUAGCAUUAAAUAUAUUAACCAUAUAUAUAAACAAAUAUUAUAAAUUAUAUACAUAUAUUAUAAAUUAAACAUAAUAAAUUUAUUAUAAAUAAAUUAUUUUUUGUGAUUGUGACUUUUAUAUAAUAAUUAUAUAUAAAAUAAAUAUUAAUUUUUGAAUAAAAUUAUCAAAAUUUUAAAAUAAAAAAUACUUAUACAAAUUAUCAUUAUUUCUUUUUAUGUCAUUAAAUACAUCCAAAUUAAAUGAUAAUGCAUAAAGUAUGUUUUCAAAUUAUAAACAUUAUUGUUAAAUAUCACAAAUAUGCAUAUAUCAUCAUUUAUUUUAUAUUAUUUAAUAUAAUUGAAUUAAAUAUAUCAUAAUUUUAAUAUUAAAUAUAUUUUAAAUUAGACAUAUUAUAAUUAAAUAUCAUAAUAUUAUUAUGAAAUAGUAUUUAAUGUAAUUUAAUAAUAAAUAUACACUUAUAAAAUUCAUAUUUUUUUAUUGAUGUAUAUGAUAUUAUCAUUAAAUAUGAUAAAUCAUAAUAUACAUAAAUCAAAUUUUUCAACAAAACAAUUUUAAAAUGUCUAUUAUACUUCUAAUUACAUUUCUACAAGGGUUUUAUAAUAUUUUCAUGAUUUUUCAUCAAUUUUAAGCCCAUUGAUAUUUUUUUUUCAAAAUAUCCACCGAUAUAUCUCCAAUAGAUCCGAUAUAUCCAUAAAAUCGAAAUAUUGAUAUAUCCGUAGUUACCGAUAUUUUCAUCAUUGAUCAAUGGUUUUACCAUAGGGAUGAUCCAUGCUCAUAUAUAAAAGUUGUUGUAGUGCAAAGUUGACCCAUACUUGAAGGUAAAAUUUGACUUAAUAUGUAUAAAUGUAACCUAUACCCAAAGAUGCAGGGGUAGCCUUAGCACAAAGAUGAUUCGUUUCCAAAAGAGUGAGGAGCCAGUUUUGCACCAAGAUAACUUUCACAUACAACCAUAUCAGGUAGUUUAACAAAGGGAUGUCUUGAAUUAUAAGGAUUAAUGCUAGUUUUCUUUAGGGUUCUUAGUAGAGAUACCUUCAGAUUUUUUUUUAGUUGUUCACCUUGACCAUUUAUUCCUUACUAGACUAUCAGUAAGACCUUUUUCCUUGAGACUAACUUAGCUUGAGGUUUUCAAUUGGAAGGUUUUCUUAACUUGUGAAAUGUAGGUUUUACCAUUUUCCUUUUCAAAUAAGAAUAAAUGAGCUAGAGAUCAUAAAAUAGGUGUAUUAGAGAAGACUUAUUUGAACUUCAACUGAUCACUUACUUGGGUGAUAAGAUGUCCUUCCAUUUAGCUGAUAUGUAUGUGAGUUAACAUUGAGAUCAUUCUUGUGUUUUCUAAUACUUUUCACAGAGGUUGAGUAAGUUAGAUGACUGAUUACUACUUAAAAACAACACAUUUUAAAUAAUAAUUCUCAUGAAUUCCAUACCUUUUGAGUAGUAAUUAUGCAUAAUAUGCCCAAGUAAUACAUUGUUGCCCUUGCAAGAGAUACUAAUGGUUUUUAUGAAGUUUUGGAGAUAUUUCAAGGUGAAUUUUGAAGCAUUGAGUGACAAAAGAGAAAUGGAAUUGAGGAGGGCAAAUAAUAUGGAUGAUGAGGAAGACUCAAUGCACUUGGACCAAUAUUUAGAGUUGAUUUGGAGGUGGAUUCAAAAUAAAGAAAUGAAAAAAAAGAGUUUAAAAAUUAAAUAUUUCCAUUUCACAUGAUCAUGCAAAAAUUUCACAUGACUAUGCAAAAUGGACCAGAAGGUGGAUUUGGGUUGCAAGCCAAGGGGAAUUUCAAAGCUGAUUUCGCAUGAUCAUGCAAAAAUUUCACAUAGUCAUGCGAAAUGCUUCAAGAAGAUGUAAAUUGCUUUUGUUGCAUUUUUUAUUUCGCAUAAUCAUGCGAAAUUGCUUGAUCUCAUGCGAAAUGACCAUUUUAUUAUUACACUCCAGGUUUCUUGAUGAAGAAGCUUUCAGAAGACCUCUUAGAUGAUGCCAAGUGUCCACUUGACCUUGACCUAUAAAUAAAAACUUGAUUUUCUCAUAAAAGAAGAACUUUUUGGACAUUUCUAAUUGUAGAAUUUUCCAUAUUUUCUUUCUCAAUAGAAUUCUCUAUUUUCCUUCAUUUUCUCGCUAGUCAAACAUGCCUUGUGAAACCAAAUCUCCUAGCAUGAGUGGUUAAAUCUCAUUUUUCUCAGAUGAAUGAGGAUUUAGAGGCAAGAUCUAUGGUGAAUUAGAGAAAUGAGCUUGAAUUACACAGGUAAUUUGAUCCAAUUGAUUGAUUAAUUGAAUUUUGGGGAUUUUUCUCUUCAAAUUGUCUUGAAUGAUUACUACAAUGCAAACUAGAUAGAUUCAUUAAAUUCUUAAAGCUAGAUUUGAUGAGAUUGAAUAGUUGCAUUGUGUGAAUCAUUGGAAUAUAAUUUAAGAUGAAUUGAAUAUAUGAUUUGAAUUGAUCACUUAGAUUAAAUAACUUAAUUUGAAGAGAAAUUAGAUCUAGACUUAAAACUACAUUCAAAAUCGGUUUAGAUGAGAAUUUAGGUUUUCAAUCUAACUUGAUGAAAAUUAGAUCUCAACAUCUAUUCACCCUGGAAAUUGUUUUCUAGAAAAUCCUAACUUUGAGAGUUUCAUUUCCUAUUAAUUUUCUUCCAUUUUACAUUUCAUUUCUCCUCUCAAUUUGAGACCAUUGUUAAAUUGAUUUUUCACCAUAAAUUUUCAAAUUAAUUUCACUUGAUCAAAAUCAUUUAUUCUCAUCUCAUUCAAGCCUUAAUUAUGAAGAAUAAUUCAUUAUAGUGGACGACACCUAAAAACCACUAUAUUAUAGUAGUUUGUACUAAAACCAAUUUUUAUCGGGUACAAACUACUCUAGAAUAGUGAAUUAGGUUAUAAAUUUUGUUUUGAUCCAAUAAACGAUGAAAAAGCAAGUGAUCAGUGACCUUUUAAGGUGCAUCUUAUUUAUGAACACCUAAGGUGCUUGGAAGCAUGUUUGUCCACCAUAUGUUGUUAGCGACUUUUAUAGCCUCUUAAUUUCGUAUGAUUGCCUUUGAGUGAGCGUAAAACCAUAAGCAAGUUUAACGUGAUAAAAAAACUCUUAUACUCUUGAAUAGGUUGACUAAAAUGCAACAUGUCUUAAGUGAUCAUUUUGAUAGAGGUUUAGUCGUCAACUAUGAUUAGGAAGGAUGUCCUAGUGGUAAGUGUAGGUUGAGUUGAUUUUCUCAUCUUUGAGAAUGAGGUACCUAUGGUUACUUGAGAUAAAAAUUGUUUGGUUACCCUAGAUGGAGAUUGUCUUGUUUUUUGUACCAUGGGCUUGUAACUAGGUCACUAACCAUUUUCCAAUGUGUAGUCGUUUUUUAAUCGACAGGCUCCAAUUUUUAAACUUGCUUCUCUUACUUUACAAAUAUUAUUAGGUAUGUUUGGGAACAAUGAGGUCUAAGUCAUAGCAUGUAGGGCUUAGGUCAUGGAUCCCAAGGCUAUAGGUUUUAGGUAGACAUAUCUUCUCAUAACUAUUAUCGUAUUAAAGAAUUACUCUCUUGGCGUGAAACAAAGAAGAGUACUAUUCCGAUCCAUAUUUGCUUCUCUUCAAUCCCAUAUUUCUUAAACUUCAAAGCUAAUAUUCUUUUGAAUAUCACACAAGAUAAAAAUGAUUGAAGAAAAGAUUACAAAAAGAAAGGAAAUAAAAGAAAACUCCCUUGGAAUGAUUUAACUUCAUUUUUUAUCCUUCACGAUGAAUUGUUGUUCUAACUAAGUAGCGAAGGCUUAGACUUUCCCAUAGAUGGCACCAAUGAAGAUGCUCAAAAUCUUCAUGAAACAAUUUUUAUUCAUCAAAUUGGCAAACACAAAGAAGGAUUUUUGUCAUUUGGUAGAUGCAGAGAGUGAUUUUUUGUGGAGGAAGAAGUCCUCCAUUUGCCAUACAUUUUGGGGUUUAUAUAGUUAGGGUAUUCUAUCAUGAGUCAAACUUUUUCAUGGGUUGGCACAUGGGUUGACUACCUUUUUCACUAGAAGCCAAGAGUUGAUAAUAUCUUUUUUUUAAGGGUCGGGUCUAUUAGUUUAUCAGAGGUCAUUGCCAAGGUACCUAUUUUUGGGUGAGCUGAUUUUAGGUAGCUUCACUCCCUAUUAUUUAUGGUGUUAUGUAUAUUUGUAUGGUGGGUAGAUAGUCAAACUAGAUCUAGUUGAUGUCAAGAGUAAAGACAAUAUUUAACUCAUUAGAAUAAAUUAAAGAAACAAAUAUUAUGAGAUGAAUGUAAAAUACAAAACUAUUUUAACUUGUGUUACUCAUUGAUUUACUCUUUUAAUCACUCAAAAAAUUAUAUUUUUGUGCUCUUGGGUUGCAUACCUUUGGAUGUUAUUUUAAGGGUAUAUGGGGCUCUUCAUCAUGGGUAUGGAUGGAUAUGGCUAUUCAAUUGAGGUUAUAUAGUUUUAGGGACCUAUGGUCUUAUCCCAUUUUAUUUUUUUUUGUCUAAAAGGCAUUUUAUAUCUUUCGAUUUCAAAAAAGAGAAAUAUUGUAGUAAAGCAGUUAGUGGGGUGGGAAUGGGUGUGGGUGUGGGAAUGGGUCGGCUAGGAUGCAAGAUAAUGGUAGUAAUUAGAAUAUUAGAGGGCUGAAUUUCUAUUUAUAGUCAUUGGUUAAUGCCAAAAUUAUGAAGUUCCUUUCUCUUCUCCAAAAUUAGUUAUCAUAUAUAGUUAAUAUUUAAUUAUUUUAUAUAAAGGGUGUGUAACGCAUCUUCAAAGGCCAAAUGGGUUAAAAUUUUAAGAGGGAAAUGGAAAUAAAGAAAUAGGAGGUUUCCAUGGUGGUAUAAGUAAUAAGGUAUGGAACAAGGAACCAUUAAUUUGGGCAACAAGCAUGGCUAAAGAAUAUAGGCAAAGUCUAGACGAGUUUGAGAUGAGGACAAAAUCGCCUAUUGUGCUUUUAUAAUGGUUGAAUUUGGUUUGUUCAUGUUAUGCUAGCGAAAGCUUUGAUGCCAACAAUGUUAGUUCAAGAAUACAAAGAUAAAACAAUCACACAUACGGUACACGAGGUUUUAACGUGGUUCGGCCAACCAUGCCUACGUCCAUGGAUGUGAGAGAAUGAUUCUAUUAUACAAUAGAGAAUAUUACAGAGGACAGAACCAUAUAUAAUUAUUGGGUUCCCGAAACAUCUCAUGUUUCCUCACUCUUUGUAUCCAUACCUUACUACGAGCCCUCUCGCUCCACCGAGUACCUCCCGCUCUUCCUCACAUCUCUAUCCACCUCGUAUAGUCUCUAUAGACCAAUCUCCAUCUCAUAACUUUUUUCCCUCAUGACUUAGAAUAUUUAUAAAGAUAUUUCCAACAACCUUCCUUAUUCUAUAAGAAAAUAUAAUAUUACAAUAAUAUAUCAACCUAGAAAUAUUCUAUAUAAUAUUCUUUACAAAAAAGGAAUCUAUAUUAAUUAGGAAUUUGGGACACUUCCUAACAGUUCAAUGUACUUUUCAAAUGCUUUGAAGAUUCAGUUAGAGUUCUUUUACGAUUUGUGCAUGAAUUGUACUUAUCUGCAUCAUUAAUUUUCUUUCUUAUGCGAGAACAUCUAAUGGUUCAAUUUAUACGAGCAACAUCUAAUGAAUUAAUGGAUGUGGAUGAUACAACUUUAUGGAGUUCUACUAUGGAAAAAUUUUCAUACAUAGCAUGGUAGAGGAAAUAAAUGAGGGAAAUAUGAGAGGUGGAAUAUUUAUAUAUAAAAAAAAGGACUAAAAUCCAUGAAGAUGUGACAAAAAAAAAAAAAAAAAACAAUUGAAACUACUCCAUGGGACAAGUUAAGCAGAAAUUUAAUAGAUUUGACAUUUAACAUUGUAAGUUUAGUGAGUUAUUAAAAUAAACAAGAUUUAGUUGGGAUGUUGAAAGAAACACAAUGAAUGUUACAAAGGAAAUGUGAUAAAAUUAUUUAUAGGUAAAUAUUAACACUUAUAUAUAUAUACAUCAUAAUUUCAAAAGAGAUUAUGUGAACAUUACAAGUUUUUAAGACUUAUGUUUAAUAAGUCUACUGGCACUGGAGUGUUUUACCAUGCAUCCACUCAAGACGCACCACACACUGAUGAUGAAAUAAAAUUGGAGAAUCAACUUAUUCACUCAAACACUCCUGUAGAUUUUGAUGCCAAUAGUACUAGCUAUAGUAAUCCUAUCCAUAUAUUUGAUGGAUCAACAAGUCACCAUUGGAAACAAACAAUAAGAAGUGUAGAGCAUAUAUAGAAAGAAAAAAAAAAUCAUAAUAGGUAGGUGAUUACUUUAAGCAUGAGCUGAGGUGGCAAACGUAAAAAUUGAAGCCCUUUCAGCCAACCAAAAACUUAUAAAAAAUUGUUCAAUUAUAGGCAUUCAUUGGUUAAAAACAUGAUUAAUCAUAAUUUUUUUUUGUUGAAAGUAGUUUAUAAAUGUUUGAAAGUGGUUUUUUAUUAAGACAAAAUAAAGAUAUUUUGCAAAGUGUUGAGAUCCACUUCUAAAAAUUUAAAAGGCCCUUUGAAGUCUGUUUAGAACAAUCACUUAUUAAAUAGGGAAUUUCAAAUUCAAUUUUUAAAAAUUGUAUUCUCAAAGUAUUUUAUUUUAUUUUAUUUAUGUCAAACAUUAGUUAAAAAAUGUUGUACUUUCUAAUCAUCUCAAAGUCAUUUUCAAAUGGAUUUUAAAAACUUUCACAUUCAUAUUAUAUGUACAUCUUUGUGUGUUAUAGUUUUCUACCCAAGUUUUAUUCGUUUAUAAUAAUUUUAUUUAUUUAUAUCUUGAUUUUACUUUUAACAAAGGCUUAGAAUUCACACACAUUCAAAGGCAUACCGGUUUCAUAUUUGAAUGGAUUGAUACAAAAUUUGAGUCAGAGAGAAAGUGAAAGUACAAGGAAUUUAGUCAAAUCCAAUGGCUUUGGAUGAAAUCCCCAUUUUGUUCCGAUCUCUUCUUGCCACCCAUCAAGUACUCACCUAUUAAUAUAAUAUUGUGGGAGGAAGGCAUGCUUGUUUGAUUUAUACCUAGUCAAACAAUUUUUCAUUAAAAAUUGAAAAAAAAAAUUAUAUGAUUUAAUAAAUAAAACUCAUAUGUAUAUCAUAUGAAAAAGUUUCACCUAUAUUUUAUGAAUGGUAGUAAAACUCAUAUCUAUAUGACUCAUAUUUUCUUUUCAUAUAUCAUCCACAUAUUAAUUUUUGAAAUUAGGUUUUUGCCUAUUUUUAAUUUAUUUUUAAAAUUUGAUGAAAAUAAUUUUUACUUAUUCUUUAAAAAUUAGUCUUUAUUUUUCUUUGUUUUUAAAAAUUAGAAAUAAAAAACAUCAACCAAAUAAAAUACUAAAAUUUUGAAAAAAAAUUUCUAUUUGUAUAAAGACUGAAAACCGAUUUUUAACUUCUUUUAGGCAGUGCACAUGGUCAAGGAAUUGAAAUUACAUUAAGCAGGCUAACAACUCCCACACCCCACCAACCCUUUGACCGCACACCACAUUUGUCUUGGGUUUUGACCAGUAAGAAACACCCGGGCUCCAUCCCUAUAUCCACACGUGGAUUCCACGUCACGUUGCAGCAUCUGAGCCUUUUGCGUAGACAGAUUAAGGGUCUGGAUUGGUUUUCAACAAGCCACAUGAAGCCAGUUCGCCAUCCAGCCCACCUACCAGUGACCCUGUGGGAUUUCAAAGACUGCAGGGCUGAAAAGUUCUAUAUAAGUAGAAGCUUCAUUCACCAUACACCUUAGUAAGUUCAGAGCACUACUGUCUAGUUCCUCUCUCUCUCUCUCUCUCUUUCCUUCUUGGUUGUCGAGAAAAACCAACUUUUUGAAGUUGUUUCUUUGUGGGGAUUCUAAGAUAUGGAUGCAACGAACUGCCAUGGAAGCAACAAGGUGAAGAGCUUCUGCGUGAGUGAUCCGCUGAACUGGGGAAUGGCUGCGGAGACGUUGAAGGGAAGUCAUUUGGAUGAAGUGAAGCGCAUGGUGGCGGAGUACCGGAAGCCGGUUGUUCGGCUCGGUGGUGAGACGCUUACCAUAUCGCAGGUGGCGGCUAUCGCCGGGCGGGAGGGGGAUGUGAGUGUGGAGUUGUCGGAGACGGCAAGAGCAGGCGUGAACGCGAGCAGUGAGUGGGUGAUGGAGAGCAUGAGCAAAGGCACCGACAGCUAUGGUGUCACCACUGGGUUUGGUGCCACUUCACAUAGGAGAACCAAACAAGGUGGUGCCCUUCAGAAGGAGCUCAUCAGGUAAAAUUACUUUACAGUGGUUUUAGAAAAUACUUCAUAAAAUCACUUUUGGAAAAAUAUUAGUAGUUUGAAUCACUUUUGAAAAGUGAAAAAAUUACUUUUAAUAUUUCGCAAAGGAAUACUUGAUAGCCGAUGUUAAAAAAAAAAACUUAAAAGUGCUUUUAAAAGUCGGUGUUAGGAUACGUGAGUUAAUGGCCACCAGUCAACUUUGACGUGUUAACUUAUUCAUAUCUCUUAAUGAAUCCAGUCCUUUUUGGUUACUUUCUAUUAUCUAAAACAGUUGUUUUGAUUUGAAAACUUGAAUUGGUUGGUGAUGUGCUGGGUUGUUGAUGAUUGAUACAGGUUCUUGAAUGCUGGGAUAUUUGGGAACGGAAGAGAGUCAUGCCACACACUGCCUCACUCAGCAACAAGAGCCGCCAUGCUCGUGAGGAUCAACACCCUCCUCCAAGGCUACUCCGGCAUCAGAUUUGAGAUUCUGGAAGCAAUCACCAAGCUCCUCAAUCACAACAUCACUCCAUGCUUGCCUCUGCGUGGCACCGUCACUGCCUCCGGAGACCUGGUUCCUCUCUCCUACAUCGCUGGUCUUCUCACCGGCAGGCCUAAUUCCAAAGCUGUUGGACCUUCCGGUGAAGUUGUCAAUGCCGAAGAGGCCUUUAAAAUGGCUGGGAUCGAGUCGGGAUUUUUUGAGUUGCAGCCUAAGGAAGGCCUGGCUCUUGUUAAUGGCACUGCAGUUGGCUCUGGCUUGGCCUCUAUGGUGCUUUUUGAGACCAAUGUGCUGGCAGUUUUGUCAGAAGUUUUAUCGGCUGUUUUUGCUGAAGUGAUGCAGGGGAAGCCCGAAUUCACUGACCACUUGACUCACAAAUUGAAGCACCACCCUGGCCAAAUCGAGGCUGCAGCCAUUAUGGAGCACAUUCUAGAUGGAAGCUCUUAUGUGAAAGAAGCUAAGAAGCUACAUGAGAUGGAUCCUCUGCAGAAGCCGAAGCAAGAUCGAUAUGCUCUCAGGACUUCACCUCAAUGGCUUGGCCCACAGAUUGAAGUCAUCCGAGCAUCAACUAAAUCCAUCGAACGGGAGAUCAACUCUGUGAAUGAUAACCCCUUGAUCGAUGUUUCCAGGAACAAGGCUGUACAUGGUGGCAACUUCCAGGGGACCCCAAUUGGAGUCUCCAUGGACAACACCCGCUUGGCCAUUGCAGCCAUUGGGAAGCUUAUGUUUGCCCAGUUCUCAGAGCUUGUCAAUGACUUCUACAACAAUGGACUGCCAUCAAAUCUCUCUGGAAGCCGAAACCCAAGUCUGGACUAUGGUUUCAAGGGAGCAGAAAUUGCCAUGGCUUCCUACUGUUCAGAGCUCCAGUUCUUGGCCAAUCCUGUCACCAACCAUGUCGAAAGUGCUGAGCAACACAACCAAGAUGUGAACUCCUUGGGCUUAAUCUCCUCCCGGAAAACAGCUGAAGCGGUGGAUAUCUUGAAGCUCAUGUCUACCACAUACCUAGUGGCACUCUGCCAGGCCAUUGAUUUGAGGCAUUUGGAGGAGAAUUUGAAGAGCACGGUGAAGAAGACUGUAAGCCACGUAGCUAAGAAAACUUUAACCACUGGAGCCAAUGGAGAACUCCACCCAUCGAGAUUCUGCGAGAAGGACUUGCUAAAAGUGGUGGAUAGGGAACAUGUAUUUGCCUACAUCGAUGACCCCUGCAGCGCCACAUAUCCACUGAUGCAGAAGGUAAGGCAAGUUCUGGUGGAACAUGCGCUGAACAAUGGCGAAAAUGAGAAGAAUGGCAGCACCUCAAUCUUCCAAAAAAUAGGGGCAUUCGAGGAGGAGUUGAAGGCCGUUUUGCCCAAAGAGGUUGAGAGCGCAAGAGAUGGGGUGGAGAGUGGAAACCCAUCAAUUCCGAACCGAAUCAAGGAGUGCAGGUCAUACCCGUUGUACAAGUUUGUGAGGGAGGAGCUGGGAACAGGGCUGCUGACUGGUGAAACGGUGAGGUCACCAGGGGAGGAUUUUGACAAGGUGUUUACUGCAAUGUGUGAGGGGAAGAUCAUCGACCCUCUUCUGGAUUGUCUCAGUGCUUGGAACGGUGCUCCUCUCCCAAUCUGCUAGGGGAUUUCACCCUUGCACAUACUCUUUUACUUUUCACUUCCAACUUUCUUUCAUCUCUGUUUGUAAAACUUGAGAUUGUCUGCCCGCUUUCAAUUUUGUGAUACAAAAUUUUUUUGUAUUAAUUCUUGGCUAUGCAAAAUAUUUGAUACCAAUUUAUUGGAGUAAUAGGAUUGUGGUAAAAAUAAAUACAAUUUGAGCUCUGAUACCAAUUGUUGAAAUGAUAGGAUUGUAGUACAAAUAUCAACAAUUCGAUUUUGAGAUUUUACAAAUUUUAAUUGUACUUCUUUAUAUAUAUAUAUAUAUAUAUAUAUAAUGUGCUCUCUAAUAAAAUGAUAUCUUGUAUUAAUGUGCUUGCAAUGAUAAGGAAAAACUGAAUUUUUUUUAAUGUAAUUGAUAAUGGUUUGUCCAUGCAUUAACCUUCCUAGGUGAGGUUCUUGGAUGUGUCUCUCUUAGAGUCAAUCUCUUUGCUAGCUAGACUCUCCAACCUAUUGGUUUUGAUUAAUAGGUUGUCAUUAUCGACUAGGCUAAUAUUCUCUAUAUGUUAUUUGAAUGAUUUUAUCAUGAGGUGGACUCAUUCCAUAUCCUGUCUUCUCUUGCAAUAGUUUCUACAUCGUAAAUCAACAGACAAGUUCAAUUGUUUGGUUCACAUGCAAUAAUUGGAAUUUGUAAUGUUUCCAAGGUGGAUGAUAGGAAAGAUUCAAGUUGAGCUCUCUACAUCCUAGAAUGGUUAGAAAUCACCAUUAUGGUUUUAAAAACAAUUCUACUUUUUUAUUGGAACGCACAUCUUAGGACCUUUUGGUUAAAGGCAGGGAUGAAAAUGUCGAGAUAUAUCGACAAAAGAUCACCGAUAUAUCAGUGUAUCGAUGGUUACCGACACGAUACAUGCACAUACUCUUUUACUUUUCAAUUCCAACUUUCUUUCAUCUUUGUUUGUAAAACUUGAGAUUGUCUACACGCUUUCAAUUUUGUUAUACAAAUUUUUUUUGUAUUAAUUCUUGGCUAUGCGAAAUAUUUGAUGCCAAUUUGUUGGAGUUAUAGGAUUGUGGUAAAUAUAACAACAAUUUGAGCUCUGAUACCAAUUGUUGAAAUGAUAGGAUUGUAGUACAAAUAUCAACAAUUCGGUCUUGAUAUUUUACAAAUUUUAAUUGUACUUCUUUCCUUAUAACACACUCUCUAAUAGAAUGAUAUCUUGUAUCAAUGUGCUUGCUUCAAUCAUGAAAAACUAAAUUUUUUUAUAAUGUAAUUGAUAAUGGUCUGCCCUUGCAUUAACCUUCACAAGUGAGGUUCUUGGAUGUGUCUCUAUUCAGCUAAUAUCUUUGCUAUGUUGUCCAACUUGUUGAUUUUGAUUAGAGUUUGUCACAAUCGGCUAGCCUAGGAUUCUCAACAUAUUAUUUAAAUGAUCUUAUCAUGAGGUAGACUCAUUUCAUAGCUUGUCUUGUCUUAUAAUAGUUCCUACAUCAUAAGUCAACAUGCAAGUUAUUGUUUAGUUUGCAUGCAAUCAGUGGAAUUUGAUAUGAUUCCAAGGUGGAUAGCAGAAAAGAUUUAGGUUGAGCUCUAUACAUACUAGAAUGGUUAGAAAUGACCAUUAUGGUUUUGACAACGGUUCAAAUUUUUUAUGAAAUGCAUAUGUAAGGACCUUUUGGUUAAAGGUUUUACCAUAGGGAUGAUCCAUUCUCAUAGAUAAAAGUUGAUCUGGUGCAAAGUUGACCCAUACCCAAAGGUAGAGUUUGACUUAAUACAUACAAGUAUGACCUAUACCCGAAGAUGUAGAAGUCAACUUAGCACAAAGAUGAUUCGUUUACAAAAUAGUGAGGAGUCAGUUUUGCACGAAGAUAACUUUCACAUACAACCAUAAAGGGUAGUUUAACAAAGGGAUCGAUGUCUUGAAUUAGAAUCAUUAAUGCUAGUUUUCUUUAGGGUUCUUAACAGAGAUACCUUUAGAUUUUAUUUAUUUCUUUGGUUGUUCACCUUGACCAUUUAUUCCUAACUAGAUUAUCGGUAAGGUCUUUUGUCUUGAGACUAACUUGGCCUUAGGUUGUCAAUUGUAAGGUUUUCUUAACUCAUGAGUUGUAUUUUUUCACCAUUUUUCUUUUCAAAAUAAAAUAUGAGCUAGAUAUUAUAAAAUAGAUGUGUUAGAGAAGAUUUAUUUGAACUUCAACUGAUCACUUGCUUUAGUGAUAAGAUUUGCUUCCAUUUAGCUAAUGUGUAUGGGAGUUAAUAUCAAGAUCAUUCUUGUGCUUUUUGAUGACUUAGGUGAUCUCUUACGGUGCAUCUUAUUUAUGAACACCCAAGGUGCUAUGAAGCAUGUUUGUCCACCAUAUGUUGUUGGCGACUUUUAUAGCCUCUUAAUUUCAUACGAGUGCCUUUGACUAAGUGUAAAAGCAUAAGCAAGUUUCACCUGAUAAAAAGAGUCUUAAACUCCCAAACAAGUUGAGUGAGAUGCAACAUGUCUUAAGUGGUCUUUUUGAUAGAGAUUUAAUUAUCAACUGUAAGGAUGGGGGUCCUAACUGGUAGGUGUGGGUUGGAUUGCUUUUCUGGUCUUUGAGAAUGAGGUACCUUUGGUUACUUGAGAUGAAGAUUGUCUAGUUUUUUGUACCAUGGGCUUGUAACUAUGUCACUAACCAUUUUCCAAUAUGUAGUAGUUGUUGAAUUGGUAGGCUCCAAUUUUCAAACUUGCUUAUCUUGCUAUACAAAUAUUAUUAGGUAUGUCCAUGUACAAGGGGGCUAAGUCAUAACACUUGGGGCUUAGGUCAUGGACCCUAAGGCUAUAGGUUUUAGCUAUACAUAUCUUCUCAGAAUUCUUAUCAUAUUCAAGAAUUACUCUCUUAGCGUGAAACAAAGAAGGGUACUAUUGUGAUCCAUACUUGCUUUUCUUCAAUCCCAUAUUUUUGAAACUUCAAAGCUAACAUUCUUUUGAAUAUCACACAAUAUAAAAAUGAUUGAAGAAAGAUUACAAAAGGAAAAUAAAUAAAGAAAACUCCAUUGGAAUGAUUCAACUUCAUUUUCGACCUUCCAUGACAACUUUUUGUUCUAACUAAGGAAUGCUUAGACUUUCACACAAAUAGUGCCACUGAAGAUGCUCAAAAUCUUUGUGAAUGAAUUUUUAUUCAUCAGUUUGGUAAACACAGAGAAGGAUUUUUUUCAUUUAGUAGAUGUAGAGAGUGAUUUUUUUAUGAAGGAGGAGGACCUCCUUUUGCCAUGCAUUUUAGGAUUUAUAUAGUUAAGGCAUUCUGUCAUGAGUAAAACUUUUUCACGAGUUGGCACAUGGGUUAAUAACCUUUUUCACUAGAAGCCAAGAGUUGAUAAUAUCUUCUUUUAAAGGUCAGGUUUGUUAGUUUAUUAGACCUUGAGUUAGGUCAUUGCCAAGGUACCUAUUAUUAGGUAAGUUGACUUUAGGUAGCUUCACUCCCCAUUAUUUUUGGUGUUAUGUAUGUGUACGGUGGGUAGAUAGUCAAACUGGAUCUAGUUGAUAUCAAGACUAAAGACAAUAUUUAACCCAUUAGAAUAAAUUAAAGAGACAAAUAUUAUGAGAUGAAAGUAAAGUACAAAACUAUUUUUAACUUGUAUUACUAAUUGGUUUACUCUUUUAAUCCCUUCAAAAAUUAUGUUUUUAUGCUCUUGAGUUCCAUACCUUUGGAUGUUAUUUUAAGGGUUCAUGAUUCUCCAUCAUGGGUAUGGAUGAAUAUGGCUAUUCAAUUGAGGUUGUAUAGUUUCAAGGACCUAUGGUUCUUUUCCCAAAUUUUUGUCUAAAAGGCAUUUUAUAGCUUUAGAAUUCAAAAAAGAGAAAUAUUGUAGUUAAGUAGUUAGUGCGGUAGAAGUGGGUGUGGGGAUGGGUCCAACUAGGAUGCAAGACAAUGGUAGUAAUUAGAAUAUUGGAGGGUUGAAUUUCUAUCUAUAGUCAUUGGUCAAUGCCAAAAUCAUGAACUUCCUUUCUCUUCUCGAAAAUUAGUUACCAUAUAUAGUUGAUGUUUAAUUAUUUUGUAUAAAGGGAGUGCCAUUUCUUCAAAGGCCAAAUGGAUUAAAAUUUUAAAAGGGAAAUGGAAAUAAAGAAAUAAGAGUUUUCAAUGGUGGUAUAAGUAAGACGGUAUAGAACAAGGAAUCAUUAAUUUGAGCAGCAAGCAUGGCUAAAGAAUUUAGGCAUAGUCCAUAUAAGUAUGGGAUAAGGACAAAGUCUCCUAUUGUGCUUUUAUAACGGUUGAAUUUGGUUUGUUCAAUUUACUUUUCAAAUGCUUUAAAGAUGCAAUUAGAAUUCUUGUAUAGUUUGUGCAUGAAUUGUACUUAUAUGUAUCAUUGGAUUUCUUUGUUAAGUGACAACAUCUAAUGGCUCAAUUUAUACAAGCAACAUCUAAUGAAUUAAUGGAUAUGGAUUUUACAAUUUUAUGGAGUUCUACCAUAGAAAAAUUCUCAUUGAUAUAUAUCAUGGUAGAGGAAAUAAAUGAAGGAAACAUGAGAGGUGAAAUAUUUAUACAAAAAAAUAUAGAUUAAAAUUCAUGAAGAUAUGAAAAGAAAAAACAAUCGAAACUAACCUAUAAAACAAGUUAAAUAGAAAUUUAAUAGGUUUGGCAUUAAACAUUGUAAGUUUAGUAAGCUAUUAAAACAAACAAGAUUUAAUUGGGGUGUUGAAAGAAACACUAUGAAUGUUACAAAGGAAGUGUGAUAAAACUAUUUACAAGUAUAUAUAUAUAUAUAUAUAUAUAUAUAUAUAUAUAUAUAUAUAUAUUUAGAUAUAUCCAAAGACAUCCCAAUUUCAAAAGAGAGGAUACGAGCAUAACAAGUUUUUAGGACUUACCUUUAAUAAAACUACUAAUAUUGGAGUGCUUCACCAUGCAUCCACUUAAAAACCACCUGAAACUAAUGAUGAGAUAGAAUUGGAGAGUCAACUUAUUCACUUAAACACUCAUAUGAAUUUUGAUGCCAAUAGCACUAGCUAUAGUAAUCCUACUCAUAUCUUUGAUGGAUCAACAAGUCACCAUUGAUAACAAACUGCUACAAGUGUAAAGAAUAGAAAAACAAAAAAGAGAAUAAAUCAAAAUACGUUGGUUAUGCCCUUCAAGCAUGAGUUGAGGCAACAAAGGCAAAAAUAGAUGCCUCUUUAAACAACCAAAAACUCAUAAAAAAAUAUUCAAUUAUAGACAUUCCUUAGUUAGAAACAUAAUUAAGCUUUAUUUUUAUGUGUUGAAAGUACUUUGUAAAUGUUUUAAAGUUUUUUUUUUAUUAAAACAAAAUAAAGAUAUUUGGCAAAGUUUUGAGAUUCACUUCUAAAAAUUUAGAAAGCCUUUUGAUGUCAGUUUAGAACAAUCACUUAUUAAAUAGGGAAUUUGAAAUUCAGUUUUUAAAAAUUAUAUUCUCAAAGUGUUUUCUUUUAUUUACAUCAAAACAUUAAUUAAAAAAAGGUUGUAAUUUCUAAUCAUCUCAAAAUCAUUUUCAAAUGGAUUUUAAAAACUUUCAUAUUCAUAUUAUAUGUACAUCUUUAUGUGCUAUAAGUUUCUAUCCAAGUUUUAUUCGUUUAUAAUAAUUUUAUUUAUUUAUAUCUUGAUUUUACUCUUAUCAAAGGCCUAGAAUUCACACACAUUCAACUUGGUAUUUUCCAAACACGUUUCUGUUUGCAGAAUAUAUUUUCAUAUUUGAAAGGAUCGAUACAAAAGUUGAGUUGGAAAGAAGGUGAAAGUACAAGGAAUUUAGUCAAAUCCAAUGGCUUUUGACGACUAAAUGAAAUCCCCAUUUUGUCUCAAAUUGAACAAGAGAUGGAUUAAGACUAGUUCCCAUCUCUUCUUCCCAAAAUAUUUUUGCAACAGGUCUUGCCACCCACCAAGUACUCACCUAUUAAUAUGAUGUUGUUCUUUCGUCCAAAUUCAAUCAAUCAAAAUUGUGGGAGGAAGGCAUGCUUGAUUGAUCGGUUACAAAAACCAAUCUUGCAUUUAUACUUAGUCAAAUAAUUUUUCAUUAAAAAUCGAUGAAAAAAAUCAUAUGAUUUAAUAAAUAAAACUCAUAUUCAUAUCAUAUGAAAAAGUCUCAUUUAUAUUUUAUGAACGGUAAAGAUUAUAUGAUUUAAUAAAUAAAACUUAUAUCUAUAUCAUAUGAAAAAGUCUCAUCUAUAUUUUAUGAAUGAUAAAUAUCAUAUGAUUUAAUAAAUAAAACUCAUAUCCAUAUCAUAUGAAAAAGUCUCGGCUAUAUUUUAUGAAUGGUAAUAAAACUCAUAUCUAUGUGACGCAUAUUUACAUUACAUAUAUCAUCUACAUAUUAAUUUUUGAAAUUAUGUUUUUAUCUAUUUUUUAAUUUAUUUUUAAAAUUUGGUGAAAAUAAUUUUUAUUUAUUCUUUAAAAAUUGUUCUUCAUUUUUCUUUGUUUUUAAAAAUUAGAAAUAAAAAACAACUACCAAAUAAUAUGCUAAAAUUUUGAAAAGAAUUUUCUAUUUCUAUAAAGACUGAAAACCGUUUUUUAACUUCUUUUAGGUAGUGCACAUGGUCAAAUGAAAUUACAUUAAGGAGGCUAACAACUCCCACAUCCCACCAACCCUUUGACCGCACACCACACUUGUCUUGGGUUUUGGCUGGUAAGAAACAUCCGGGCUCCAUCCCUAUAUCCACGUGGAUUCCACGUCACGUUGCAGCAUCUGAGCCUUUGGCGUAGACAGAUUAAGGGUCUGGAUUGGUUUUCAACAAACCACAUGAAGCCAGUUCGCCAUCCAGCCCACCUACCAGUGACCCUGUGGGAUUUCAAAGACUGCAGGGCUGAAAAGUUCUAUAUAAGUAGAAGCUUCAUUCACCAUACACCUUAGUAAGUUCAGAGCACUACUGUCUAGUUCCUCUCUCUCUCUCUCUCUUUCCUUCUUGGUUGUCGAGAGAAACCAGCUUUUUGAAGUUGUUUCUUUGUGGGGAUUCUAAGAUAUGGAUGCAACGAACUGCCAUGGAAGCAACAAGGUGGAGAGUUUCUGCGUGAGUGAUCCGCUGAACUGGGGAAUGGCUGCGGAGACGUUGAAGGGAAGCCAUUUGGAUGAAGUGAAGCGCAUGGUGGCGGAGUACCGGAAGCCGGUUGUUCGGCUCGGUGGUGAGACGCUUACCAUAUCGCAGGUGGCGGCUAUCGCCGGGCGGGAGGGGGAUGUGAGUGUGGAGUUGUCGGAGACGGCGAGAGCGGGCGUGAACGCGAGCAGCGAGUGGGUGAUGGAGAGCAUGAGCAAAGGCACCGACAGCUAUGGUGUCACCACUGGGUUUGGUGCUACUUCACAUAGGAGAACCAAACAAGGUGGUGCCCUUCAGAAGGAGCUCAUCAGGUAAAAAUACUUCGUGUUUUUUGAAAAUAUUUAUAGGCAUUAAAAUCAUUUUUGAAGAAAAAUGACGAGUGUGUUUGAAAAUGAUUUUAAGGAAGUGUUUCUAACAUUUAUAAUACUUGAAAAUUUAAAUUUUCAUCCUGUAUUAAAAAUAUUAGAAAUACUUCUUAUAAUCAUUGUCAAAUACAUUCUAAGUCUUUUGUAAAAUUUAAAAAUCAUUUUUAAAAUAUUGAAAACUUAAUACUUGAUAGACUAUAAGCUUAAAAAUAUUUUCAUUAAAAACACUUUUAUUAAAAGUAUUUUGAUUAAGAGCUAGUUUGAUAGUGAUGUUAGGAAGCAUUUUUAAUAUUUCUAAUAUGUUAAAAUUUUUAUCAUUUAAAUGUUAGAAAUGUUAGAAACACUUUCUAAAAUAACUUUCAAGCGUACUCUUAGAGUGUGUUUGAUAAUGAUUUUAGGAAAUAUUUUUAAUAUCUUUAAUAAUUUAAGAGUGCGUUUGAUACUAAUUUUAAAAAAUGUUUAUGAUUUUCUAAUGUUUGAAAAAUAAAAAAUUUUAAAUAUUAAAAAUGUCAAAAAUGCAUUUUAAAAUCUGUAUCAAACUCACUCUAAAAAUCAUGGCUAAUACAUUCUAAUAAACCCAUUUUAGGAGUGUUUUUUUAACGUACAAAAUAUUUUAGAAAAAAAAUAAUUAACAAAAUUUAAAAAACACUUUUAAAAUUGGAUAAGUAAGUGUAAUAGUGUCAAACCAAUCAACUUUGACUUGUUAAGUUAUUCGGAUUUCUUAAUGAAUAUGGUCAACACGUCCGAGCCCUUUUCGGUUACUUUCUAUUAUCUAAAACAGUUGUGUUCUGAUUUGAAAACAUGAAAUGGUUGGUGAUGUGCUGGGUUGUUGAUGAUUGAUACAGGUUCUUGAAUGCUGGGAUAUUUGGGAACGGAAGAGAGUCAUGCCACACACUGCCUCACUCAACAACAAGAGCCGCCAUGCUCGUGAGGAUCAACACCCUCCUCCAAGGCUACUCCGGCAUCAGAUUUGAGAUUCUGGAAGCAAUCACCAAGCUCCUCAAUCACAACAUCACUCCAUGCUUGCCUCUGCGUGGCACCGUCACUGCCUCCGGAGACCUGGUUCCUCUCUCCUACAUCGCUGGUCUUCUCACCGGCAGGCCUAAUUCCAAAGCUGUUGGACCUUCCGGUGAAGUUGUCAAUGCCGAAGAGGCCUUUAAAAUGGCUGGGAUCGAGUCGGGAUUUUUUGAGUUGCAGCCUAAGGAAGGCCUGGCUCUUGUUAAUGGCACCGCAGUUGGCUCUGGCUUGGCCUCUAUGGUGCUUUUUGAGACCAAUGUGCUGGCAGUUUUGUCUGAAGUUUUAUCGGCUGUUUUUGCUGAAGUGAUGCAGGGGAAGCCCGAAUUCACUGACCACUUGACUCACAAAUUGAAGCACCACCCUGGCCAAAUCGAGGCUGCAGCCAUUAUGGAGCACAUUCUAGAUGGAAGCUCUUAUGUGAAAGAAGCUAAGAAGCUACAUGAGAUGGAUCCUCUGCAGAAGCCGAAGCAAGAUCGAUAUGCUCUCAGGACUUCACCUCAAUGGCUUGGCCCACAUAUUGAAGUCAUCCGAGCAUCAACUAAAUCCAUCGAACGGGAGAUCAACUCUGUGAAUGAUAACCCCUUGAUCGAUGUUUCCAGGAACAAGGCUCUACAUGGUGGCAACUUCCAGGGGACCCCAAUUGGAGUCUCCAUGGACAACACCCGCUUGGCCAUUGCAGCCAUUGGGAAGCUUAUGUUUGCCCAGUUCUCAGAGCUUGUCAAUGACUUCUACAACAAUGGACUGCCAUCAAAUCUCUCUGGAAGCCGAAACCCGAGUCUGGACUAUGGUUUCAAGGGAGCAGAAAUUGCCAUGGCUUCCUACUGUUCAGAGCUCCAGUUCUUGGCCAAUCCUGUCACCAACCAUGUCGAAAGUGCUGAGCAACACAACCAAGAUGUGAACUCCUUGGGCUUAAUCUCCUCCCGGAAAACAGCUGAAGCGGUGGAUAUCUUGAAGCUCAUGUCUACCACAUACCUAGUGGCACUCUGCCAGGCCAUUGAUUUGAGGCAUUUGGAGGAGAAUUUGAAGAGCACGGUGAAGAAGACUGUAAGCCACGUAGCUAAGAAAACUCUAACCACUGGAGCCAAUGGAGAACUCCACCCAUCGAGAUUCUGCGAGAAGGACUUGCUAAAAGUGGUGGAUAGGGAACAUGUAUUUGCCUACAUCGAUGACCCCUGCAGCGCCACAUAUCCACUGAUGCAGAAGGUAAGGCAAGUUCUUGUGGAACAUGCGCUGAACAAUGGCGAAAAUGAGAAGAAUGGCAGCACCUCAAUCUUCCAAAAAAUAGUGGCAUUCGAGGAGGAGUUGAAGGCCGUUUUGCCCAAAGAGGUUGAGAGCGCAAGAGGUGGGGUGGAGAGUGGAAACCCAUCAAUUCCGAACCGAAUCAAGGAGUGCAGGUCAUACCCAUUGUACAAGUUUGUGAGGGAGGAGCUGGGAACAGGGCUGCUGACUGGUGAAAAGGUGAGGUCACCAGGGGAGGAUUUUGACAAGGUGUUUACUGCAAUGUGUGAGGGGAAGAUCAUCGACCCUCUUCUGGAUUGUCUCAGUGCUUGGAACGGUGCUCCUCUCCCAAUCUGCUAGGGGAUUUCACCCUUGCACAUACUCUUUUACUUUACACUUCCAACUUUCUUUCAUCUCUGUUCGUAAAACUUGAGAUUGUCUGCACGCUUUCAAUUUUGUGAUACAAAAUUUUUUGUAUUAAUGGAUGCUUCUUUCUUACAAUCUGUUUUCUAGGUUUGAUUGGUAAGUAAAGAUACCAAAAAUCACCCCACUUGUGAGUAAGGUCUUCUACAAGAGACGACCUUCAGAACCAACCUCCUUUCCUAUUUUUUGCUGAAAAGAAAUCUCCAACCACCUUUAGCAGCUUGUGGUAGACGUAAAAUGAAACAGAAAAAGCUAGAGGGGAAGAAUGACUAUAAAAAGCCCAUGGCAGCAAAUAGAAGGGCAUGAGACUUCCCCUAUACAGUCGAAGUUGUGAAGCAGCUAAAAACUAAUUCCAUCUAGGCAAAAAGGAAGCCCCUCCAAACAAAACCGCCUUAAGGCAACUCGGGGAAAACCCCUCACAUGACCAAAAUUGACUCUUCCUUUCAAGAAAUUCUUAUUUGUUUUUAUUAGAAUAUCGCUUCUGCCUUUUAACUUACAAUCUUUUUUCGUUUCUUUUCCAAGCACUAUAAAAGUACCAAAUACAUUUUGUAAUAUCUACUUAAAUAUUACAAUAGGUGUACCCUUCAUCAAUCCUUUCUUCCUUAUUCAGAAGGAUUGAGAAUUUGAAUGUGACCAAAACAUUUGCAAUUGUAGCAUUAGAUAGCAAAAAAGCUAGAAUACUCCCUGAUUCUUGCCAUGCUUCUUCCUCAUCCUUUGUUUGGAGAAGUAUAAGAAUUUGCUUUCUUUUCAUCAUUAGAACUCCAAAAAUAAUGAAGUAUCAGAAUCUUCUUUCUUUUCAUGUUCAAAUCUCCUAAAAUUAUUAUUUUUUUCAUGGCUAUAUUCACCUUCUUUCUUUGAAACAUCCUUUAGAAGAAGAUAGAGUUUGCAAAGCUUGUCAUGAGAUUGGAGUGAUCCCAUCAAGCUUGAUUCUUCACCCCAGCUACAACAAUAUGUUCAAUUUUCUAGUCAUGUUUCUCGAAAUCAUUUCAAUAACUUUCUGCAUCUGCAAUAAUAAUAAUAUAAUAAACACUUUCUACAUCUGCAAAAAAAAUUUGUAUCCUAGUCCAUGUGAAAAAUAAGGAAUGGAACUCUACACUUAAUUUCAGCCCCACAGCUGGACUGACCUGCCAUUUCUUCAAUUCCAUCCAUUUGCGGGUGGACUGACCUGCCAUUUCUUGAAUCCCAUGUGUUUGUACAUUCAUAUGGUUGUAACUUGUUUCUUCUAACACGGCUCUUUACAAAUAAAUUACAGCCUCUUGGCCUUUCAAAGUAGUGAAAGAAAAGGGUUAAUUCCUUGCAAAGUCAAGUAAAGGUAACAUUAUAUCAUGGGGGAAACUACUUCCCCAUUUGAUAUUUGUUUCUUAAAAUAUUCUUUUAUUUUUUAAAACAAAAAAAAAUAGAAAAAAAAACUAAAAAAAUAUAAAACAAUUUUUUAUUUUUAAAAGUAGAAAAUAUUUUAUUUUUGAAGAAUAUAUUUUAGUCCUUUUUUAUUUAUGUCCUAAAAAUUGGUUUAAAAAAUAAUUAUACAAAUAUAGAGAAUAAUUAAAAAUUAAAAAUUACAUAUAAAAAUUAAUUUUAAAUCAUAUUUGAAAACAUAAAAAAAACUAAACAAUAAUAUUUUAGGUUUUCAAACAAAUAUUUGUAAUAAUAAAAUAUCAUAUAACAAUUCUAAAAAAUUGUUCUCAAACACUAGUUGUUCAAAAUUAUUUUUAAAAACCUUCUUCAAAUCAAAUAUAUUUUAUAUAUAUUUUUAUCAAUCAUUACUCUUCCCAUCAAUUAUGUUUUCCUCAUCUACCAAUUUCUCUACACCCUAUUAUUCCCAUCAUCAAUUACAUUUAUCAUUCUUUCAACUUUCUCCAUUCAAAAUCUUUCUUAUCAUUCAUUAUUUCUAGUGCUCCUUUCAGAGUCAUUUUUAUGAAUCAUUAUUCUUCCCAUCAAUUAGGCUUGUCCUCAUCUAUCAAUUUCUCUACACCCUACAAACUCUAACCUCAAAAUCUAUGGCCAUCCACAAAACCAAUGUCAUCAUCCUAGAAAAUAUUAAUGCACCUUAGCCCACUCUUAUCACUAUUCAUGAUGUCGCACAACUUUCCCCCACGAUAAUUAUAAUUUCAAUCUCUUUUCAUUAGCUAUGUUGACGGCACCAAACCUUGCCCACUUUUCACCUUCAUUGCCAACAUUGUUACCUCCCCAAACUCGACCAUUCAUAGAGAGCUACUUGAGAAAUAAUUUUGAUUAACUUAUCCACUCUUCAUCAUCUUUUUUAGCUUGAAAAAAAAAUAUAAAGCUACUUGAAAAGGCCUUAGCGAAAUUCUUAAGUCUCUCUCUUUUUCUUCUUAUCUUCUUUCUUUAUUUUUUAUUUAUUUAUGAGACUCUUAGGUUUCUCUCAUUUUUUUUCUUCUCAUAUGCUUUUUCUAUUUUUUAAUUUUGUUUUUUUUCAUUGUUAUAAACUUUAUCCUUGUUCCUCUUCUUAAACUCCAAAAGUAAAAAUCUUAAACCACAUAUUUGAUUGUAGAUAACUAUAGUAGGGUUAUCCUAGAUUAGUAGUACUUGGCUAUUAAGUUAUUCUCCUUUUACCUCCAUGCAUUUCCUUUUUAAAAAAUCUAUUUCAUGUCUUUUUUCCACCUUCAACUUGGAUCAAGUCAGUUCAUUAUACUAGCUCAAUUUUAGGUCUUCACUUUAUAUUAGUAGACCAUGUUAAACAAUUUUCUCUCAUUGUAUCCUAAAUUGGAGCCUUAUUUACUGUUUCUGAAUGCAUUAUACCUUAUUACAUCUCGCCUUGCAAUGACACUCAUCCAUGUUGACUUUAGCUACCUUAUUAUACCUUAUUAAUUCUUUAAAAUUUUUAUUUUUAAAAAUUUGUUUCUUAACUUGAUAACAUUCUAAAUGUAAGCAUUAAUUGUCCUUGUAACAUUCUUUAAAAUUUUGCCUUCAAAUUGAUAGUUGUAAUGAAGAUCCCCAUUCUACUCUAGAUGCCCUUCUUGGUUAAUUUAUCUGACAUGGUAAUAUGGCCAACAUUCUUCCCGUAUUUCCGUUGUUCAUGGGUAAUCGGCCCACUACAUGUUUGGAUUCCUCAGCCACCUACGAUUUUUUGUGACAAUAUAGACAUCACGCAACUGUGCUCCAACCUAGUAUUUCACUCUUGCAUAAAGCAUGUGACCAUUGAUUUUCAUUCCAUUUGUGAUAAAGUUCAAAAUGGUGCUCUUGUAUCACUCAUGUGUUGCGAAAAGAUAAACUAUUGGAUGCUUUGACAAAAUCGCAACAUUGUGAUGGCUUUCUUUCUCUCAAGAUUAAGAUUGAAAUCUUCAAUUGAAGCUUCAUCUUGAGAGGGCAUGUUAGUGAAAGUUAAUGUUUAUCCUUAAUUUAAAUAUUAGUAUUUAUCUAUUAUUAGUUUAAUUUAAAAUAGAAGAUAAUUAUUAUUAGUUUGAAUUAAAGCACAAGAUAUACUUGUUAUUGUGACUUUAGUUAGUUGAGGUUUAUCUCAACAUUAUUUAUAUGUAAAUAUUCAUCAAUCAUCAAUGAGAAAACAAUACUAUAUUUUCUCAAUCAUAUAUAUAUUUGAAGAUAUAAAAUGAUUAAUAUUUACCGAAAAUUAAUAUUUUCUCAAUCCUAGAAAAUACUAAUGCACCUUACCCCACUCUUAUCACUAUUCAUGAUGUCGCACAACUUCCCCCCACGAAAACUAUAUUUCAAUCUCUUUUUAUUGGCUAUGUUGACGGCACCAAACCUUGCCCACUUCUCACUAUCAUUGCCAACAUUGUUGCCUCACCAAACACUCCCAUUCAUAGAGAGCUACUUGAGAAAUAAUUUUGAUUAAUUUAUCCACUCUUCAACAUCUUUUUUUAGGUUGAAAAAAAAGAUAUAAAGCUACUUGAGAAGGCCUUAGUAAAAUUCUUAAGUUACUUUCCCUUUUUCUUCUCAUCUUCAUUUUUUAUUUUUUAUUUAUUUAUGAAACUCUUAGGUUUCUCUCAUUUUUUCUUCUCAUAUUCUUUCUCUAUUUUUUUAUUUUGCUUUUUUUCCAUUGCCAUAAACUUUAUCAUUGUUCCUCUUCUUAAACUCUAAAAGUAAAAACCCUAGACCACCUAUUUGAUUGUAGGUAACUAUCCUAGGGUUAUCCUACAUUAGUAGUACUUGGCUAUUAAGUUAUUCUCCUUGCCUCCAUGCAUUUCCCUUUUUAAAAAACCAAGAGAAUUCAAUUAGCCAUGGUAGAGAAAUCUAAAAAAACCAAGAGAUUGAUUUUAUCUAUUUUAAGAGUCAUGCAAAGUAAGAUUUAUAAUAUAUAAUGUAGCACCCCAAAAUAAACUUUAAGGACAAAAUAAUAAAUUACAAAUUAAUUAAUUAAUUAAACUCAUUAAAGGUAAAAGAGUCAUUUUACAAUUAAUAAUCAUUGGUAUAAAUUAGAUUUUCCUCUUCUCUUCUUUAUUUAGAAAACUCUAUUAAUAAAAAAAUUAGAGAAUUUGAUAACUUAGGGUUAAAGGUUUGGAGGUCUAGAGUUUGAAGUUCAGAUUUUUUUUAGGUAAAAUUCUAAUCCUAGAUUAAUAUAUUAUAUUCAUUAGUUAGUUUUGAACACAUUAGAUAUUCUUUAGAAAAUUUUAAUUUAGAUUAGGGUUAGUUUAUUUAAUUUAUUUAUUUUAAGAUCAAAAAAUUGAAAUUAUGAAUAUAGGUUGUUUCAUUGAUGAAAAUAGGGAAAUUAAAAAAAAUUUAGAUGAAUAGAUCUAAACAAUGAAAUUUUAAAAAUUAAAUGAGUAAAUAAAUAUAUGAUCAUAUGUGGCUUAAGGGAUUGGAAAAUAAUAAAAAGAAGAAUUGCAUGUUUUUGGAUUUUAGAUUUGAGGCUUUGUGUUGGGGUGAAAAAAAAUAUUAAUAUGUAAUGGUGAGAGGCAAAGAGGACACUAGGAUUAAUAAUAAUUAAGUUAAAGUAUACAAAAGAAAUAAAUACUUAGAAUACCGAAAGUAUCAGUUUGAACUAUUUUAUAUUCGCUUUCUAAGGUUAAAUGUAAGGUUGGGAGAUGCUUCACAAGUUCUUUUAUUUUUUGAACAAGUUUAAUAUCUUUUUUAUUAAAAUAUCUAUGUCCUGUGUUUUUUGUUUUACUAUAAAGGGGUCCAACUAAUCUAUUAAGGUUUUUAAUAUAUGGUCUAACAUAAUUUAAUAAUCCUAAAAAACUUUGAAGGGUUUUUAAUUCUUCGAGUUUAUCUGGAAAAUUAUUUAUUUUUUGUACUAUAUGAUCUUGUAGUUUUAUUUGUCCAUCCUCUAAUUCUAAUCCUAAAAAUUCUAUUUGGGUUUUAAAUAAUUUUAGUUUCUUUUUACUUACUAUUAAUCCACGACUAAUUAGCUUUUUAAAAAUAAGUUCCAAAUGCUUUAUAUGUUCUUGAAGAGUAUAAGAAAAAACAAGAAUAUUAUCAAUAUAUACAAGAACAAAAUAAUAUUUACCAAAAAUAUUAUCCAUCAUUCGUUGGAAUAUCUGAGGAGUAUUUUUUAGUCCAAUUGACAUUACAUUCCAUUCAUAUAAUCCACAAGGACAUGAAAACCCUGUCCAUGGUUUACUAUCUUCUUCUAAUCUAAUUUGCCAAAAUCCACUUUUACAAUCUAGUUGAGAAAAGUAUUUACAUCCUUGAAUAGAAUUAAUUAAAGAAUCUUUAUUUGGAAUUUUAUAGGCAUCAUCAUAUGUAUUGUCAUUCAGUAUUUUAUAAUUAAUAAUCAUUCUAGUUUUUCCUCGUUUUUCUUCAUUAUGGUUCCUAACUAAAAAGGUUGAGGAUCUAUAGGGACUGAAACUUGGUUUUAUGAGGUUAUUCUGCAACAGUUCUUCUGUUUAAAUUUUAAACUCCUUUGUAUCUAUAAGGUUACAUGGCAUAUCUGCCGUUUUUAUUGUUAAAUCUGGAUUUUUAAUUGGUAUUUUAAAGGUUGUUUUGUUUUUAUUCCAAUGUUUUUGUGGAUCUUCUUCUAUAAUUUCUAUUUUUUUUCUACUUCUAAUAUAAGGUUUUUUAAUUUAUCUGUAUUUUUUAAUUGUUCUGAGUAAUCAUUAAUUAUACUACCCUUUUGUGCUUCUACUUUGUUAAUUUGAUGAGAAGUUACAUUAUGAUUUUUAUUUAAGACAUUUUCCAUGUUUGUAUAAACAAUUGUUGUGGUUUUAGGAUGAAAACUUACUUGGUUAUUUUGUAUUGUUAUUCCUCCUUGUAAAAAAUGUACAAAAUUUAAACCUAAAAUGAAAGGAUAUAAACUUAUAGUAGGUACAAGAUAAGUUUGGGGUAACACUAAGGUUAUGUUAUUAAUUAUUAUUGGUACAUUUGAAAUAUACUUAGUUAGUAUUAGUUUUUGUUGAUUAUAUUGAACUAACUCUAUCGGUUGAACUAAUGUUUGCUGGUCUUCUUGAGGCACUAAGGUUUCAAAUAAAAGGUUUUUACUAGCUCCAGUAUCUAAUAUUGCAUGUACUUUAAUUUUAUAGUUUUUAACUUAAUUAUUGUUGGAAAAAUAAUAGAUUUAACUUUAUUUGUCAUAUUCACUUGUUCUAUUGUUUGCACGGUUGUAUUUUCAGGAUUUAUUGGUUCUUCUAUUUCUUUAGGCUUUGAACAACUGCCUUCCUCUUCUUCCGAGAUUUUUCCUUUAAUUAUUAUUUGUAGGUCUUUAAUAUAAUGACUCAAAAUGAAACUAGGAUACAAAUAAUAUAUAUAUAUAAAAGCUCCUGUUUAUUACAUAUCAUAGUAGGCAUUGAAAAGUACCUUUCAAUACUGUGGUAACACCUGUUGAUAAAUAAGUUUCAAAGUAGCUAGUUGAUGAAUUUUACUUCCUUUUAACUAGAAUUUAUAAGAGAAAUUGACAUAUUGAGUGACUUUCACCUAACUUGCUUACAUCAUAAGAUAGAUUGGAGGAGUUUUAUUUGAGUCAAUUACUGUUUGUCACUUAACAAGAAAAUGAGCCUUUCUUAGUAAAUCUCUCUGAUAUCCCCAUCUUUCACAAAAAGGCCAUGGAAGCCAUAAGGCACUCUUCUAGGAAGCUUCACUGUUGCGACAACAUCAAGGGUUUGUGACUUGGCAUCCAUCACCACAAACCUUGAGGCUCCACUCUUCUCAUCAUGCACGUAUGACACUAUGUACCCGUCAUCCUCCUCACUUGCACCAUCCUUCGCCACAAACAAGGGUUCUCCUCCAAAGCACCCAGCUCCAUAUAGCCUUCUUGACACUUCACACACCAACUCCAAGUCAAUUUUCACAACCCCACUCAUUUUUGGUAUCAUUUCCCCUAUACCCAUAUAAGCAUACCUGUUUCUCUUCCCCACGUAGCUAGGGUUUAUUGAGCCCAACUCCAAAUUCUUCUGUGAAAGGGUGGUUCUUGUGACUGAGCUAUUCCUCAAGUUGAUUCUCACCUUUUCUAAUGAGAAAUGGACCUUUUCUAUGUUGUGAACGAGGUUCUCUAUGGAUAUGGCAUUGGGUGCAACCAGGAUGAUCUCUUCAUCCCCUUCUUCCCAUGCAUUGAUGGCAUGCAUUGCAUUAAAGCCAGGCGCCUCGAACCACCGGAUUUUGGAGUCAGUUGAUGCAGACCGUGGAAGCACUCCAAUUCUCGGAACCUUGUCUAUCUCAGCACUCACUGGCAUUCCUUUAAACAUCAUGAGAUUCACUAAGAAAGGCUCAUUCAAAGAAAGGCUGUGAAUUAAAGGAGAUGGGUUGGAUCCCAAAGACUAGGCAAGAUCCAAUGGCGUUCAAGGCUGAGAGGUUCAUGAACAGAAAAGGCAAUGGGGUUGAAGCAUUUGGUGUAACGUUCUGCAACACCACUCCUAUGGAUCUACAUAAUCAGGACUUAAAAUUAAUAAGAUAAUUACACAAGUAAAAUUUUACUUUGAGAAGUCUACUAGUAAAUGCAUGCAUGCAAUUAAAUUCUGUCCUCUCUCAUUGUGGUUUCUAUAAUUCAUUUGCUGUAUUAUUUUUUAUAAUUGUAAAUGAAAAUUAAACGAAAUAAAAUCCUCAUAAAUAAUAUGGCAUCAACACUCUCCACAUCAGAGAGAAUUCCAGUUCUUCCAAAGCCUCCCAACACAGAAGUCCAGUAGAGAUGGUGACAGUAAGGAACCAGGAGCUUCUUCCCACCCACCGCUCCAUGGUGGAGGGAGAGCUUGCCCUUAAUGCAUGGCACCUAUAUUCGAAAUGGUCUCAACCCCCAUCACCAACCUCAUGGCCCUCAUCACUUGUUUGAAAGUGAUGGCAUGCUACAUUCGAUUCCGUUAUCAGAUACUGGUCAAGCUACCUUCUGUAGUCUCUAUGUGAAAACUUAUAAAUAUCUUCCCCAUUGUGUUAACAGGCUUCUACACCAUUGGAAGAGUAAUAAAUGGCCAGAUUGAUCCUAUGAAAGGUUUUGGUUAAGCCAAAAGUAGCCUUGCUCCCUUUUCAAAUAGGGCUUUUUGUUAUUGAAGAAUCCAUUGCAUGUGACGAGAACUUUGAAUGUGAAAAUGACCAAAUCACUACAAUUAAUGUAAGGAUUUUGGACAUCUUGAUCUAGGUACGUAUUAAUUCUUAGUAAAUGAAGAGCUUAGUCUUGAGGUCAUUAUCUCCAUACCAAUCUCUUUCAUCCUCACCCCUUUAUGAUUUAUUUUUUGUGUCAUUUUCAGGCUUUAUGAUUUACAUCUUGGCUUAGUGUUCCUUAAUGGGAAUUUUAUAAAUUAAUAAUUGCAAAAACAAACAAGAAGCAAAUUAACCUUCCUAUAUAAGACAUAUAACAAGUGAAGAAAGGAUAUAUAUUCAAACAAUCUGAUCACUUUAUAUUUUUACCAAUAGUCUUUUCUAUCAUGAGUCAAUGAUGUAGGUAUUUUUUUCUACAAAUAUUUUCCUUGUAUAAGAAAUUAAGAUCAACUUGCAGGAGAAAUAAGAUGUGACAACAAAUAACCUAUAAGGGUAAAGACAAAGUUAAACUAAUGGGACUUCAAGGGCAAGACAAACAUUAACUUCCUAUAAGGGUGAAAACAAAGUUAAAACAAUAUUAAGGAUCCAAGGGCAAGACAAGCAACUUAUAAAGGUGAAUUUGAUACCUUCAUAAUGAAGGAUUCCAAAAAUGUUCUUAAAGAAUAUUUCAAUCAAGUUCAUUUUCUUUUCAAUCAAAUCCAAUCAAGUGGACCAAAUUGAUAAUAAAAAAAAAUAUUGAAAUGAUUUUGAGAAGCAUGACUAGAAAAUUGAACAUAUUGUUAACAUUUUGAUCAUAUUCAUUUAUUGUCAAACAAAAUAUUUUGAAUUUGCUCCAUUUGAUCACGAUUAUUUGUUGUCAAUGAAAUGUGAUCAAAUGGAGCUCAGUGGUUAUCGAAAUAUUAUUGAAAUGAUUUCGAGAAGCAUGACAAGAAAAUUGAACAUAUUGUUGUAGCUGGGGUGAAGAAUCAAGCUUGAUGGGAUCACUCCAAUCUCACGACUUAGGGCAAAGUAAGUAAUUGAAUCAUGUUCAUCUAUGACAAUCUUUGCAAACUUCAUCUUCUUCUAAAGGAUGUUUCAAAGAAAGAAGGUGAAUAUAGCCAUGAAAGAAAUAAUAAUUUUAGGAGACGCUAUGUUGUAGUGACACCCUAUGUUUAUAGUGACUCAUUAUAAAUGUCACCAUUUUUUUUUUCCCUUGUAGUGAAAUUUGAAAAUGAAAAGAAAGAAAAUUCUUAUACUUCAUUAUUUUUGGAGUUCUAAUGAUGAAAAGAAAGCAAAUUCUUAUACUUCUCCAAACAAAGGAUGAGGAAGAAGCAUGGCAAGAAGUAGGAAGUAUUCUAGCUUUUUCGCUAUCUAAUGCUACAAUUGCAAAUGUUUUGGUCACAUUCAAAUUCUCAAUCCUUCUGAAUAAGGAAGAAGGAUUGAUGAAGGGUAGACCUAUUUUAAUAUUUAAGUAGAUAUACAAAUUUNUUUGGUGCUUUUAUAGUGCUNNNNNNNNNNNNNNNNNNNNNNNNNNNNNNNNNNNNNNNNNNNNNNNNNNNNNNNNNNNNNNNNNNNNNNNNNNNNNNNNNNNNNNNNNNNNNNNNNNNNNNNNNNNNNNNNNNNNNNNNNNNNNNNNNNNNNNNNNNNNNNNNNNNNNNNNNNNNNNNNNNNNNNNNNNNNNNNNNNNNNNNNNNNNNNNNNNNNNNNNNNNNNNNNNNNNNNNNNNNNNNNNNNNNNNNNNNNNNNNNNNNNNNNNNNNNNNNNNNNNNNNNNNNNNNNNNNNNNNNNNNNNNNNNNNNNNNNNNNNNNNNNNNNNNNNNNNNNNNNNNNNNNNNNNNNNNNNNNNNNNNNNNNNNNNNNNNNNNNNNNNNNNNNNNNNNNNNNNNNNNNNNNNNNNNNNNNNNNNNNNNNNNNNNNNNNNNNNNNNNNNNNNNNNNNNNNNNNNNNNNNNNNNNNNNNNNNNNNNNNNNNNNNNNNNNNNNNNNNNNNNNNNNNNNNNNNNNNNNNNNNNNNNNNNNNNNNNNNNNNNNNNNNNNNNNNNNNNNNNNNNNNNNNNNNNNNNNNNNNNNNNNNNNNNNNNNNNNNNNNNNNNNNNNNNNNNNNNNNNNNNNNNNNNNNNNNNNNNNNNNNNNNNNNNNNNNNNNNNNNNNNNNNNNNNNNNNNNNNNNNNNNNNNNNNNNNNNNNNNNNNNNNNNNNNNNNNNNNNNNNNNNNNNNNNNNNNNNNNNNNNNNNNNNNNNNNNNNNNNNNNNNNNNNNNNNNNNNNNNNNNNNNNNNNNNNNNNNNNNNNNNNNNNNNNNNNNNNNNNNNNNNNNNNNNNNNNNNNNNNNNNNNNNNNNNNNNNNNNNNNNNNNNNNNNNNNNNNNNNNNNNNNNNNNNNNNNNNNNNNNNNNNNNNNNNNNNNNNNNNNNNNNNNNNNNNNNNNNNNNNNNNNNNNNNNNNNNNNNNNNNNNNNNNNNNNNNNNNNNNNNNNNNNNNNNNNNNNNNNNNNNNNNNNNNNNNNNNNNNNNNNNNNNNNNNNNNNNNNNNNNNNNNNNNNNNNNNNNNNNNNNNNNNNNNNNNNNNNNNNNNNNNNNNNNNNNNNNNNNNNNNNNNNNNNNNNNNNNNNNNNNNNNNNNNNNNNNNNNNNNNNNNNNNNNNNNNNNNNNNNNNNNNNNNNNNNNNNNNNNNNNNNNNNNNNNNNNNNNNNNNNNNNNNNNNNNNNNNNNNNNNNNNNNNNNNNNNNNNNNNNNNNNNNNNNNNNNNNNNNNNNNNNNNNNNNNNNNNNNNNNNNNNNNNNNNNNNNNNNNNNNNNNNNNNNNNNNNNNNNNNNNNNNNNNNNNNNNNNNNNNNNNNNNNNNNNNNNNNNNNNNNNNNNNNNNNNNNNNNNNNNNNNNNNNNNNNNNNNNNNNNNNNNNNNNNNNNNNNNNNNNNNNNNNNNNNNNNNNNNNNNNNNNNNNNNNNNNNNNNNNNNNNNNNNNNNNNNNNNNNNNNNNNNNNNNNNNNNNNNNNNNNNNNNNNNNNNNNNNNNNNNNNNNNNNNNNNNNNNNNNNNNNNNNNNNNNNNNNNNNNNNNNNNNNNNNNNNNNNNNNNNNNNNNNNNNNNNNNNNNNNNNNNNNNNNNNNAAAUUUUCAAGUAUUAUAAAUGUUAGAAACACUUCCUUAAAAAUCAUUUUUCAAACACACUCGUCAUUUUCCUUCAAAAAUGCUUUUAAUGCCUAUAAAUAUUUUCAAAAAACACGAAGUAUUUUUACCUGAUGAGCUCCUUCUGAAGGGCACCACCUUGUUUGGUUCUCCUAUGUGAAGUAGCACCAAACCCAGUGGUGACACCAUAGCUGUCGGUGCCUUUGCUCAUGCUCUCCAUCACCCACUCGCUGCUCGCGUUCACGCCCGCUCUCGCCGUCUCCGACAACUCCACAUUCACAUCCCCCUCCCGCCCGGCGAUAGCCGCCACCUGCGAUAUGGUAAGCGUCUCACCACCGAGCCGAACAACCGGCUUCCGGUACUCCGCCACCAUGCGCUUCACUUCAUCCAAAUGGCUUCCCUUCAACGUCUCCGCAGCCAUUCCCCAGUUCAGCGGAUCACUCACGCAGAAACUCUCCACCUUGUUGCUUCCAUGGCA